AUGAAACCCAUUUCACAGAUCACCCGGGUUGCCCCGCCAAGAAACGAGCCCUUCAUAAUCUCUGAUUUACUUGGAAAGUAUCAUCAUAGCCCCUCGAUUUAUUUACUUGGAAACAGAUCCAGGACCCUUUCAAGGACCCUAAAUACAUCCAACCAAACAAUAAUAAAUAAAUAAAUAAAUAAAGAUGGACAUCACGGGUCCAGGGAGGGCUCAGAUCCGCCCGUAAUCAGACAAGAUCCAUGUUCGCCAUGGCUGCAACUACAGUUGCAUGUGAAAAAACAGGGCAUAGAAACCCAUUUCACAGACAAUCCGGGUCGCCCAGCCAAGAGAUGGGUCCUUUCAAAUGUCUGAUUUACUUGGAAAGUGUCAUCACAGCCACUUAAUUUUCCUGCACAUUUUCUCAGCAACCAAACAGAUACAAGAUCCUUCUCAGAAAACACAUUUUAAAACACAAACAAAAAAACCAAAACAAAACAAAGAUCAGCCUCAGCGCGGAAGUGAAUAGCGCGUAAAAGGAAGGCUCAGAUUCGCCUUUUAUCAGACAAGAAAAAGAUGACCGUCAUGGUUGCAACCACAGUUGCUUGUGAAACAAGGCACAAAAGGUCCCAUCACACAAACCAUCCGGGUUGCCCCGCCAAGAAACGGACAUUCCCAGUGCCUGACUUACUCUGAAAACGUCAUCACAGCCUUUUAUGUUGCCCAUAUGAACAGAGAGAGAGAGAGAGCUGUUGAUUUUCCAGAGAAUCAAGACAGCCUCUGAUAUAUAUGUAUAUAUAUAUAUAUAUAUAUAUAUAUAUAUAUGUACACACAUGUGCAUGAAAAGAAAGGAAAGAAAAGAAAGAGCCAAGGAAAAGGGCUGUUGACGGGCGUAGUAGAAGGAAUCAUCGGCUCCGACGACCAUGAGAUUCAGAGAGGGGCAACCACCCUUAGAAACUCCCCAUCCCUCCGACACAGUCCCUGGAGCCUCACUCACACACGUGUAUGAAAAGAAAGAGCGAAGGAAAAGGGCUGUUGAUGGGCGUAGUAGAAGGAAUCAUCGGCUCCGACGACCAUGAGAUUCAGAGAGGGGCAACCACCCUUAGAAACUCCCCAUCCCUCCGACACAGUCCCUGGAGCCUCAGUCUUAAACCAAUGGGGUUUAGCCCUAAGAUGUUAUUUGGUAAUCUGAUCAUGAUUUGCAGGCAAAGGUUGUGUUUUUCAGCCUGGCUCAAAAAUUGUGGAUUUAAGGUUCGUGAAAUUUAAAUCCAAUGGCACAAAAGCAAAGAGACCCCUAGAACAGAUCCAGAAAACACAGGGAGCCAAAAAAAAAAAAAAAACGCAAUUUUUUUGGUUUUCCUUGGGGGUUUUGCAUGAAUUUUCUCGGAAAUCAAACAAGGAUGAAUUUUCCCGGAAAUCGAAUGGGGGAUGGAUUUUCUUGGAAAUCAAACGGGGGUUGCAAAAACAAAAAAUAAUAACAUGAUUAGAUUAGUACCUGCGAGGAUUGAGAGUGGCAGAGGAAAAUAGGGCUUUUUAAGGGAUUCUCUCGUCCGGAGGGCAAGUUCAGAAAAGGGCUUCUUGAUGCCCCAGUGAGAGAAGUGGAUGGCCCUUUCCAUUUUUAUAUUUAGUAGAGAGAGAAAACAAGGAAACAAAUCAUGAGAACAAUUAUUCUCUCUAUAUAAAUAAUUAUUAAUUAUCCAUCUUUAUUUUGAUUAAAUCACUACCAAAAUUUGAUUUUUAUAAAUUAAAAUUAAUUUGAUAAGAUAAAUUAUUAAUAAUUUUAAUUAUUUAAAUAAAUUAAUGUUAAUAAAAAAAAGUUAUUACCACAUAUUUUUAAUAAAAUCUUAAAAAUUAAAUAUCAAAUAAAAUAUUUUAUAUAAAUUAAUUUAAUUUUUCAUUUAAAAUGUAAUAAUACAUGUUUUAAUAAAAAUAUUUAAUUUUUUAAAAUAAAUAUUAUCUUCAAUAAGAUGGACUCCUUUCAUCUAAUAAUAUGAUACUAAAGACUAUUAUAAUAUCAUAUAUAUUAUAUUUAUAUAUAAAUUAUUUUUAUUCUAUAAAAUCAAAUAUUUCUUAACUCAAUUCUAACUUUAUACACUUUCAAAAUUCAUAUUUAUUAUUCUUAAAAUUCAAAUACCGAAUCUACUAAUAUUUUCUAUUUAAUCAUAUUUAUGUCAAUUAUAUUUACAAAAUAACUUUAUAAUAUAUAUUAUUGUUAUUUUCCUUUUUUUUUUUUAAGUUUUUCCAAACAUUCUUAUAAAUUUUAAAUAAUUUUUGCUCGACCGAUAUCCGUUUACCGAUCUUUACUCUGUAUCUAUCCAAAAUAAAUGAAAGAUAGUUUUUUACAACAAUUUUUUUAAUGAUUUUUAAAUCAAAAGUUAGUUUUAAAAUCUGAAAUAUUUUUAAUCCACUAUUAUGUUUUUAAAAUUAUAUAAUUAUUUUUUAAAACAAUAAAAACAAAUAAAAUAAUUAAGGUUAUGUUUAGUUUAUUAAAAAAAAUGUUUUAUCAUAUUUGAUUUAAUAGUGAAAAUAAAAAUAUAAUAAUAAUUAAAAUUACUUAAAAACCAAUGUAGCUUUAAAAUUUUUUUUUUGAUCUUUAGCUUAAAAAAGAAAAAUAAAUAAAACGAAUUUGACAAGAUAAUUAAUCUCUCUGAAAGGAAGAGACUCAAAAGUUUUGGAGGAAGAAAAAAAGGGAGUAAGAUUUGAGGGAUAAAAAUAAAGAAGGAACAAGUGGGUGGGUAUUGCAUUAUAUCCAUGAGUUGAUCAAUAACUAGCUCCAUUUCCUUUCCUUUAUUUUCUUGCCAGCCAAACAAAAUCUUAAGUCUGGAACCAUCAUCCCAGAAACCAUUUAUUAAAAGCCAUACGCCAAGGAUUCGUAUAACACCAUGGAAUCAACCAUCAUCACCCUCUCAAACCUACAUGCCAUAGCUACACAGACUCUACUCCCAAGUUCCCAAAUAACCAAGCUUCAUAUCUACUAGCUCCAAAAUGGUUAAACAAGAUGAAAGAAGGAAAGGAAGAGAUUACUUGAUGAGAGCCUGGUAAAGGCAGAUCUGCAAAAAUUACAAGCCUUGUCCACAUAGCUUUAUGUGGUCCCAUGGUAUCUAUUUAUAGCCCCAUGAAAGCAGAAUUACUUCUUCAUUACCAAAUGUCAGCAUAGGCAAUGCCCGACCUCCAUCUUCCCAUGGCUGCCAAGCCCUUUUAUCAAUAUGUGAAGAUGCAAACCAAAAUGGUUAGCCCAUCAUCCAAAGCUAGCUCCUCCUCCUUAUUUACACCUAACGGUUUCCCUGAUUCACAACAAGUUCAAUUUCCUUGCUCGACAUCUUUCAGAUAGAACAGAACAAUUACGAUUACAAUCACAAAAUGUAACACCACCCCACAUCUUCCUCUGUUUAUCUAAGCAUUACAAGACCUCAAAGUUGAUGUUCCAUCAUCAUAAUAGGCAUGGUGUAUUUCCAGUCUCAAACAAGUUAAGGUUCCAUCCUAACACCAUAAUGGUGGGUUGUUUUACUUCAGACAACGAAUCUGAGUCAGUUAACAGGCAAAAAGAAACAUUCAAUAGUUCAAGAAGAUCACUUAGAAUUUUCUGAAAACCUCAAAACCGUUUUCAUUUAUAAUUACAAACCAACCCAAAAAUUGAACAAUACGAGGCACUGGGCUGAACAAUCACCUCAGAACUCUGGUAAAAAAGAUGAAGGUUUCUAUAGAUAAAAUGGCCUUUGCAAAUAAAGCAAUGAGAAAAAUGGGAUAUAAAUUAAGGAAUGAUAGAAUGAAAAUGUUGAAAGGAAUUGCACAUGGCUUCAAAGAAUGAAUAGAUUUGGUACCCUUGCCGAGAAAUUACAUGGCUGCCUUGCCCCUCUGUUGAAGUACUACAUCAUGCACAACUUCCCCUGCUGAGUUAACAAAGUAGGUUUCCUGCCAUGGAAAAAGAACAUUUGUUGGUGCUUCAACAAGAACAAAUUUAGUAAAAAAAGACGAAUACUCACAAUCUCUAAGGAGCUGACUCUAUGAAGAAGGAACCCAUUAACCAUUCCCCUGAGGAAACAAAGAAAAAAAUUUCAUAUGUAUGAACCAAUGUAGAACACCAUUAGGAACUAUGAACAGAAAUACUCACUUACUAAAACCUGAUAUUUGAUUUACAGAAGCAAGAGGAAGUUUUUCAUCAAUUGAACCUGGGUUCCUGAUGUAGGCUAUACUAUCUUUACGAGCAUAGUCACUACAUCCCUCCCCACUCAGGUACACAUCCUGAUGAGCAAAUGCAUGGAUAAAGCGUUACUUUCUUCAUAGGCACCAGAAAGAUUCCAAAUUUGACAUAUCAGAAAGUUGUUCAUUCAAUUCAUUAGGAACUGUCUUAGAUUUUCAUAUAUAUUGAAAAUUUUGGACUUUGAUCAUCUCAAAAGCAAGUUCUCUAAAGAACCCAAAAUCAAAACCUUGGGCAUGGGAUGUCUUCACCCAUUGAUACUCAAUGGGGAGAGCCAUAAAUACUUACCACUCCAAACUUAUAAAAAAUAUGGUGUAGAUGCUCAUAAAGUUGUAUUUCUAUUCGUUCCCUGUUUCCUUCACAAACAGCCAAUGAGCAGAAACCAACAACUAUGCGCCUGGAUCAUAAGGAGGAAAAAAGGAGACAAUUAGUACUUGGGAAUUGGGAUGGAUAGUUUCUUUAUUAAGUUAAAUAUGGAGUUGAAAUGGUAGGGGUGCUUGGCAAUGGCAAUAGGACAGCAAACAAUGAAGGUCCAACAUAGUAACCAGAGAAAACAAAAGGAAAACGAAUGUUUUAACUCAACAAUUUGGGUUAAGGCAAAAUUUAAAUGAAAACCAGAAUUUUAUUGUUGAAAGAAAGAAAAUUUGUGAAAUAAAAUUAAGUUGAGAAGUAGAUUAUCACGCAUCAGAACCACUCUGAACUGACAUGAUUUUCAAAUUUUUCAAAAUUUUCCAGGCAUUACAACCUUGCUUAUUCCUAGGUUCAUGCAAUUAUAAACAGCCAAUAUGGUGCAAUGUAACCUUACCAGUCGCUAUCUGAUGUUUCUAGUGUCUUUGUCAGCCCAUGUAAUUGAUCAUUUCCAGCACCAUUUAACGGAUUCAUAAGCAUAAAAUCCUUCAAGUUUCAAAGAGGAGACCAAUUAAGAGGAAAGAAGAAUGAAAUGCGGCAUAAAGGAGCAGAAACCAAAAAACAGAAACAAAUGGGGGAUAAAAUGUGUGAUAAAUACAUCUAUGGGAUAUUGAUAGUGUAACUAAAUGAAAUAGAUAUCAAAUCAAUCAUAUACACAUAUAAAUACAACACAGAAAUAAGCAUGGCCAUGGUGAAAAAGGGCUGCAAUGUGGGUUGUAACCAGAGAAUGGAAUAUGGACAAGGAGCAUAAAAAAUGAUUUGGCAGGCCAAGAAAUGGCUAUUUUAAUAUGAUGAAAAAGAAAAAGAACAAAAAAAAUUCAUUAUGAACAUGACUUGAAGAGUACACCUACGCUCAAAUAAUGACCAAGUGAUCAACUUUAAAAUCACAUUGCUAACCUCAGCCCUACCCCUCAUGGAAAAAUGGAAAAAAUAAAUAAAAAGAAAAAAAAUUCUUAGAAGGCCUUGAGAAGGGUAAACCUGCUGGGACUCAAACCCGGAACCACCCCACAUCCCCACCCUCAACCCAAGCUACUCGAGCCACGCCUCAAGGGUGAUAAAGAUCUAACCUUCAGCAUUGAAUAAAAAAUAAGCUAAAUGUGCAAAAAAUAUCCAGUAUUUUCUCAUGCAUUUUAAUUGCUUACUAGACUAGAUAGAAUCUCCAGUCAUUGAUGAGAACAAAGAACUCAGUGUCUUUAUUAUUAUUAUUGAAUAAAAAAUAAUCUAAAUGUGCAAAAAUAUCCAGUAUUUUCUCAUGCAUUUUAAUUGCUUGCUAGACUAGAUAGAAUCUCCAGUCAUUGGUAAAAUUCAAUAAUUCCAAUUUCCACCAGUUGAUUUGUCAAGUCCCUAAUUAAAUAAUGAAAGAUAAAAUACUUUGAUGAGUUAUAUACUAAAAUAUUUGUGCUUCCCAAUCUAAUUCUAACAAGAACCCUACAAAAUGCACACCUUAAUCCAACUCAACCAACACUCAAUCUUGCGAUUGCCUCAUAGUCCACAAGGUACAUCGGAGAGACCUAACUUAUCUUGAUGUUACAAGAUUUCACAUGAACAUCUGAAUACAUCUCCUGGGGCAUGGUAAAGAUGAAUAUAAAAACAAAAUGAAAUCAAUACAAGAAGUUGAUAGCCCCUCUAUGAUCAUAACUGGGGUCAGCACAAUCAGUAACAUAAGAUUCAUGGCGUAGUAUCGCAUUCCAAACAAUAAAAUAUUGAAGUGUAUCAUAAACUCAACACAAGCAUAUGCAAUGUCAAUUAUCAUUAAGUCAACAAUGAUAUUAAACAUUGGUAUAAACAAUUGAAACAAUGACAACACAAAAGGAAAAAACCUUAUACAACUAUUAAUCUAUCCUCUUUGGAAGUCUUUUAUCAUCUUCCACAAAUUUCCCAUUUUCCUCCAUAUGCUGCACAAAAUCCGACCCCAUAUUUUUUGUAUCUUUGUCAUCAUUAAAGGAAAUAAAUGCAUGCAACUUUUAAAGAUUUGAGGCCAUGUGAAAAACUUGUCAUUUGAUGUCAAGUUUUUUUAUAUGAAAAAGUUUUCCAAAAUGAGAAUGGCAGAACUAUCAAUCUAUCUUCAUCUAGGUUUGGAGCUUCUUGAGUCUUUUAUCAAUUAUCAUCCACCAUAAAAUUCCAGUUUUCUUCUGUAAAUUGCUCAACCUCCAACAUAAUUUUUAAUUUUUUUUCUAAUUAAGAUUAAAUACAUGCAUAUUUUGAAGAUUAAGCCAUGUGGAGAAUUGUCAAUCAAUCGUAAGUUUUUCCUAUAUCAAAAGCAUUUUUUAAAAUUUUCGGCCUUGUUGGAAAAAAGACCUAAUGAGAUGGGUUUGUAUCACAAAACACUAAGGAUUGACUCAAAAGUCCCAAUGAAAUUAUAGCUACUGUAAAAACCAUGUAACCGCUUUCAAGCUUAAACCCAUAUUACAAGAGGAUGGUGGAAGAGGCCUCUCUUCUGACUGACAUAAUAACCAUGAGAAGUAUUAGCCAACAAAUCUUAAAUUGAGCAAAUUCAACAAACCAGUUGAUACCUUAAAUGCCCCAGUAUCCAAACUAAUAAUGUCUAAGGUCUUCCCAAAAGGUAUUUUGAUCUGCUUUAGGAAGUAACCUGUUCCUUGUCCUCUUGAAACUCUGGUACUGUACCUACAAGAAUUACAAUUCAGGAUUACCACACAAAGAGACUAAACCAAAAAGACUGUUACAUUAAAAACUACAUUGGAGUCCAAGUUUUGUAACAAUGAAAUUUCAAAAGAUGAGCUACAAAAAUGACACAACUGAUUGCAAAGUGGAUGGCAUACCAGGGAACUUUCAGUGUUGAAAAACGCCAAGUACCCUGUAAAAGAAGAUGUCAUCUUCUAAGAUUGUUCCUAACAGAUGAAACCAAUGAAACCUAAUUAAACUCAGCAGUAAUUUAUUUUCUAAUCACACACCUAUAAAGCAAAACAAAAUAAAACUACAGAAUUAAAUAUGAACCACUAUUCCAUUACUCCAACCAAAGCAUGGUUUCUAUUAUUUCAGUUAAAUUCACAAAAAGUUAGGAGAGAAUCAUUUCUACAACUUACCCAGAGUGAAGCAAUGCAUAACUUUGAUUAAAUUUGGCUAAACUAUGACAACUAAAGCUUCCAUAUAAAUGGAGUGUAAGCCUGAAGGUGCCACAAGAAAGUUCAUAUAACAAAUAGUAAAAGGGCUUCCCACAUUGAAUUUACUAGCCAUGGUCUUACAUUCUGUGUGAGUGGAUCGUCUUCCCCAAGUUCACUAAUGUUUAUCACAAACCUUGCCUCAUAAGUCUUUGCCGCCUUCUCCAUCUUCAUGGGAAAAAACAAUUCAAAUUAGAACAGGGAAAAUAGAAUAUAAACUCAAAAUGCUAUUAAUGUUAGUAGACGAUAAUCAUUUAAUGCAACUAAGUUCAAUAACAGAGGGGGGAAAUAACAAAGCCUAAAAACAGAGAAGGUGGAAGGCAGAAGUAACUUGGAUGAAUUAGAACCAAGAAGACAAGACAAGAUCAAAACCAACAGAUGAGAAGGCUGACACAAACAAUUGAGAGAGAUCAAAAACUGAACCAUAUAAUAAAAAACUCACUCACAUGAUUAUUCUUUGGCCAAAAGAUAAAGGUUAUGUUUGGUUCCAAAAAGUACCAAGGAAAGAAAAAAAUACUAAGAAAUAUUAUUAUGUUGCAUAUACAAUUAAAAACGGAAAAAGAAAGAUCUUCUAGGGUUCAACAACUGUCAUAUUAAAAAAAUAAUAAAAAUAAAAUUUCGAUCCCAGUAAAACCUAACACAAAAUUCUUUCCUCAAAGCAAAAUCAUUCACAUAGAAAGUAAUUGAGAAAGAAAUAAUAAACUGUUUGGUUGCUGAGAAAAUGGAGACAUAGAAAAGGAAAUCAAAAUUUUGAAACUCUAUUAUUUCCAUUAUUUGAAGGCCUGGAAGAAAGAGGGAAAAAAACUUCCACUCUUACCUUAAUUUAGGUUGUUUUGUCAAUUUCGAGAGGGGAAAAAACAGGAAAUUAAUUUCAAGCGAUUUCACUUUCAGCAUUCUCAGCAACCAAACGGAGCGUCUGAUAAAACUAUCAUAUCCACCAACAGAGCCAAAACCAAAUAUACCCACCAUCAACAUCUUAAAACAAAAUCCAUAUAGAACGAGAAAAACCCAUGCUUUUCUUCAAUGAACAAAAGGAAUCAAUAGAGAGGAUGAGAAAUAGACCUGUUUGAGAAGAUGGGUUUGUUGAUUAAGAGGUCUAAAUCCUCCUCUAACACUGAUAAAGUAAAGGUCAAGAGGCCUGCUACUGCCACUGCUGCUGUGGGACAUGGGCUUCUCCCAAGGCCGACCCAAGUUGAAUGCAAGCAAGACAGCCAAGCAGAGAGACAACUGUGUUAUAACAGUGCGAACCCAUGAAGGUUUCCCCAUUGUUAACACAGGUCUCACAGCCUCAGCUAUUCAACUGGUAAUUGAUUUCACUCAUAGAUCUGAAGAUAUAUGAGGAACGUAACCGCCGUCACCCGUAUCUCUAAUCUCCUCAAUGUUAUCUGUAGGGACCCCUCCCACACGUGGCACACAUUUUCAUCCGAGUUAAUCUCAUCCGGAUUUCCCCAAGAGUACACGUGGUGCGCUUCUCCUAUCCGGACUCCCUCAAGAAGAGGCACACGACACUCACAAACAUAACAUCCAGAUGACUGCCACAGCGCAUCCGGACGACCGACAUACACUAUCCGGGUAUAUAUAUCCGGAUCAUUGAUUGAAGUAAGCAAGUCUUACACGUUAUUACAACAACCUGUCAUGGCCCACGUUCCGCCACCUGUAGGGUGAAAGGACAAGAAUGAAGUGACGGCAAGUCACUUCCUGCGAUCACUUCCCACGAUUUCUGACAGUCGCAGCAACUACCACGAUCUCUAUCAGCCGCCUAUAGGGUGAUGAUGGCCCUGCCACCACCUAGUGUCAUCAUGACAACACAAAAUAUCUCCCUACCAUUAAAGAGAGAAACAAAGCUUCUGAUAUUAUAUAUAUGAACCUUCACACAAGGAGUAAGGUAAGCUUGCUAUACCUAGUAAAAUGCCAACUGAUUUAUCUCUCUCUAACCAUGGCUGACAAAACCAUCGGAGGGUGCGUCCGGACACCCUGUCCGGACGCCUUUUGCAGGUAGUACGAUUGAAUCAAGAAUCUAUAUUAGUUGAGAUCGUGCAUCCACCCAUUUGGCAACUAAGUGGAUCACCAGGGAUGCGACGCUUCAACAUUAUCAAUUGCUUGAUUAAGAUAUUCGCUAAUGAAGCUCCACUUGGCAGGCAGGACCCAUUAUUGAAGGGAAAUGCCUUUAUAGUUCGUUUAUAUUAUGGACUCUCGGACUAAAAUCGCUUUGUCAUAUUUGAAACUUUCCUCACAAACAAACGCACCAUCAGCCAUUAAACAUCAUAUUUCAGCAUUCUUUUUUUGCACAUUGUCACAUUCCUAUCUCCUAAUUUUCAAAAAUUAUUUUAAAUUUAAAAAUUGAGUUACCACUUCAAAAUAUAAACUUUUAAAAUAAAAUUAUGUACAUUUAAAUCCAUACUAAAUAUGUGUAUUUGCGUUUAUUGCCUUGUAAUAAUAUUUUAUUCUUUAUUAUUAUUAUAAUUUAGAUGAGUUGGUUCGAUCUAAUAUAAUAUUUGAACAAAUUUGGAUAUUUAUUUUUAAUAUUCCGAUUAGACUUUGGUUCAUUUUUUAAACCUCAUCUUAAUUUGGAUUUGACUUGGGAGAUACCUCUAAUGAAAAUUAAUAUGGUUCUCUUCAUACAUUCUAUUCUACUUUUCUUUUAAUAUCUUUGUUUAUUCUCUCGUAUUUUCUUAUUCUUAUUCUUUUAUUUCACAACAUGUUAUCAACAGAGUUAUGAAUAUAUAGAAAAAGAGAAGAAUACUUAAGGUAGAAAAGAAAAAGAGAAUAAUUCAUCUACAAAAUUUCUUAUAGAUAUGUAGUCUUAUUCUCUUCGAAUGAAAUAUGAAUAGUAUGCAUUGUAUUAUUAUAAUUUUUAUUUACUUUAUCUCAUAACCAGAAGUUAUGUGAAUCAUAUUUCAUAUAAUUACAUAUUUUAAUUAUUUAAUAACUAGAAAUUAUAUAGAAAGUUUUUUAUAACCAGAAGUUAUGAAAAAAUAUAUGUCCAAUCUUCAUAACUAGAUGUUAUGGAGUAAAUUACAAAAACACAAAUACGUAGUCGGAAGCUAUGCAUAAGAUCCCUAAUUACUUUUUAAUUGUAUUAUAUAUCUAAAAGUUAUAUAAAAUAACAUUAUAUGGCCAGAAGCUAUAUAAUGAAUAGUUCAUAACAUGAAGCUAUGUACAAAUCCAAAAUUACAAAUAUACGACCAGAAGCUAUGUAUAUAACUCAUAAUUAUUUGUUUUUAAUUAUAUAGUUGUGGACCCGCAAAUUUCACGUGCGCCCCCACUCGAUCGACGAGACUCGCUUUUUGUUGGUGAAAAAUUAAUUUUGGAAAAUUCAGAGUCACCACUUAUUUUAUUUUUAUUUUAAAGGGAAAAUAAAAUAAGAAAUAAAACUCUAAAAAAAAUGACUCCAUAAUUUUUGGAAAAGCGUGUCUUUGAAAAAAAACCCGAGUCUAAGUCCGGGGAUUAGGUUACUUAUUGGGUAGGUACCUCUAGGAGGUAGCAUCUUUCUAAGCCCUAAAGAAGUCUCUACUGACUAAAUUGGGGGUAAUAUAGCAAUUAAUUGAUUAAUUGGGGAUACCAAGAUAGGUUAAAGUGAUUUCAAAAAAUAACAUGCCAAAUAGGAUCAAAUUACCAUAAAAGAGAGUUAGGGUGCAUACUUGGACGACUUCUCAAGAGCUAUCAUAAAACAUGAAAGUUAGUAUUGAGAUACAUCACACAACACGCAUUUUAUCAAAGAUAAUCAAACAAUGAUCAAAUAUAUAUCAAGGCAAUCAAACAGGAUAGCAAGCAUGGACAUAGUACGCAACGACAAUCAUAUUCAUAGGGUUUAGAAAGUGGGUAUUAGGGAACGUACCUGGAUAGCAUUUAUAACUCCUAAUGCACUUCCUCAAGACAUGGGGGUUAGAUAAUAAAUAAUAAAUAGUAAAUCCUAGCAUGCUUAUCUAAUUAAUUAGCAAAAAUUAUCAGAAUACGGAAUAAUUAAUUAUCAUACAUAUCUUGUAUACAAUUCCUAAAAAGAAAAAUGUAAAUAUAAUUACAAUAAAUAGCAGGGUGGUAGUAAAAAUAAAUUUUGAAAAAGAUUUUCUUAUGUAGGGGUUUCACCAAUUCCCCAAAUUAAUAUACACAAAUUUAGCCUAAAAUUAUCCCAUUUAUUUGGGACCACAAGCUUUCAUUCGCGUUUUGUUCAAAACCAAAAUUUUUGUUGAAAAUUGAGAAAGAUGUGAACCGAUUAAGAUACGGUUGCAUAUUAUUUUUUAAAAAAAAGAAAAGAAAAGAGAUUUUGAUUCUAGAGGCUUUAAAUGAAUUUUAUAAAAAUAAAAUAAAAUCUUAAAAGGUUUUUUUGAGAAAAAGAGUUUUGCUUUAAAAUAAAAGAAAUUAACUUUUAAAAUAGCAAAAAUAGAAAACAAAAUAUCAAUCAAAACAAAAGGAAACAAAGAUCACAAAAUAAAGAUUUUAGAAAUUAUUGUCAAUUAAAGUGGUGAGAGUAAAGGCCAACCUUCAUGGGUUUCCAAUGGCCCUAAAAAAAAAAAAAAAAAAUUUGACCAACAAUUACUAAGGCAACAAAUUUAUGACUUCCUAAUCAAACAAACUAACAAAAUUAUCAUACAAAAACUAACAUUUAGAUUUCAAGAAACAUAUGAAUAACUAGAAUUAAAAAUGUAAACUUUACCUCACAGGAUCAAUUAAACUAAAGAAUUAAGAUUGAUAACACGUUCAAAUUAAAAAUAAACUAGAAUUUAAACUAAUCGGAAUUAAAACUAUAAACUUUACCUUACAAGACCAAUUAAACUGAUAGAUUUAAGAUCAAUAACUCAUUCAAAUUAAAAAUAAACUAAAAUUAAACUAAUUGGAAUUAAAAAUAUAAAUUUUACCUCACAAGAUCAAUUAAACUAAAGACUUAAGAUCAAUAACAUAUUCAAAUUAAAAAUAAACUAGAAUUAAACUAAUUGGAAUUAAAAAUAUAAAUUUUAUUUAAACUUUCAUGUAGAUUAAAAUAAACUAGCAUAGAACUAAUGAAUUGCAAUCAUAAAAGAGAGACAUUUAAUCUAAGAAAAAUAAAAGAUUGUUCGAAAUCGAGAUUUAAAAGAAUUUAUCACAAACAAUUAAUUAAACCAAUCAACAAAAACCCAAACUAAAAAAAAAAGAAAUAAGAAAUAAUGUAUCAAAAACCGAAAACUAACCUGUAUUGUAUCGGAAAAAUACUCUCUUGAUGUGUCAAAAUGACAGCCCAAUUAGUCUUUCAAGUCCUCUGCCAUUCCCCAAAAAAAAAACUCUUGCGCGUGCCCUCUCAAAAAAAGAUUGCCUCUUGUAUGUGGAUCUCUGCUCCAAAAGAAAAGUCCUCUCCCUGCGCCAAAGAAAUAAAAUUCCCGUGUCUGUCUUCUCUCUUACUUCUUCAUCAAUUUUCAGCCGUUGAAGACCCUCGUCAAAUGCACAUAUAUUUAAUAGAAAAUUCAGUCACUUCACUAACAACAAGGAGUCAUAAUUUCCUCCACUAUUCUGCCAUAAUUUUCAGCUCACUUAUCAAUGCUCCUUCACCAAAUUUCCAACGCAUUUCAUUGUGAAUUUUCAGCCAUGAAAAAAAAGCUUCCAUUCACAGCCACAAUUCCCGUGUGUCCACCACAAAAUUCAGUUUUCAAGAAUUCACCUUUUGCAUGAAACUACCAUCAAAGGAAUUCUCCAUAUGCAGCCAUAUAUUCCGUGAUUCAUCCAUGGAGAUUUAUAAAUUCAAGGCCAUUAUCUCCAUUAAACUAUUUUAAAAUUCAUCCAUGGAGAUUUAUAAAUUCAAGGCCAUUAUCUCCAUUAAGCUAUUAUAAAAUUCAUCCAUGGAGAUUUAUAAAUUCAAGGCCAUUAUCUCCAUUAAGCUGUUAUAAAAGUCAUCCAUGAAGAUUUUAUAUGCAAGGCCAUUGAAACCUGAUUGGAAUCAAGUAAUUAAUAUUCACAAAGUGGCUGCCCAUUCUCCAUCAGAAUCAAAGUGUUAACACGGCUGAAAGUGAAUGAAAGCCUUUCCCUUUAACCAAGGCAUCAACACGGCUGAAUGUGUAUAGAAUCUUCUUCAUUAAAUCAAGGCGUCAACACGCGUAAAGGGGAUGAAAUUCCUGCCCGCUUCGAUGGAGAUCUCCCCUCCUUCCCAGAAUAGUGCAGCUGAGUUCCAACCCCCCACCUCAAAAAUCUGAUUCUAAAUGUCUCCGACCUGUUGUGUGUGUAGCUCUCCCGAUCUGACCUGUGCGCGUGUUCUUGGAAAAUCAGAAUUGUGCGUGGACUCCUUCAUGCGGCUGUGGAGACUUCCUGAAGUGGUGUGUGGCUGUUAGUGCGUGGUCCCCAUGCUUGAGAUUCAACUUAAGCACAUGCAUGCAUGGAUUCCUUCAAUGAGAUAUCCUUACUCAUUUUUUGCAUGAGUUUGUUGACGUAAGUUACUAGGGAGAGGGUAAAUCCUUUCUUUCUUUCGCUAUUAGUUGAUCUAAAGGCUUUUAUGGUUAUUGAGUGCACUAGACUAGAAACAUACUUGCCCCAUUAGCAUGCAUAUAACGGAGCAACCAGCCCCCUUCAACAUCUCUCAUAACGUGUUCUACACUGUUGAAAGCUAAAUCCACAUGAGGUGUGUGAUGCAUAGCUAAAAAAACGCCAGUGACUAAAGAUUUUCGGAGAAGUGAUGCAAAACCUGUCUAGUCCUCUCUCACUGCAAGUCAUAGGGCCAGAAAGUCAAGCAUGGCCCAGCCCGUACCUCUCUUUCCUAGCUUCAUCUUGGCUACGCUCGAUCAUGAAACUAUCUCACCUCCGACUUUUUUUCACUAUUUACUCUUCUCUCAUUCAUGCACCAUACAUCUUAUCUGUAAUGAUAAAUUCAGAAUUCAAUCUGCUGUUUCAGUCUUAACCUCAAUGAUUGCUGGUUGAUCCUGAACUUCAUGCUUAUUUGCCCUUUGUGCAACUCUUAUUUUUUUCUUGGAUUGGUGCACAUAUUCUGCUGUUAUAAUAUGGAUCUUGGGAGUAGGCUUACUUGAUGAGGCAACAUUAAAACUUGACCUUUUUCCCGGCUCGGUGGAGAUAUUUCUGAGCCUAUUGUAAGUGGACGGUACAGAGAACAAGAAUGAAAGACUUCAAUAUUGGCUUCCCACAGGUUAUGGGUCCCGUCUGCACUGUCUUGAUGACAUAAUCACAGGGCUUGUAAAUCCGUUGUUUCGGAUCACACAGAAUAUGCAGAUAACAGAACCUUGUUAGCGCCCUCGCCUAAUCCUCCUUGAACGUCUGUAUAAUCAAAAGCCCCUCAUCUUCUUCCCAAGACGUCAAUUUCUUUUUGUAUGGAAGUUUCCAUAUAUUCUUCUAUGGGCAGCAACUUCUUUUCUUCCUUGUAGUCGUGUCUUCCUUAUAUGCAUGGUGGAGGUAACUUUAUAAAAUAAUGCAGCUGUCACUUUCCUUUCUCUAAAAUUUUGGUGAUCUUCCUUCCAAAUAGAUGGCAGCCCGUUUUUUAGAAAAAUAAUAAUAAUAAUCUUAUUUCCAUCCUUCAUUCAGCCGUGAUCUGCUUUCCUUUCUUCAACACUAUAAAUCUCAUUUCCAUGUUGCAUAGAAUAUCCCCACAUAUAUGCAGCCGUGUACAUUACAUCAAGAAUCUUCUCCAAUGUGUGCAUUCGAAUCUCAUGCCAAAAUAAAAAAAGAAUUAAAAUUAGUAAAGGUCAUGAAAUUGAAAAUUAAAACUAAUUUAAAAUUAUGCAAUUAAAAAAACAUUAUGUCUAUCAUAGGUACACAAAAAUAAUUAAGACAUCAGUUUACACAAUUAAUCAUCAAUCUCAUGCAAUAUUCUAUCAAAUAAAUAAAUAAAAACAAAUAACUAACCAAAUAAUAAUAAAUAAACAAGUAAAUAAAUAAAUAAAAUAAAAUAAAAUAGAUAAAUAAAUAAAUAAGAAAUCGAGUACAUGCAAACAUUAAAAGUGCAAAUCAUGCAAAUUAUGUAAGUCAUGUAGGAAUUACUGAAAAGGUGACAUAGGUGGGCCAGGAUGCCUAAGUGGACCUAAAGUGAGUGCGUGUAGGCUAGAAGGUGCCUAGAUGGGUCUAAGCGGGUCAAGGUGAAUCUAAGUGGGCCUAGGGUUGUGCUUAAUGGGCCAAGUGUAUUUAAAAACUAUCCUAAAAAUGAAUGAAAAGCCUAAUUCUAAAUUAAGGCUGCCAAGGGUCACAAUAAGGAGUCAGAUAAUCCCUCAACCAAAGUCUCCGAGAUGGCUCAAAAAAAGUAAGUAGUAUGAGUAGCUAUGGGCCACCAAGGAACUACUGUAAAGUAUCAAAUAAGUAUCUAAUAGGGCAUGUGCUAGGAGGACAAAAUUGAGGGUCUACAAUAGUAUAACUGAAAGUUAUACAAAAUAAUAUUUUAUACCCAGAAGCUAUAAAAUGAAUAGUUCAUAGCUUGAAAUUAUGCACAAAUCUGCACAAUGAAUAGUUUAUAGCCUAAAGUUAUGCACAAAUUUAUAUAAAAAAUAGUUCAUUGCCUAAAACUAUGUACAAAUUUAAAUAUUUUCUUGUUCUAACAAAAUAAUCAUAACUUGAAGCUAUGAAAGAUAUUAACUUUUAAUUUCUUUAUUUUCUUUUAAUUAUAUUGUUGUGGACCCCGCAUUUCGGCUCAAUGUGUUUCCCACUCGAUGGCGAGCUCGAUUUUUAUUAUUUUUGAAAAAUUGAUUUUUAUUGAUUAUUUGAAAAUGACUUGGAGUCGCCACUUAUUUUUGUUUUAUUUUUAAAGGGUAAACAAAAUAAGAAAGAAAAACCCUAAGUGUGACUCCUCAUUUUGGAAAAGGUGAUCUACGAAAAUCGGAUCAGGUUCGGGGGUCAGGUUACUUAUCGGGAAGGUACGGUAAAGACCGUAGCACCCCUCUAAGUCCCUAAGUCGGGUCUCUACUAAUGAGAUGAAGCUGACAUGGCAAUCAAUGAGAAAAUCAAUAAAUACUCGAACCAAUCAUGCACAUAUGAGAGUCAGAAAAUGCAUAUAAACUAACCAGAGUGGGAAUGAAUGUGUACCUGAGCAGCGAGCCACUAUGCGCUAUCAAGAGAGAGGGUUAGUGCAAAAUAAAGAGCAUAAACAUAGCUCACAUGUCACUAAAUCGAGUACAAAAUCAUCAAAGGCACGCAUGACACUUCACUCAAAAUUCAUUUUUAUUUUAAAGAAAAUUUAUUUGAUGUUGGGCCCUCACCAAAGCCCAUUUAUUUUGCACGAAUCAAUUCCAUAAAUCCCAUCACCUGAGAAUUACAAAAUUUGAUUUUUGGCUUAUUUUAAAACAUUUUAAAAUCAGAGAAGUUAUGAAAGUUGCAUGCCGAAGAGAGAUGGCGGCAAAUUUUAUUAAAAACAGAAUUUUGGAACCUAAAGAAAACCUAAGGAUGAAAGAUGGUAAAUAUUGAAAUUAUUUGAAAAUCGAUGUUUAAAAAAGUUAUUUGCAAGAAAGGAGUCAGAAAAUUAUUUUCUAAGCCAAAAGAUUGAUGGAAUGGGAGGUGACACGUGACCCAAAGGUGGCCAUGCAGAGAAAAUCCCAUUAUUAACCCACUUUGAAGGAGUGUUCUUUCUCUUAUUUCCUUUCUCAGUACAACGAGCCUGAUUUGAGGAAAAAACUGAGUCAACUUCCAGAUUUAGGGCCUCUCAGCAAUCCUUGAUUUGAUCUAUUCUGGGUUCGACAAAAGAUCUUCCCUCUGCAUCUCAAUCUCUCUUUCCUGGUUCACAAUCUCCUUGGGAACAUCUUCUAUAACAAGAGAUUGCACUUGAGGACAGGCAACAACUUGCAUGGCCAGGUCAUCAAUUAGCUUCACUUCUUAUCUCUCAAUUCGCAUCUUCAACAGUUUUCAAGCAUAGAGUCUCCUUUCCAGCCUCACCUUGGCCUCCUGAGUUCCAUUGCUUCUUGCAUCACUCGCCUCGCUUUACAGCAUGUGAAGUCCUGUACUUCCACUGGAGCCCAUGCUAAACUGGCUAUGGAUGGCUUGAUGGAGUUGCUGCCGAAGAUGAAAUGAGUAAAGGGCCCCUAAGUUAAACCCAUCAUGUCGUCCCAUAGGAAAAUGCUGAAAUUGCAUCAUAGAUACAACACUAUCACAAAGUUAUUCUUUCCGGUGAGGGUCCAUAGGAAAAUCAGUAAUUCCACCCUUAAAUCCUGGUAAUACAGGAAAAUCUUCAUUCUGGAUACUGAAUUCUCAGUUUUGAUGGACAACUCCAAUGCUUUGUUUCCACAGAGAACCCAGCUAUCCUUGAAAACUACCAGCAGAAUUGGGGUGAGCGAUCAGUUGGGGAAGACAGCAACAACACGCACUGAAUUUGUGACGAAACAUCUGAAAAGCGGGAUACUAGCUGAUGAAGAGUGUAGCUGAACAAGUGAUGAGAAAAUUACUGACAGCACGGUGUGGGUCGCCAUGGAUGGCACUCUAUAGACGGGACUGUGGUCUGGGAAUGAGGCUCUCCGAUGUGAAUAAUCGGUAUCUUAAAGGCAGUCUCAUCAGUUAUAACUUGGGGAUGCAAACCGCACACCCAUAUCAAUGAAACCAAUGAUAACAUACUCUUGAUCCUUGAUGGAAUAUCAAUCUAACGACAUAGGAAUCCCAGGUCAAUCUGUGAAACAAAGGGACCUCAAGGUGAAUGGUCAGCAGUGCAUUUUCGUCGUCCUCACGGAAAUUGAUGUCACAAACGGGCCUUCAUGAUUGGAUUUUCCUUUUCACUGUUCCAUUGAGGAUGGUAUUUCCCAUGCAUUUUUCCAUUUUGCAUGAAGAUGAGAAACUUCAGAACAAAUCUCAGCAGCAUAUGUACGUGCCAAAUCCUCUCUGAAAAGACACGGUUGCGAAACAGAAAGAGUGACCCCCAUUUACAAAAUCUGACGAAAGGCACAGUCGAUGUUUGGUCUGAAAUGAGUAUCGGAGCUGGAUAAUGAAAGGGUGAUGAGUUGGAGUGGUUUUGGGUGCUAAUGUAGAGUGAGAACUGUGAUGACGGGUAUCAGUGGGUGAUGGCAUCCAUGAGUGAGAAAUGGAUAUGCAUGAAGGGGUGUGGUGUAGAAAUGGAAAAGGUGGCGGAGGAUUCAUGAAGGUGUAGGGCUAUGGGCAUGGUGGUGUGGGAUUCCAUGAUGUGGAGAUAAGAGUGUGGGCAUGGUGAGGAUCUUACAAGUUGAUGGAAAAUGGUGAGAGAGGAAUGGAUGAUGAAUUGCAUGAAAAGUGGUUUGCAUAUGGUACAACAGUGGGAGAAAUGUGUAGGUGGGUAUGCGGUACAAAAAAAGGAAUGGGUAUAGCAAGCAUGAGGUGUGAUAGCUGGUGCAUGAUGACAAGAGUGAUGGUGAGCUUGAGGUGGGUUUGAUGCCGUGGAUGCAUGCAUGGGAGUGAUGGUAUGAGAUGUUGGAAGUGGGCAUGGGAAUGGUGGUCAAUGAGAAGGGUGAUCACACAAAUGAUGGAUACGAGUAUGGGGUAACAUGAUGAGCAAGCGGGCAUAGAGAAUAAAGAUGAAGGGCCCAAACCAUACUUCACCAGCUAUCUUAAGAUAAUCCAAAUCACCAGCACUAAGGGGUUGCCUUGAAGAGAGGAGUAAACUGUGAAUCUGAACUUGAUAUUUUGCCAUAAUCAACAGAGGGUCGUGCCAACAUGAGAGACCCAAAGACAGAACCAAUACCACUUCCAACAACACUGAAGACCUGAAUAACUUGAAGAUCGGUACAGUUAUUAGCCAGGUUUCUGAUGCAAUUUGAACAGAGGUUGAUAUUCUCUUUCCCAAUGAUAUAAUGGCCACAGGCAAAGUUAUUGAUAGCGUCCUCCUUGACACUGAUGAAUUGCUCUGAACGAAAAGGGUUGCCUGUGUGCUCCAAGCUCCACUUAAUUAGUUACAGUAGGCUCAAAGUAUGCUGGAUUGGCACGAAAGACAUGCUCCCUAGCAUCGGUUUCAUCUCAAUCUCUUUUGGAUGACCAUAAUAGGUACCAAAGAAGCCAUGGUUGCUCAACCUGGUUCGAAUCUUCCCAAAGACUCUAGUACCGAUUUCCCUUAGAAACGCCCAAUCUCAAACGGCCGAUCCAAACAAAACAACCAACACUCCAAAAGAAUACCAAAAACAGAGGAGAAAAUAUUGAAAGAAUGACACAAAAUAAAGCGAGGAAAGCAUAUUUUCAGAAGUUUCAUUUCAUGAAUCAUCCAUGAACCCUCUGAUUAGGUGAGAAAGACCCAUCUCCCAACACGACUACAAGCACUCAGCAUAACAGAGACUAUCAUACUCAAACCAGCAGUGGAUAAAAAUGAAUGCAAGAUUUAAUCUCAACAAACAACAAAGCCGCCUUCAUUAUCUACCCCAAAACAAACCAAAUGAGUAUCCAAAUAUCAAAAAAAAAAAUAUGUAGAAGAAUGACAAACGUACCUGAAAAUCUCUUUCUCAACCAAGUAUAUGGGGCUUCAAAUCCACUGCUCUGUUUCUAGCUUGCUCUUUAAGUCAAAACCUUCCUCUGUAACUUGUUUGCCUUCCCAGAGUUUGAACCUCUUUGCUUCCUCAAAACUCAAGAAGACCUCUCUUCUCAAAACAAUAUCCUCCUAAACGGUCAGAAAAAUUACCUUUUCUCUCCUCUCAGACUAACACUCUCUCCUCCCCCUCCCCCAAUGGAACCUCUCCUAUUCUCUCUCCUCUAUUUUUCCUCCAGUAGCAAAAACUUGAAUCUCAAGCAAGAAAAUCGUCUCUGAAUGUGAAUCUCUCCCCUCUCCAGCCAAACUUCGGGAAGGAAACCACACUCCUCACAGCAGAAAAAUGGCUAUCACCCUCACUCUCAGUAAGAAAACUCUCCCAAGAAAAAAGCUCUCUCCCCCUAGAAAAUCUCCUUUCGCAGCCCAGGCACUUCACCUUCUGAAACUUAGAACUCUCUGAAAAACCCCGCCUGGAACCCCCACUCUCUUGACCUCCAAGCCAAAGGAAAAUCCCCCUCACGGCUCUCUCAUCACUGCAAAAAUCCCGCACCUCCCUCCAGAAUAUCUUUUUUUUUUUUUUUUUUCUCCUCUAUAACAACUUUUCUUUUUCUCCCGGAUUUGCCCCUCCAACCCACUCUGCCGCAACAGCCCCCUUCCUCUACACCACCCCUCUGCUAAUAACAGAAGACGCUCCUCAAGACAACGGCCUGCAGAUCCUCAUGCCACCUGUCAACCUUCCAUUGGCAUCCUAAAAGCAUCAUCUGAUUCUGCACCAGCCUCUCAAGAGAAGACACGUGGUGGAGCAAGGCUCUUCCACGUGGCAAAAUGAGCAGCUGCCUGAAUGGCCCCAAAUGGGGGGUCUACAAUUGUGUAACUGGAAGUUAUACAUAAAUAGUUCAUAGUCUGAAGUUAUGCACAAAUUUACAUUAAAAAAAAAAGUUGAUAACCUGAAUCUAUGUAUAAAUUUGCAUAUUUUCUUGUUUUGACAAAAUAAUUAUAACUCAAAGUUAUGAAAAAAUAUUGGCUUUUAAUUUUUAUUUCGUAUUCACUUAUUUUUCACAAUAGAAAUUAUGGAAAACAAUUUUUAUUAACAAUUCUUUCAUAGCCAGAAACUAUGCAAACAAUUUCUAAUUCUCUUGUAUAACCAGAAGUUAUACAAAACAAAAUUGUCAAUGAACAACUAUGUACCUAGAAGAUAUAUAAUUUUUUUUAAAAUUUUGUUAUAUAACCAGAAGUUAUAUCAUAAUAUAAUUGUCAAUUGUUUAAUGUUAUUGUAACAUUACUUAAAUUUUAAUUAUUCAUAACCUGAAGCUAUGAAGAAAAAGUUAGUAAAUUAAUAAUUGUUAGAGCUUGUAUAGCAAGAAGUUAUAUGAAUAUAUAUAUAUAUAUAUAUAUUAUAUAACCAAAAGUUAUAUAAAUAUUAUUAUUCAUAAACCGAAGUUAUGAAAAUAAGAAAAUUAAUAUUCUUUGUGCUAAUAAAAUGUUAUGUCAAAGUUGGUAAUAUGUACUUUUUUAUAGUUAGAAGCUAUAGAGAACAAAAUUGUUAACUAACAAUUUUGUACAACUUUAUGAAAUUUAUAUGACCAAAACUUAUAAUGAAAUAUAUUAUAGCUUGAAGCUAUGAUAACAAGCAUAUAGAUAAUAUUUACAUAUUAUCAAAAGAUUAAUAUUUUGUAUAUCAAGUUAUACAAAUAGACAAUUGUUUGAUAGUUUUUAUAAAUUUCUAUUAUUAGAAGUAUACUGUCAUUAGUAGAAAAAUUUAUAUAUAGAUGUGGAAUUUUGAAUUGCAUGAAAGUAUGAUAUUUUUGUAUUAUAGGUGAUAGUUUGGAAUAUUUUUUUUAUUCUAGUUAUUUAAUAUACAAUAAUAUUUUGAUUUAGAAAUUUGAGAUUUUUUGGGUACAUGUGAAAUAUAUGACUUGGUCAUAUGAUUAAUAAAUUGAUUUCGCAUGUCUUAUUUGUUUAUAACAUGUUUUUAUGAUUGAAAAUUUUUGAGUUGUAUAAAAUAAUAUAUAUUAUUGCAUGUUGUCACAUAUGAUAUUUUUAUUAAUGCAUUAAUUUCAUUAUUCAAGAAUAUCUUUUCAGAAACAAUACAUUCAACUAUUAUUUUUAAUAUAUUAUGUUAUAUCUUUACAUACAUAUUUAUAUAGAUUUGUAAUGUUUCGAUUUAAGUUUUGAAACAAUAAGAUGCUUUAAAUCAUGAUAUGUUCUUUUGAAAUUUUGAUUUAUGAAUUAAUUUCUGCACAUUGAUUUAUAUCGUAAUAAUAUUUUGAAUAAAAAUUAUUGAUCUAUCACUACAAUUAGUUUGAUUAUUGAAAGACUUCCUAGUUAUUUCAUAUAUAAAUUGUUCCACACUUAUAAAAUCAAAUGUGUGAGAUAUUUAAGAAACAAAUAACUUUAAAUUAUCUUUUUCAUAUUUGUUUUGUUGUGUUAUAUAUGCUUUCAUUGUUUUUACACAACUUAUUAAGGUAAGUCAUCAUCGAUGACUAGUAUAUUUCCAUUUGAUUUUAACUCUUUUUCUAUGAUAAUAUUUCUUCAACUCUAUAAAGGUGAGGUCUUUAUGACAUGUUUUAUGACUUGUUAUUUUGAUGAAACUCUUGUCUCAUUAAUUGCACAACAUUGAUGACAGACAAUGUUAAUACUAUAUCAGGUGAUAGAAACCUAAUUAAAGGCUCCAGAAUAACUUAUACUAUGUCAUUAGUAGUAUUUGAUUCUAUGUGAAUGACACUUUAUACGAUGCUAGAUCCAGAAGAAUCUUGUAAGACCAACUUAGUUCCCCAUGGUAAAAGGUCGUAUGGAUGUACAUUAUAAAACCAGAAGUUUUUAUUUUGUAACUAGUCUAUCUAUACACUUGAAAGAUAGAAUGACACGUUGUGCAAAUUAUCAUUUUAAUUAGACAAUUUUCUCGCCGUUAGGGGUAGAAGAGUCAAUUCCAGAAGAACAGCGUGAAAUUAUUUGGAAUGCAUUGACUUUGACUUAUCUUGAUCCUCGUACUAAUCAAUGUGAAGUGGAAGUUCAAAAGAUUAUUUAUUUGCAAGAACUUGUAAAUCAACUACUAAAUGUUUUCAUUGAUGCAAAGAAAGUGACGAUCAUUUUCACUUACCUAGAACAUUCCAGUACGAAUUAAUGUCCCUGAAUGACAAUUAAAUAAUGCGUUGAUGUCCCUGAAUGACGAUUAAAUAAUGAGUUGAUGUCCCUGAAAGACAAUUAAAUAAUGAGUCUAAUGCACACUUGUAGACCCCCUUUUAGGUCAUUCCUACCUUGCAGCUCAAUUUUACCACGUGGAAGAGCCUUGGUCAGCCACGUGUCAGCACCUGAGAAGCCAUGAGAGAAUCAUAAUAGUGGUUUGGGGAGCCAAUCAGGAGGUGACGCGUACAUGGGAAUAUACUGGCCGUUAGAGGAGCAGAUGCUGGCAGCUGGAGGUGAGGUGCUUUUGGAGAGGUUGCCAGCUGCAGGAAGGGGGUGUCGUCUGGCAGCUAGAGGAGCUCUCUGAGCAGGCCGUUAGAGAUUUUUUUUAGGUGAGAGAGGGAAGCUAAGAAGAGGAAAAAAAAAGUCAGAGGAGAAAGGGGUGAGAGUUUGAGGAGAGUUUGAGAGAGAAAAGAGAACCUGAGGGAAAACGAGACAAGAAGGCUGGUGAUAGGGAAGCUGACAGCUGCGGGAAGGUGGUCCGGGCUGCCGUUGGGUGAUUUUUCGAAGGAACGUUUGAGGCUGGAAUAGAACAUCGGCACUCUCAGGUAUGAAAGCAAAAGGUUUAUUGUUAGUUUUUUAUUCUUAUUGAUCCUCCAUAGUUGCUGUUGAUAUUUUGAAUGUUGUUUAGUUUGUUGGGAUGAAAUCUUGCUUUCACGGUUGUCAUUGCUGAUUUUGGUAUACUCUGCUUCUAUUAUGAAUGUGCCUCAAUGUUGUGUUUAAAAUGGAUUUUCUCACCUAAUCAAAGGGUUCAUGGAUGGCUCAUGAAAUGAAACCUCUGAAAACCUUUACUCGUUUUCUUUUUGUGUUUUUUUUUGUUUUGUUUUUUUUAUUUCAAUGGGUCCUUCUUUUGUUGUGGCCAAUAUUCUGCUUCUGGGUCUCGUUUAAUGCCAUGGCUGUGAGAAGAGGUUAUUUUGGGUUAAAGAAGCAAACAAGUUGCAUGAGGCUACUUUUGGCUGUUAGAGGGGAAUAUUUUUGAGGGAGUAUUCUUUCUGGGAAAGGGAAAAACGAGUUGUUGAAGCAGCUCCACACCAGAAAAAGGUGAAGGGAAUAGAGACGGAGCCCUUGCAGAAAGAGUGAACCCAUCUUUGAACUCUAUUCAGCUCACGUUUUGACCCAAAAUCUAUUCAAUAUCACUGAAGACAACGUGGGAAAUCUCUGUAUGUCACUCGAAACUGAACAGUAGAAGAAUUUGUGGGACGAUAUUGAGGAAGUAGAAAGGCUUGAAUGUAUUAAAAUUCUCAGAGGUGUACUAUGCACCAGGGCCUGUCUUGAGGGGAUAGUUUCUUGGCUAGUUUCAUGCUGGUAUUGGGAAAAGUAUUGGGGUGCUGCUCAUGACUUGAGUGAGGGAGAGAGAUCUACAAAGAGGGAAGUUGCUGGUUUUGACGACAUUAGAGGAGGAUUCAGGGCAUUUAAAACAGAGGAGGUUUCUGGAAAGAACAAGGAGGGCAUUGUGAGGGAUUCUGGCAGAGAGCGAGAGGGGAGGAUUCUGUUAGCUAGGGGACAGUUUCUUUGCCUGAGGGCAAGUUGUAGGGAAAAGGGGGAGAGGAAGAAAAGGAAAACGGGUGGCAGCUGAGAGGAUUUGUGAGGAGAAUAGGAUGCACAGUUGAAUGACAUGCAGCCAUGGAACUCCGUGCCUUUGAUUUUGGUGUGCCUUAAUGGAGGAAUUAUUUUUUUAAUGAGAGAACUCACAUGUGGCAGUUCAAUGGCUGAAAUUCUUCAAAAAAAAAAAAAAAAGUCAAUGAGUUAAAGUGGUUAUACAUGGAGAAAUUAAUGGUUGAAAUUCAAACGGGUGUACGUGGUGGGUUUUUGGAAAUUCAAUGAUGAAUAUUCAAGGCAUUUGAUAGUGCACAUCAACUAGCGAGUCGGCAAUCCGGAUGCACAGUUUUUGGUUUGUUUUUAUUAAUUUCACUUGCUUUUCAUAUUUUAAUUUUUCUUUUAAUAGAAAAUUGUUCGAGUGACUUUGGUUUGCUUUUAAAGAUCGAUUUUAAAUUCUACUUUAAUGUUUAAUUCUUUAACUUCUUUUAAUUCAUCCUUAGCAUUCCUAAUUUACUAAAAUCCAAUCUUAAUAAUCAUCCUUAGCAUUCCUAAUUUACUAAAAUCCAAUCUUAAUAAAUCAUUUGUUAUCGUAUUUCUUUUCCACUUAUGCAUGAAUUGCAUGGCCACCUUUUAGGCCACGUGUCACCUACUGUUUCAACAUCUUCGACUAAAACCCUCUUUUGUAAAUAAUUUUUAAAUUCUGUUUUUUUUUUUAAAUAAUCCUAAAAUCUAGGUUUUUUUUUUAAAAAAUUUCAAAUAACUUCAAUUUUUUUUUGAAUUUCAUCAUUAGAGUUUUUAGGUCCCGAAAAUCCGUUUUCCAAUAAAAUUCGUUGCCAUUUUUCUUCGGCAUACAUUUUUCGUUACUUCCAUGCUUUUAAAAUAUUUUAAAACAAGCAUAGAUUCAAUUCCGUAAUUCCGAAUAACAGGGUUUAUGGAAUUAAUUCAUGCAAAAUAAACGGGCUUUGGUGGGGGCCCCACAUAUGUGAUUUAUGAUCGAUUAACUGAUUGAUUGAUUUAAUUGUCAUGCAUGAUUGAUUUAUUCUGCUCUAUGACAUGCUCGAAAUUAUUUCUUAACUAUGCACUAACCCUCCUCUUGAUAGCGCAUAUUGGUUCGCCACCCAGGUAUGUAUUUUCCUGCAUCAUGGUCACUCCUUAUGCUUGUUUCUAAUUCUCAUAUGUGCAUGAUCGAUUUGGGUCUUCAUUGAUUUUCUCAUUGGUUGCCAUGUCAACUUCAUUUUAUUAGUAGAGACCCGACUUUAGGGACUUAGAGGAGUGCUACGGUCUUUACCGUACCUUCCCGAUAAGUAACCUGACCCCCGAACCCGAUUCGGUUUUUUGUAGAUCACCUUUUCCAAAUAAGGAGUCACACUUAGGGUUUUUCUUUCUUAUUUUGUUUACCCUUUUGAAAAUAAAACAAAAAUAAGUGGCGACUCCAAGUCAUUUUCUUAAUCAAUAAAAAUCAAUUUUUCAAAAUAAAAAUCGAGCUCGCCAUUCGAGUGGGAAACGCAUUGAGUCGAAAUGCGGGGUCCACAACACUUGAAGCGUGGUAAACCCUGAAAAGGCAAACAAAUUCCUUUAAAAGAAAAACACAAGGAAAGAUAUAUGAAAUGUGACACUCUUGAAGAAGUCGCAUAUAAAAUGAGUUAUUAAAAUGAUUGAUCAAUCUCAAGCAGCCCCUAAAGAGGCACAGUUUAAACAAGUAGCCUUAUGAUAGGUAUAUGUUUAAUAAUUAGUUCCUGAAAAUGUACAAGUACCUGAUAUUGAUGAGAUCUCAAUUAUUUACUUAUAUAUGAAAAAAAAAUGGGAUUGAAAUACUCUUGUCAUUAACAAUAUAUUUUCUUUCCAAAUAGCUGUUGACAUCAUAAGAAUUGAUGAGGAUCCCAAAGUAGAAACUAUGAAUGAAUGUCAACAUAGAAAAGAUUGGCCAAAAUGGAAAGAAUACAUCCCAAAAAAAUUAUACUCAUUAGAAAAAUGAGAAGUAUUUGAACCUGUAGUCCAAACGCCUGAAGUUGUCAAACUUAUUGAAUAUAAAUGAGUAUUUAUAAGAAAGUGUAAUGAGAAAAAUGAAAUCACGAUAUAUAAAAUGUGACUCAUAGCUCAAGGUUUUCCGCAGAAACCUAGUAUUAACUAUGAGGAAACAUAUUCUCCUAUGAUGGACGCAACCAUAUUUAGAUAUCUAAUUUGUUUAACAGUCUUAGAAUGACUAGAUUUGCGUUUCAUGAAUGUCAUUAUUGCAUAUUUACGUGAAUCUUUAGAUAAUCACACACACACACACACACACACACACACACACACACACACAUACAUAUAUAUAUAUAUAUAUAUAUAUAUAUAUAUACGAAAAUCCUUGAAGGAUUUCAAAUACUUGAAGCAACUAAUUCAAAAUAUUGUAGCAUAUACUCAAUUAAGUUACAAAGAUCCUUGUAUCAAUUAAGCAAUCUAAAAACAUGUGAUACGAUCACUUCAAUGAAUAUUUGAAGCGAGAAGUAUGUAUGUAUUACCUUAUUUAUUUAUACAUAUUCAUUAUAUUGAAUUUUUGCAAUUAUUAUAGUAUAUGUGGAACAUUGAAUUUUUUUGGAACUCCUGAAGAGCUUACAAAAAUAGUUGACUAUUUAAAAAUUAAAUUUUGAAAUGAAAGAUCCUGGAAAACAAUUUUUUUUUCCUCGACCUGCAGAUCGAGUAUUUUUCAAACGAAAUAUUAGUUUAUUAGUCAACAUAUACAAAGAAAUUCUUGAAGCACUUUCAUAUGGAUAAAUCACAUCCAUUAAGUUCUCUGAUGAUAGUUCAUUCACUUGAAGUGAAAAAUGACCCUUUUUGUCCUAAAGAAGAUAAUAAAAAACUAUUUGGUCCAAAAAUACCAUAUUACAGUGUUAUUGGUGCAUCGAUGAAUCUUGCAAAUUAUACAUGACCAGAUAUUGCAUUCCUUGUUAAUUUACUUGUGAGAUAUAGUUCUACACCAAUUCAAAGACAUUGGAAUAAAAACAAGCAUGUACUACAAUAACAUGGGUCUAUGUUAUUCCAAAUGAUCAGAAUCUUAAGUGCUUGAAUAUGUAGAUGUUGACUAUCUUUCACACCCCCACAAAGCUCGAUCUUAAAUGAGGUAUGUAUUUAUCUAUGGUGGUACGACAAUAUCAUGGAGAUCAAUCAUGCAAAUAAUGGAAACAUGUGGACUACCCUCCAUCAAAGGUAAUGCUACCAAGUUAAUAAUGCUGCAUGUAUUGCACAAAUUAAAGAAUGAUACAUUAAGGGUGAUAGAAUUAAGCACAUAUCGUCCAAGUCUUUUACUUUCAUUAACUCAAGAAUAGUGAUGAAAUUGCUAUUCGACGAAUAAAAUCAAGUGGCAAUUUAGUAUAUCUAUUCACAAAGGCAUUGUCAAUUACAAUACUCAAGAAGCUCAUUGGAAUACGCCGACUCAAAGAUCUCCAUGUUGUACUACUAGAGAAAAUAUAAUCAUGUCAACAUGAGGGGGAGCUAAUUGAUAAAAAUAUCACUACGCUACACUCUUUUUUCCUUCAUCCAAGUUUUGUCUCAUUGGGUUUUACUGGCAAGGUUUUUAAUAAGACAAUUGUGGUAAUCCAAAAAAAUAUUGUACUCUUUUUCUUUCACUAGGGUUUUUCCUAGUAAGGUUUUAAUGAGACAUAUUCUUAUGAUCAUACAAGGAGGAGUAUUAUAAAAUAUGAGAUUUUGUAUCACUAUGGUAACUUGUGGAUGAUCAUUCAUAUUAAUAUACAUCUCUUUGUAACUCCCUAUAAAAGGGAGAUACCUCUAAUGAAAAUUAAUCUGGUUCUCUUCCAACAUUUUGUUAUACUUUUCUUUGAAUAUCUUUGUUUAUUCUCUCAUAUUUUCUUUUUCUUCUUCUUUUUAUUUCACAACUGUGGACCCGCAUUUUUCACGUGCGCCCCCACUUGAUCGACGAGACUCGCUUUUUAUUGUGAAAAAUUAAUUUUAAAAAAAAGUUGGAGUCGCCACUUAUUUUAUUUUUUAUUUUUGAAGGGAAAAUAAAACAAGAAAUAAAACCCUAAAAAAAAUGACUCCAUAAUUUUUGGAAAAGCGUGUCUUUGAAAACCCAAGUCUUGGUCCGGGGAUCAGGUUACUUAUUGGGAAGGUACCUCUAGGAGGUAGCACCCCUCUAAGCCCUAAAGAGGUCUCUACUAACUAAGUUAAGGGAAGCGUGGCAAUUAAAUGGUUGACCUCGGGUACCUAAGUAGGCUAGGUGAUUCCAAAAAAAACAUAACAUAUCAAACAAAAUCAAAUCACAAUUAAGGAGAGUUAAAAAUGCGUACCUGGACAGCCUCCCAAGCGCUAUCAUAAAACAUAAGAGAUUAGUUUGGAGAUACAUCACACAACAUUGUUUUAUCAAAGAUAAUCAAACAAUCAUCAAAUGUAUAUCAAGGCAAUUAAAGAGGAUAGCAAGCAUGGGCAUACAUAUUCAUAGGGUUUAGAAAGUGGGUAUUAGGGAACGUACCUGGAUAGCAUAUUUAAUUCCUAAUGCGCUUCCACAAAACAUGAGAGGUUAGAUAACAAACAAUAAAAUAAGAAGUCCUAGCAUGCUCGUUAUCUAAUUAUCAUAGCAUAAAUUGUCAAAAUAUAUGAAAACAAUAAUUAUCACACUCAUCUUGUAUACAAUUUCUAAAAAAAAGAUAGAUAUAAUUUCAAAAAGUGACAAAAAUGGCAACAAAAAUAAUUUUUGAAAAGAUUUUCUUAUGUAGGGGUUUCACCAAUUCCCCAAAUUAAUAUACACAAAUUUAGCCCAGAAUUAUCCCAUUAUUUGGGACCACAAGCUUUGAUUCGUGUUUUUGUUCAAAACCAAACUUUUUGUUAGAAACUGAGAAGGAUGCAAACCGAACAAAAAAAUGGUUGCAUAUUAUUUUAAGAAAAUGAGAUUUUUUUUAUUCCAAGGACUCUAAAUGAAUUUUUUUUUUAAAAUAGGUUUUUAAAGGGAUCUUUUAAGGAAAGUGUUGGAUUUCAAAAUAAAAAGAAAUUAAUUUGAAAAUGACAAGACAUAAGGAACAAAAUACCAAGCAAAACAAAAGUGAUUAAAAUCGCAAAGUAGAGUUUUUGACAACUGAGAAAAUUGAAGUGGUGAGAAUGGAGGUCAAUCUUCCCUAUUUUCCGAUGGCCUCCGAAAAGUAAAUUUUACUAGAGAUUACCAAAGCAAUAAACUACUCAAACUCAGGUCAAAUAAGCUAACGAGAUACCCACCAAGAAUUAAUGACGAAUAUUUAAGAAACACAUCCAUUAAGAAUAAAAAUCAAGAAUUAGCAUGAGAUCAAUUAACCACACAAACACAUCUAGAUUUAUUAAAAUGAGACAAAUUAAAUCAAAGCAAACAAUAAUUUUCAAACAUAGAAUUAACUUUAUUAAUGAAGUAAUUUUAUAUAAAAUACUUAAAUCGAAUAGAUGAGUGAAACUAAAUCAGGGUAAACUAAAGGCAUGAAUUUUCAAAUAUAGAAUUGAUUUUAUUAAUGACCUAAAAUUUUACAAACUCCUAAAAUACUUAAAAUGAAUCAAUUUAAACAAAAGGAAACUAAAACAAAAUAUGGAUUUAGGGAAUCUAAUUUCAAAAUAAACUUACAUUAUUAAAAUGAAACCUAGGCUUAAAAUGAAUUAAACACUAAUUAAAGUCAAUCUAAACUUAAAUUCUUAACAUACAUGAUCAAUUAUUUUAACAAAUUAAAAUUUUACAAGAGCACCUAAACCUAAAGUUAUAUAAAAACACUAACAAGAACAGAUUUUUAAAAUUAAAUCUCUAACCUAUAAAAAUUAGUUUUAUUAAUAAAUAAAUGAAAUAGGUAAUGCAUGACUAAAUAAGUAUAGCUAAAACAAAAUACGGACUCAUGGAAUUAAUUUUUUUUUUUUUUUUGUGUAUAAACUUACAUUACUGGAAUAAAAUUUGAGCUUAACAAAUGUUUUUAACACUAAUUAAGGUAAGUUUAAAAUCUAAUAUUUAACAUAUAAAAAUCAAUCAUUUCAACAAACUAAAAUUUUACUUAAACCUAAAACCAAUUCAACCGACCUACAACAAUUUUUUUUUUUUUAAACUGAAUUUUUAGCCCAUAGGAUCAAUCUUAUUAAUAAAUAAAUAAAUUACAAAGAAUUAAAUUAAUAGCAAAUAAAUAAAUAAAUAAUCAAUAAUUAAAUGAAUCAAAACUAAAUUAAAUAAAGAUCAACUAUAUAUUUUUUUUCAAGUAAAGCUACAUAAAAUUGUAUUUUAUGAAUUGAAUAUAAUACAUCAAAACUAACCUUAAACAACACUAAUCUUUAAUGUAAUAAAUCAAAAAAUUAAACAAAAAGUGAGAUUGUGCUCCCAUAUUAAAACGAAUACAUGCUGGAGCCAAUAAAACAAAUCAACCCACUCAACCCAAUAUAAUAAUCCAACUUUAAAUAGUACAUCACAAGACAUCAAAGUUCCACCCAAUGUAAUAAAUAAAUAAAAAAUUAAACCAAAAGUGAGAUUUUGCUGCCAUAUGAAUACAUGUUGGAGCCAAUAAAACAAAUCAACCCACUCAACCCAAUAUAAUAAUCCAACUUUAAAAAGUACAUCACAAGACAUCAAAGUUCCACUAAAAACUCAUAAAAAAAUAACUAACUUACCUAGUUGGCUUACCAAAAAAAACCUGGUGGCAUGUAGUUGCUUUCUCUUCCCUAAUGAUGCUCGGGAACAAUGGUAUUGGUUGAUGGGAACUGAUGAGUUUUGGUUCUUCAGCCAAUACUCUUAUUUCAAAUCAACAAAGCUCGUCUCAAGGAACGGUAAGUAUAAAUUUAAGAACCCCGCAACUGGUUUUCAAUUAUUUUGAUAGCCAAUAAAAAAUGGAUAAUGUGUUCCAGAAGUUGGACGAACAUGAGGACGUAUGGCAGGAGAAUGGAGAAAAGCAAAUGUGCGGCCUGGUUGUGUAGUUGACGAUGAUGGGAAUUGGAGGAUUCUCUGUUUUUAAGGAUAUGUGGAUGGAUGGACUGCUGUCCAGAUGGUUCUCGAUUUUCAACCAAAGGAAGAUUCAGAAGACUCAUGCGACAGGAAAAUUCAGAUGACGCAAACACCAACUUCGGCCUGGCUACGUCAACUUCAGCAGCGGGGUUGACCAAAACGAUCUGGGUGUUCAGGAUCUAACCAUUGGUGAGUUCAAAUGUUGUCUCCCUUCUUUCCCUUCCAAAUCUUCCCGUUCCCUCUCCUCUAUACCUUCCCAAUCGCGGGGUGAAUAGCCGAUGAAUCACCAAACAGUUGCGUAUGUGGGUUUCCCCAAAACAACUUAUCUCUGCUCUAAAAAAAAAAACCUCCCUCUCUCGUGUGUCUUCCUUCCUUUUCUUUUCUUUUCCUUCUUCUUCCUCUUUUCUCAAUCUCUCCGACUCCUCUCUAGCCACCAGUGAUCGAAGGCACCGUAGCCAAGGUUUUCCUCUUUUCUGAUCAUUUUUUUUUCUCUUCUUGAAUGCAAAAAAAUAUUUUCUUUCUUUCCUGGUGCAGCUGCCACUUCCCUCUAGAGAAUCAUUUCCUUCUCAAUGGUCCCGUUGACUCUACCAAUAUGGAAAAAAUCCCUCACCGGUCUAGAGAAAACCCGUAAUCUUCCGCAUCAGUCCAACAUGAUUAGAACCCUACAUUUUGAACCUAGCCUUCAUUUCCAUCCCUAUACACACCGAACAUCUUCUUUUCACCUGCCAAAAUCAGCUUUGGUAAGUUUCUAAACCUUCCCAUCUCUCUCUUUCUUCCCUUUUUCAUAUCUGUCUUGGGUUGAAUGCUCUUUCAAAUCACGGUCGAAUCUCCCUUCCAUAGAACCCUGCAAUAAAAAUAGUAAAAACAAAAUCAUCCAAUUAAAUAGUAAUAAUAAUAAUAAUAAUAAUAAUAAUAAUAAUAAAUAAAUAAAUAAAUAAAUAAUAAUAAUAAUAAAGAUGAUUAAUCAUAUACAUGUACAAGAUAACCAAAAUAUUAUUUCAUGAUAAAGAAACAUAACGUUAGUAUCUUAUAAUCUCCUAAAAAUAAAUAAAUACAAGAACAAAUAAACUAAAACCCACUUAAAACAAAAAUCAAACAAAUAGAAUUCCAGAAGACAAACCUUAGUGUACUAAGCUUAAAGAACUACCCAAGGGAUUCUAAGUGGGCCUAAAGUGGUGCUUAAUGGACCUAGCCUUCCUAAGUGGGCCUAAGUGGGCUUAGAGUGGGCCUAAGUGUAUCUAAGUGAACCUAGGAUGCCUAAGUGAGCUUAAAGUGGUGCCUAAUGGGUUAGGCAUGUCUAAUGGGCCUAAGGUGUACUAAGUGAACCUAAGGUGCCUAAAUGGGCCUAAGGUGACUAAGUGGGCCUGAAGUGUCUAAAUGGGCCUAAAGUAAUCUAAUGGGCCAAGUGUACCUAAAUGGGCCUAGGGUUACCUAAUGGGCCAAGUGUGGUGCCUAAGUGGGCCUAAAGUGCCUAAGUCUAAAUUAGAGCUGCCAAAGGUCACAAUAAGAUGUCAAAUCAUCCCCCAACCAAAGUCUCCAAGGUGGCUUAGAAAAGAUAGGCUACACGAAUAUUAACGGGCCACCAGGGAAUUGUUAUAAACGACAUGUGCGAGGAAGACAAAAUUGAGGGUCUACAACAACAUAUAUAUAUAUAUAUAUAUAUAUAUAUAUAUAUCAAACUAUAAUUAUAUAAUUUUUUUUAAAUGUAUAAAUCCAUUUUAUUUUUUUAUUAGCUUAAAAUUUUUAUUUUUAAAUAUAGAAAUGUAUUUUUGUUAAAAAAUUAUAUUUCAUAUUUUUGUUCCAUUAUUACUUUUAUUCUUUCUUUUUUGUUUGAUUUUUGCAUGUUAUGUUGUCCAUUUUUCGUUUUUAUUUUUUUCAUUUUUUUAUUUGGAAAAAAAUAAAUAAAAUAUAAUUAAUAGUGACAAAUGAAAAGAGAAAAAAGAAGAAAUGUUGAAAAAUAAAAAUAAAAUUGGUCAUUUUCGUGCAUUUUAUUUUAUUUGUGUGUUUCGAUUAUUCUCCUUUUUAAACAAUUGCAUAAAAGAAAAAAAAAUGAAAAUGAUUGUAGGUGAUUUUCAAAAUAGAGGUGAUUUUCUUGAGGAAAGAAUUCGAAAGUUGAUGUAUAAUGUUGAAGAAGAGCCUUCGUUGUAGGUGGGACGAGAGAGGAAACAACUUUGAAUUUUGAAACUUUACCAUCUAAAAUCAAAACAAAAUCAAUUGCAAUUUACGCAAUUUUGUAGGAAAUUAUUAUUAUUAUUAUAAUGGUAUAACAAGUUUAAUAUAAAAAAAAUAAAAAAUUUGUAGUAUAAAAAUAUUAUAAUAAAAUAAAUAAAUUUAUUUUCAAAAAUAUGAAAAUUAAUAUAAAAAUAUUAGGGAAAAAUUAUGUGUACACAUAAAAAAAUAAAAUAUAAAAUUGAUGGAUUAAAUUAUUAUUGAAAUUAUAAUCCGACUUAAAGUCAAAUUAGAAGAAUUUUAUGAAAUGUCAUAUCAAAACUAAAAUACUAAAAAAUGUGUAGAAUCAAAAGAAAAUUAUACUUUUGUUUGUGAAAUUAUGACUAUAAAGAAUAACUCAAUUCAUUUUCAACUCCAGUAAAAAUUUUGAUAAGUUGUGUAUAUGCAUGUCUUGUUUAAAUCUCAAUAUCUAUAAAAUCUAGUGAAUAAUAGUGUGGACCCCGUAUUUCGCACGAUGUGUUUCCACUCGAUGGCGUGACUCACUUUUUGUUUAUUUGUGAAAAAUUAUGAUUUUUAGAAAAGACUUGGAGUCACCACUUAUUUUUGUUUUAGUUUUUUAAGGGAAAACAAAGUAAGAAAAAAAAACCCUAAGUGUGACUUCUCAUUUGGAAAAAAUGGUCUAUGAAAAACCAAAUCUAGGUUCGAGGGGUUAUGUUACUUAUUGGGAAGGUAGGGUAAAGACCGUAGCACCCCUUUAAGUCCCUAAAAAUGAGUCUCUACUAAAUAAGGUGAGUCAAACAUGACAAUUAACUAGGAGAUCAAUGAAUACCAAAAUGAUUAUAGGUCAAAAGCAAGUUAUGAUAAUGAAUAAAUAAAAAAAGUGAGAGUGAGAGCGUACCUUGGCAGUAGGUAAUAAAGCGCUAUCAUGGAAACAAGGUUAGCUCAAGUAUAAAAUUAUUACGCGCAUAUCAAAAAUCAAGACAAAAAUCAAGCAAUAUUCGUUAAGCAUAACAUUUGACAAUCAGAAGAGAAAACUCAUAUGUGGGGUCCUCACCAAAGCCCAAUUUAUCUUGCACGAAUUAGUAUCACAAAUUCCAUUAUUUUGGAAUUAUAAAAAAUUCAUUCUUGCUUAUUUAAAAUAAAGAUAAACAAAAAAUUAUUUGAAAAUCGAAGAAAAUUUGUACAAGUGCAUACCAAAAUGAGAAUGGUAGCAGACUCAUUAAAAUCAGGAUUUUUGGCAACCUAAAACCCUAAUAAAUGAUUAAAAGUUGUAGAUAAAAAAUAUUUGAAAAUUGGAGUGGGAUUAAAACUGUUUGAGAGAAAACUAGAGUUUUGAAAUUUAUUUGAAAAUUGAAGUCUCGAAAAUUAUUUGAGAAUUGGAGUUUUGAAAAUUAAAUUUAAGAAUUGGAAUUUUAGAAAUUAAAUUUGAAAGAAAUUGGAAUUUUGAAAAUUAUUUGAGACUUGGAGUUUUGAAAAUUAAAUUUAAGAAUUGGAAUUUUGGAAAUUAAAUUUUGAAAUAAAUUGGAAUUUUGAAAAUUAUUUGAGAAUUGGAGUUUUGAAAAUUAAAUUUAGGAAUUGGAGUUUUGAAAAUUAAUUGAGAAUUGGAGUUUUGAAAAUUAGUUUUAAGAAUUGGAAUUUUGGGAAUUAAAUUUGAAAGAAAUUGGAAUUUUGAAAAUUAAAUUUAAGAAUUUGAAUUAAAUUUGAAAGAAAUUGAAAUUUUGAAAAUUAUUUGAGAAUUGAAGUUUUUAAAAUUAAAUUUAGGAAUUGGAGUUUUGGAAAUUAAAUUUAAAAGAAAUUGGAAUUUUGAAAAUUGAUUGAGAAUUGGAGUUUUGAAAAUUAGUUUUAAGAAUUGGAAUUUUGAAAAUUAAAUUUGAAAGAAAUUAAAAUUUUGAAAAUGGAAGUUUUAAAAAUUAAAUUUGAGAAUUGGAAUUUCAAAAAAUUAUUUGAAAAUAGAAAUUUGAAAAUUACAUUUAAUAAUUGGAAUUUUGAAAAAUUAUUUGAAAACAAAAGUUUUGAAAAUCGGAAUUUCGAAAAAUUAUUUGAGAAUGGAAUUCUUAAAAGAUCAAAUUUUUAACAUAAAAUGAUGGAUUAGGAGGGUGACACGUCAAACAUUGGAUAGCAGCCCUCUAGAGUGGAAUCCCAAGGUUCUCCUAAAAAAAUACCUCAAUGUCUAAAUGGCUAUAAGCAUCUGUCCAAAAAAAAAAAAAAAACAAUAGUAGAUUUUCCAUUUGUUCCGGUCACUACUAAUAUCUUAAUACUUCUUGGAAGAAUUUCCGUAGCAAAAUCCAACUUAGACAAUAUUCUUUUCACUGAUUGCAACAAGAAGGAAAGUCCAUGACUUUCCAAGGGAACUCCUAGUGAAACAACUACCAUUUCGGCAUCCUUGAGAAGCUUUGUGUCAAAGUGUCCAAGAACGGUUUUCAAAUGACCAUGCUUUUCAAACAGGAGAUCGAGCUCAAGCGAGAGCAAGCUUUGUUGCAGCUCUACCAGAUUUUCCCAACAAGAAAACAGGAAACUCUCAACCAAACCCAAAUUCACGAAAGAGAAUCAAACCAUAUGGGAAACAUCUGGAUCGGCGCGGUAGCUACAGUUUUGUAACAAAUCUCACUUGGGGUCUAGAGAUUCAUGUUACCUCAAGCUUUUUCUUGUCAGCCUCAUCAUCCCAUGGUUUCACAUCCCAGUGUACAGUCCCAUACCCAAGAAUGCAUAAACACCAGGAACAGGGAGAAAACAACAAAAACAUAGCACAAAUGAAGAAAAUAAUAUGAACCAUCAAAAGCCACACUUCAUGUCUUAGUCAGUGGAUGAAAAGGAUUUCUAAAUAUCACAAAAGAGAUAAAAAUUAGUUGGACCAAUUUUUGAACACAAAUUGGAGCAACAAAGAAGCCGUUAACUAUGAAAAAAAAAAUUCAUGAAUCACCCAAAGAUCAACAACAACAUAUCUCAAUAAUAGUGGAUGAAAGAAAAAAUUUUCACAAUGGAGAACUUACUUCAGGGAAGACGUUGGAGGUCUUUCUUCUAUAGAGCCCAAUAACCCGUGAGCUUCUUCUCUACUUCUCUCAACUCACCAUUUCACUCAUAGAAAAACGAUUCAUUAUGACCCCCCUCAAAUCUCAGCUUAUCUUUUUUCUUUUUGUUCCUUUUAAAAUCCCUCAGCUGCCACAAAAACCCAGCACCCACUUUCCAGAUUUUUCUCCCAGAAAAUCCUCUUCAGCUGCUGCCCCUUUUUCUCUCUCCUCUCAUCAUAGUUUUCUUCAUUUUUUCCUCCGAUCCCCUUAUCUUUUUAGUUUUCUACCCCCCCUCCCCAGUUCACCCUCCAAACCUGCAGCUACCCCUCAGACUACUCCCAUAUUUUUUUCUUUCAAGCUCUCAAAACCCUCACAACGCACCCGACUCUCCUUCAAUCCCCUUGCUCAGUUUUUCAUUUUUUUCAAGCUGUCACCUCCUUCGGUCCAGCUCUCCCUCUCCAAGCUUCAAUUUUUCUCCCAAAAAAAACCCGUUCUCUCCUAAUUUCAUCCUCUGCUCAAGACAGCUCACCCAUGUUCUAUUUUUCUUUCACUUCUAGUCUCAUCCUCCAUCUGUUCCAUUGUUCUUGGUUCAGUGAAGACGUCACCACUCUCAACCACCACCAUGGCGAGUUGGUGACAUCCUUUUCCAUGCGUCUCAAUCAUGCAGCUUGUCCACCUCAUGGAGAGGUCAUCCCCCACUUUUCCAAAAAAAAAAAUCUAGCUCACUCCCGAGUACCCAAUGAGGGGUCUACAAAUAGUUACAUCAAAAUGAUCAAUUCAAAAGAAUUUAAGUCUGUAUUAAAAGAGCAAAAAGAUUUAUCGUUGAAAGAAAUAUUUGAAAACACUCUGUUGCCAGUUCGAAUUACUAGCUCCAUAGGAUUGCAACCCACCAACUAUGUUAUCUGAGAUGCUUGCCAAUCUACAUGAUCACUUCCCAUUGGCAUCUUUCAUAAGGCCAUCAAGAGUGGAUAUUUUGUAAUAUACACGUGGAUACAUUUUGGGAUGUAGUUUGAUAUUUUAUAUUAUUUUGUAUUUUUGGUGUAUUGACAUUUUCAUAUUAAUGUUGGGAGGUUGGAUUAACACUUAAAAUUUUUAAAUACAUUUUUACCUAUGUUAUUCAUCAUGGAUGAAAUAAGUAUUUUUGAAAUUUUAAUUUUUAAGAUUUUACUUUAUUCCACUAAUUUAUUUUUAUCAUUUUAAUCAAUUCUAUCUUCAUAAAAAAAAAUUAUAAAUAAGCUUUAUAAGAAUUCAUUUUUAUUAUCAAAUAAUUAUUUUGUUUUCUUAACAAAAUAAAUAUUUUAUAAUUUUGAAAUAAAAUAAUAAAUACUAUGUAACAUUAUCAAACGAGUUUUUUUUUAAAUUUUUAAAAAAUAAUUAUUGAUUUUAUCAAAUAAAUAAAAUAGUAUUUUAAUCUAUGGACCCCUUACUAUUUUUCUUUCCUUUUCAUGUAUCACAUGUUUAAUUAUUUUUUAUUAAAAAUUAGUUUUUGAUAGGCAUUGCUACUAUAAUACCACUUUCUUUUCAUUAAGGAGAGGCACAAGAACCCAUUACGAUUAGACAAUGGGUCAAAUCAUGAAGUCACAUCUCACUAGUAGAUUAAAAAAAAAAACUUUUAUAACUUUGUUGUUAUCUUUUCAUUUUAAGGGUAAAAUAGGAAAAAACAAUUACGAUGCACUCUAAAAUUGCUUUUAAAUUUAUUCCAAAAUUACCCUAAAAAAUUUGCCAUGAAUGUGAGAAAAGUGGUGAUGUGAUAGAAGGAAAAAGUGAUGAAAUGAAGAGGCAUGAGGUGUUGAUUGGAGGGUGGCACUGUGGAUGACGGUCCUAUGGUGCCACACCGAGGUGAAAGUGUGGGCUAGUAGUGAUAGUGGAGAGAAAUGGAUGCAAAAAAUGGGUAUGGUGGGCAGAUGAAGAGAAAGAGAAAGAGAAAGAAAGUGUUGUGAUUUGCAACGGUUGGUGGUAUUGGAGAAAGGCAACAUUUGGUGUUACAGAAGAGAGACAACAUUGUGUCACAGGAUGCACAAAUGACCCUCCCCAUGGGCUUAUUUUGGAGGUGGGAAGCUUAUGGAAACUCCUGAAGCCAUCUACACUAAGCCAUUGGUGGGAAGAGUGUGGAAGCUUCUAAAAAAGCCUAGGGAUGUUCGCACAUCUUUACAUUAUGGUGGAAGGCAUGAGAAAAUUCCAAGACUUUCUAGAGAGUUCUAGAGGUCUCUUGUAUAUUCUUGUACGUAAGCUUGUACAUAGAAUUAUAUAGGGUGUUCUAGAAUAUUCAUGAGUUGUAAGGAACCCUCCAAGGUUCUAGAGAGUCCAUUGGUGUUUAUAAAUGAGGGUCUUAUUUGGUCAGGGCACCAAGCAAGUGAGUUUCCAAGCAUUGUAUAAACUUUCUUUGAAAUCAGUAAAACUUCCGUUCUUUAAGUGUUGCCUACUACGCCCUCUAAAGCUUUUAAGUUGGGUGCAUCUUUGCAAAGCAAACUAAGUAUCAGGACUAAUGUUGACUUAGCAAGAUCAAGGGUCUUGACUUGUCUAAGUGUCGCACAAGCUUAGGAAAAGACUAAGUUUGUGACAGUUGGCACUAGGUUGUGGAUAAGUGGUGGUGGUGAUGUGGAGAAAGUGAAGGAAACAUAGAAGAAGAAAGAAAAAGAAAUAUGGGAAAGGAAAAGGGAGAGAAAAAAAUACUACUAGGUAAGGGAAACUAUGAGCGGUGGCCAACGACGACACUAAUAGAUAAUGUUAUCAAUGGUGCCGAUAGAUUCGGUGGAAGCGGUAGAUUCAGUGGGAAGUGAGAGGCGACAGUGAAUUGAACUUUGGUGGCAAAUCAUACACGACUACCCUCCUCCCAUCGCAAUCACCAUCAUUCUCAUUUUUCGCUUAGGAUCAAUGUGCCCUCUCUAAGCAACAUUGACAACCCCCCUCCCUCCCCUAUCUUUUUCAUUUCUAAUGUUGUUUUCUACAAUUGGAACUAGGUUUUCAAAAACAUCGACUAUCUCUGGAGGAGUAGUACUAGUACUGUGAAUGAUUGAAAUUGUGAUUUCAAAAUUAGGUUGGGUUCCAACAUAGAGGUAAUAGAGGUUGUUAAGCCUUCAGGAAGACGUGCACAAGUGAACAAUGUUCCUAGAGAUUAUAGUGGUGGAAGAAUACCAUAAAAAGAUAAGAAAAGAAAAGGGAAAAGGACUCUUUCUCAUGCCACCUACCCAUUCUCAGUGUUGACACAUUUUUCUAGCUGGCACCAUUCCCUCCAAUCGUCACCUACCCAUCAUCACCACCAUCCCUUACUUUCAUGGUAAUUUUUUUAAGAUAAUCUUGGAACAAAUUCAAAAACAUUGUUAGAGCGCAUGAAUUAAGAAUUUUUUUUUUCUCAACUUUAUACUUAAAAUGAAAAGAUAAAAGCAAAAUUCCAAAAACCUUAUAGCUUGUUUAACCAUAUAACUUAAAAACGGUUAUCUAAUUUUAAAAAUAGAAAACUGUUUUUUAACACUUUCAAUUGUGGUUGGUCAUUAUUCUAAAAAAAAAUAAUAAUAAUUUAAAACUAGAUUGAAAAAAAAAUCAGGAAACAAUCUCAUUGAUUUAAAUUAUUAUUUAAUUACUUGCACAAUCGUAUGAUUAUUAUUAUGUUUUUGUUAUAUUAUAUUAACAAGUGAAUACUAUGUUGUUGAUUCUAGAUAUCCUUGUAUUAUGGGUUUUCUUCCUCCAUAUUGAGGUGAAAGGUAUUAUUUGUAAUAUUAUCUUAGCAAAAGUUGUCAACCAAAGACUGAUAAAGAAUUGUUCAAUUAUUGACCUUCCUCAUUUAUAAAUAUAAUUGAGUAUUAUUUGUGUUUUAAAAGCACGUUUUUCAAUUUUAAAAAUGAUGUCAUCUUACAAACCAAGUAGACAACUAUAAAUAGUUGUAGCUUGUUGUACUCUUUAUAAUUUCAUUCGUAAAUAGACUUAAAAUGAUGUUAUAUUUAGACAAUGGGAAGAAGAACUUGAAUUUGAAGAUAAGGACGAUACUACAAUUGAAGUAAGUUAUGCAAUGAAUUUAUUAGAUGAAGCAGCAACGAUUAUGACAACUUAUCAAGAUCGUAUUUCAUAGUAGAAAUGGAAUGCUUAUGUUAAUAGUUUGUAAACAUUAGUCAUUAAAUAGUUAUAUUAAUAUACGAAGCAAGAAUGUGAAAUAUGAAAAUUGUUUAACUAUUAUAAUUGACUUGAAGUGUUUGUGUGUACUUGGUUUGCAAUUAUUUUUGUUAGGUGCUUUCAAUUUAAAUUUUUUUUUUGUUUUUCCCAUUAAAAAAAUCAAUCCAACUAUUUAUUUUACUCUCUUUAAAAAAAUGAAUAUUAAAAUUAUUUUUAAUCUUAUAGUAAUUUUUGUUUCAUUUGAAUAAAAAAAUUGUUUAAUAAUUAAAACAAUUAUUUAUCUAUAAUUUAUAUAAUUUGAAUUUUAUUUAUUUAUUUUUAGUGAGAUUUAACUUGAAUGUGAUUUAUAUUAAUGUAAAUUAAAUUUUAAAAAUAAAAAUACAAAAAUUGUUUUUAAAAACAAAGACGAUUCUUUUAUACAAACAAGUUUUUGUUUUUUAAAAACUAUUUUUGAAAGUAAUUGGCCAAACAAUUUUUCUUUGUAAAAAAUACAAAAAAAACCAUUUUUUAUUCUUUAUCUUAAAAAUAAUUUUUAAAAUUAAAAAACACGAUCAAACACCUUAUUUUGUUUUUAUUUUUGGUGUAUGAUUGCAUAAUUUUUUCAUUUUUUAAAAUUGAAUUUCAAGCAAGCUCAUAAUUAUAUAAUUAAAAAACUUGUUUGAUAGUAAUUUUAAGAAGCAAUUCUAAUAUUUUUAACACUUAAAAAAUGAAAAAAGAAUUAUUUUUCAAGUAUACAACGAAGAAAUACUUGUUAGGAUCACUGCUACACAUUCUCUAUGUAGACAUAUCCCACUUCUAACUCUUCAACUUCUGAACUCUUUUGAUGAAAUCCACACUCAAACCACUCACAAGCUCCAAAUUCAAGUCCCAAAUGCAGCCACUGCUUCAACCAGGUUUUGGAGUCAAAAUAAGAGACGUAGUGAUGAAUUCCAGAUAGUCCAUAUCUUAAAGUGAGAAAAUAUCCAAAAAAGAAUUUGUUGUGUUGAGAGGGAUUGCUUGAGAAAUUCAGGAUUAGGGAAUUAUUUUAUCUCAGUGUGGUUUAGAAUUCCAGUUUGGCAAAUUCAGGAUUCAGGACUGGCUUUGGGUUCAAAAUGAUUUGGGGUUUCUACUCAGAAACAUCCAAAAAUUGAACUAUUUGACAAAUUUGGGGUGUGGGAGCUGUUCCUUUGUUUGUGGGAUAUUUGUGCAUGAUUAUGGAACUGCUGAACUGUGUUACAUAAAUUCAAAUUUUAUUUGCUUGAUGGGGAAUUGGUCUGGGAAAAGAUAGCUGAAGAAUAAAGGGAUUGAUGUCAUGGGAUAAGGUUUUGUUGGGUGGACUUGUUUUCCAUGUUUUUUCUCCUCUAAAGGUUAGGGGUGAAAAAUUGUAUUAAAUUCAUUUUUUUGUGCAGAUUUUAUGAUUUUAAUGUUGUUGUUUUCCCUUUUGAAUAAGGAAUAUAAAAACAUUUAUGGAAUUUGAUUUCUUCCAAAAUUAGAUGAGUUAUGAAACCAAAAUAGUGGUUGCAUGUGGUUGAAUCUCGGUUUUUAUUUUAUAAUUUGUCAUCCAAAUCAAGCAAUUCUUAUAUUUUUAGUUUUGAAAAUGAAUUCCAAAAGCAUGGGCUAAUUUAUACCUUAUGUAUAUGAGUUUCACUUUGUAUAUACUUUUUGUUUUUAAAAACAAAAAGUAGGAAGUGUAUCCAAACACUUAUUUUUACUUAAGUUAUAAAGUAAGGAGGUGGAUUUAUUUUAUAAGUUGCUUUUGGUGUCAAAGAAAUUAUUCUUAACAUAAUUAUUAAAAAAAAAAAGAUAUCAAUUAUAUUUGAUUGGUAUUAUCAAUUAUGCUUUGCGGGACCAAGCAUGCCCCAUCUUCUUUGGGCCUCCCACUACUUUAAUCCUACACAGAUGACACAUUUUUAUUAAGAUCCAGAUCCUAUUAUCAUGGACUGGGCAAUGGAGGCUCAGAUCCGGCCGUAAUCAGACGAGCUGUUGGGACGCCAUGGCUGCAACUACCGGGUUGCCCCGCCAAGAAACGAGCCCUUCAUAAUCUCUGAUUUACUUGGAAAGUAUCAUCAUAGCCCCUCGAUUUUCUCAUUGGGAACCAAACAGAUCCAGGACCCUUUGAAGGACCCUAAAUACAUCCAACCAAACAAUAAUAAAUAAAUAAAUAAAUAAAGAUGGACAUCACGGGUCCAGGGAGGGCUCAGAUCCGCCCGUAAUCAGACAAGAUCCAUGUUCGCCAUGGCUGCAACUACAGUUGCAUGUGAAAAAACAGGGCAUAGAAACCCAUUUCACAGACAAUCCGGGUCGCCCAGCCAAGAGAUGGAUCCUUUCAAAUGUCUGAUUUACUUGGAAAGUGUCAUCACAGCCACUUAAUUUUCCUGCACAUUUUCUCAGCAACCAAACAGAUACAAGAUCCUUCUCAGAAAACACAUUUUAAAACACAAACAAAAAAACCAAAACAAAACAAAGAUCAGCCUCAGCGCGGAAGUGAAUAGCGCGUAAAAGGAAGGCUCAGAUUCGCCUUUUAUCAGACAAGAAAAAGAUGACCGUCAUGGCUGCAACCACAGUUGCUUGUGAAACAAGGCACAAAAGGUCCCAUCGCACAAACCAUCCGGGUUGCCCCGCCAAGAAACGGACAUUCCCAGUUCCUGACUUACUCUGAAAACGUCAUCACAGCCUUUUAUGUUGCCCAUAUGAACAGAGAGAUACCCCUAAAACAGAUCCAGAAAACACAGGGAGCCAAAAAAAAAAAGCAAUUUUUUUGGUUUUCCUUGGGGGUUUUGCGUGGAUUUUCUCGGAAAUCAAACGAGGAUGAAUUUUCCCGGAAAUCGAAUGGGGGAUGGAUUUUCUUGGGAAUCAAACGGGGGUUGCAAAAAAAUAAUAAUAAUAAUAACAUGAUUAGAUUAGUACCUGCGAGGAUUGAGAGUGGGAGAGGAAAAUAGGGCCUUUUUAGGGAUUCUCUCGUCUGGAGGGCAACUUCAGAAAAGGGCUUCUAGUUCUUGAUGCCCGAGUGGGAGAAGCGGAUGAUGGCCCUUUCGAUUUUUAUAUUUAGUGGAGAGAGAAAACAAGGGAAACAAAUCAUGAAAACAAUUUUCCUCUCUAUAUAAAUAAUUAUUAAUCAUCCAUCUUUAUUUUGAUUAAAUUACUACCAAAAUUUCGAUUUUUAUCAGUAAUAUUUUAUAAAUUAAAAUUCAUUUGAUAAAAUAAAUUAUUAAUAAAUUUAUUUAUUUAAAUAAAUUAAUAUUAAUAAAAAAAAGUUAUUACCAUGUAUUUUUAAUAAAAUCUUAAAAAUUAAAUAUCAAAUAAAAUAUUUUAUAUAAAUUAAUUUAAUUUUUCAUUUAAAAUAUAAUAAAACAUGUUUCAAUAAAAAUAUUUAAAAUUUUUUUAAAUAAAUAUUAUCUUCAAUAAGAUAAGUUUCUUUCAUUUAACAAUAUGAUGGACCCACAUCGAUCUUCAUUUUGAUACUAAAAACUAUUGCAAUCUCAUAUAUAUUAUACUUAUGUAUAAAUUGUUUUUAUUCAAUAAAAUCAAAUAUUUUUUAACUCAAUUCUAACUUUAUACACUUUCAAAAUUCAUAUUUAUUAUUCUUAAAAUUUAAAUAUCCAAUUUAUCAAUAUGUCUCUAUCUACCGAUGUUUUUCUUCUUGAUCAUAUUUAAGUCAAUUACACUUAUAAAACAACUUAAAAAUGUGUAUUCUUGUUUAUUUUAUCAUUUUUUGAAGUUUUUCCAAAUAUCCCUAUGACUUCUACAUAAUUUUCGUUCCACCGGCAUUUUCAUACUUACCCUGUAUCUAUAAAAAAUAAAUGAAAACAAUUUUAGGUUAGGAGUUAUAAGGACAACUAGUAUUCAUGCAGAAAAUCAGCAUCAGAAUUCGUAACUGCAUUUGAUCAGCUAGUUUAGGAAAUCUGUACAGCUCAUUCUUUCCUUUAUUUUCACAUAUGUUGUUAUACGUUAGCACAAGUUUAGGAGUAAUUUUAGUUUCUCAAAUCUGUAUUUAUACCUCUUCUUCUAAUAAGAAUUGUGUGAAUCAUUUUGUCUAAACCUCUAUAUGGUAUCAGAGCCCACCUCAAAACUCCAACGAGUAUUUCCUGUCUUUCUCACUUCUGCUAUGGCCACUUCUUCCUUUGAUAGUUUUCCAAUAGCCAUCAAUGCCACCCAGCAAAUUAUUGCACGUCUCACACCAACCAACUUCCCUUCAUGGCAUGCCCAAUUUGAGUCUCUCCUCCUCGGCUAUAACCUCUUUGGCUAUGUCGAUGGCACUCAUACCUGCCCACCCCUACCGACGUCAACUGAUGCAGCUGCCACUACCGCUCAUCACCUUUGGUUCCGUCAGGACAAACUUAUUCUAAGUGCAAUUCUGACUUCAGUGUCCCCAGCUGUGAUACCACUCAUAGCAACCUCCCAGACGUCAUAUCAAGCCUGGACUAAAUUGACAAAACUGUAUGCUAGUCGAUCCAGGACUCGUGUCAUGCAGCUCAAAGAGGAUCUCACCCUCAUGCAACGUGGCAAUCGCAACAUUACAGAGUACCUACACUCUGUAAAAACCAUUGCCGAUGAGCUUGCUCUCAUCGAUGCCCCAUUAUCUCAAGAUGACAUCACCCUAUAUGUUCUUCAUGGCUUAGGAUCAGAUUUUCGUGACAUUGUUGCCCCGAUUCGAGCCUGAGAGUCUUCACUCUCAUUUGAAGAAUUACAUGAUCUGCUACUUGGUCAUGAGGCAUAUCUUCGAAGGCUUGACUCCACUGCUCAAUCCUUGGUAGUUACUGCCAAUACCACUCAACGCAGGGACUCACGCUCCUCAAAGAAUCAGUCUUUAUCAACUUAUCAACAAUCCAAGAAUGACUCCAGAUCAAAGUCUCGACAGUCGAAACAAUACAAAUACCCUCCAAGGUGUCAAUAUUGUGAUCAACAAGGCCACAUUGCAAAAUACUGUCCGAAAUUGAAACCCUCUGAAGCCACUGUGAACUGCACAACUACUACUUCUAGUCUAGACAAACGUUGGCUCAUUGAUUCUGCGGCUUCCCAUAAUAUCACUUCUCAGGUUUCAAAUUUACAAUUUCACUCUGAAUAUGAUGGUACUGAUGAAGUUAUUAUUGGAGAUGGAUCAGGUUUGCCCAUUACUCAUUCCGGUUCUCUUACUCUUUCAUUUCCAAACAGAAAAUUUCAAGUUGAAGAUACUCUAUGUGUUCCUACCAUUAACAAAAACUUGAUAUUUGUUCACCACUUCACAAAGCAAAACAAUGUUAUCCUGGAAUUUCACCCAACUUAUUUUCUUGUGAAGGAUCGGAGAACGGGGGAGAUUCUUCUUCAAGGACCGUGUGAAAAUGAAGUCUACCCUCUACCCUCAUCGCCUGCUGCUACUCCAAUUGCUUUUGUCCAUGAACGCACAUCAGUAGCUGGUUGGCAUCAGCGCCUUGGUCAUCCAUCCUUCAAAGUUGUCACUCGCCUCAUUAGUUCUUUCUCCCUUCCCACCACUUCAUAUCUUUCUAGUUCUAAUAAUUGUCAUUCGUGUUCUACCAAUAAAGCUCAUUAGUUACCCUUUCAUAAACACGGUCUAACUAGCACAACACCAUUUGAUUUACUUUACACUGAUGUAUGGGGACCUUCUCCCACUCCUAGUCUCAAUGGCCACAGAUAUUAUGUUAUUUUUGUUGAUCACUUUACCAAAUAUGUGUGGUUCUUUCCAUUGCAUCAAAAAUCAGAUGUUAAAACCAUAUUUCCUCAUUUCUACAAAAUGAUUGAAACUCGUUUUAACAUAAAAAUUAAAGGAGUUUAUUCCAAUAAUGGAGGAGAGUUCACUGUUCUUUGACCCUUUUUCACAACCCAUGGCAUUAGUCAUUAUACAACAACCCCUUAUACACCCCAACAAAAUGGAGUGUCUGAGCGUCGUCAUCGCCAUAUUGUGGAGACAGGUCAAACCCUUCUAAGUCAUGCCUCUCUUCCAUCAGAAUAUUGGGCUUAUGCUUUUGCAACAGCCACAUAUCUAAUCAAUCGACUUCCAUCACCUGUUCUUCAUCAUAAAUCACCUCUUCAAGCUCUCUUCAAGCAACAACCUCGGUAUGAAAAAUUACGUUCCUUUGGAUGUUUCUGCUUUCCCUUGAUGAAGUCGUAUAACACAAACAAAUUUCAAAAGAAAUCUGUUCCUUGUAUCUUUGUUGGCUACUCUACUAGCCAAAGUGCAUAUCUAUGUCUUCAUCUACAAAGUCAACGCAUAUACACCUCCAAACACGUAACCUUUGAUGAAUCUGUUUACCCCUUCAAACAGGUUUCCAUGCCAUCACCCACUGACUCAUCCCCACCAGAAACCUCUUCUUUUCAGGACCAAUUUUGCAGCUUGCUUCCAGGGAGCUUCCAGCAAUCACACGGGCUCAAGGAGAUAUCCCCUCUGCUUCUUCGACUCCAAGUGAAGAUCCAGCUCUUGUGCAACCUCAAGAGGCACCACUCUCCACUUCAGAUCAGGUACCUCUUAGACCUUCUACUUCUGUUUCUCAACCAGAAAAUUCAAUACCAUCCUCUCCACCACCAUGUCCACGAACCAUCAUCACUCGCUCCAUGAACAAUAUCUUUCGGCCAAAACAACUCCACACUACCACCAAGCACCCCUUACCUGAACCACCCGAACCAAGUUGUGUAAGUCAAGCUCUUAAAGAUCCUCACUGGCGCAAGGCUAUGUCAGAAGAAGUGACAACCCUCCUUCAACAUGGGACGUGGGAACUGGUUCCUCCCACUCCUGGCCAGAAUCUUGUUGGGUGUAAAUUUGUGUUUCGGAAGAAACGAAAUCCCGAUGGAACAAUCAGUCGAUAUAAAGCUCGACUUGUCGCUAAAGGAUUUCAUCAACGGCCAGGUAUUGACUACUCUCAAACCUACAGCCCCGUCGUAAAGCCAGCAACAAUUAGGCUUCUUUUAACCAUUGCUGUCAUGCAUGGCUGGCCCCUUCGUCAGUUAGACAUCAAUAAUGCAUUCUUGCAUGGUAAUCUUGAAGAAACAGUCUUCAUGCAUCAACCUCCAGGAUUUGAAGAUCCAUCUCAACCUCAGCAUGUUUGCAAGCUAAAAAAGAGUAUCUAUGGUCUUAAACAAGCCCCACGACAAUGGUAUAAGGCCCUUCGGGAUGCACUCCUCAGCUUUGGUUUUAUUCACUCGGCCACUGACAACUCUUUGUUCAUCUAUAAGUCUCAUGAUAUCUUGUGCUACUGCCUUGUUUAUGUUGAUGACAUAAUUGUCACAAGCAACACACUCAGCUUUGUGAAUAACAUUAUCAACAAGCUUGGCUCUACAUUCUCAGUCAAAGAUAUGGGCUCCUUGCAUUAUUUCUUGGGAAUAGAAGUGAUUCCAACGCCACAGGGGCUCUUUCUAUCUCAACAUCAGUAUAUACGGGAUCUCCUUUCACGAACCUCCAUGGAAAAUGCUAAAGAAACACUCACUCCAAUGUCCACUACAACCAAGCUUACAGUUCAAGAUAAUUCUGAAUGUGUUGACAGCACUGAGUAUCGCAAGAUCAUUGGAGCACUUCAGUAUUUGGGACUCACUCGUCCCGAUAUUGCCUUUGCAGUCAACAGAUUAUCUCAGUUCAUGCAGAAGCCGACAACAAACCAUUGGGCCGCAGCAAAAAGACUACUCAGAUAUCUUAAACAGACCAUGUUUCAUGGUAUCCUUCUCCAAAAGCAUGAUCAAUUCCAACUCAAGACCUAUAGUGAUGCGGACUGGGCAUCAAAUACGGACACUCGUGUUUCAACCACUGCUUUCAUCACAUUCAUUGGUCCUAAUCCAAUCUCAUGGUCUGCACGCAAGAAAAGGGCAGUCUCAAGAUCAUCUACAGAAGUAGAGUUUCGGGCACUAGCUACUGCCACAUCAGAAACAAUUUGGCUUCAUUCUCUUAUCAAGGAACUUGGUCUCACUCUCAUAGAAGCACCUCAAAUGUUUUGUGAUAAUAUUGGCGCCAACCAUUUCAGUUUAAAUCCAGUCCAGCACACACGGAUGAAACACAUUGAAAUUGAUCUCCUCUUUGUACGAGAUCUUGUCCAAAAGGGAACUAUUCGUGUUCAGCACAUCCAUACCAUUGAUCAACUAGCUGAUCUCCUUACAAAAUCACUCUCACGUCAACGCUUUCAACUAUUAAGAUCCAAGAUUGGUGUUGCAGAUGGCACCUCCAUCUUGAGAGGGCAUAUAAGGACAGCUAGUAUUCAUGCAGAAAAUCAGCAUCAGAAUUCGUAACUGCAUUUGAUCAGCUAGUUUAGGAAAUCUGUACAGCUCAUUCUUUCCUUUAUUUUCACAUAUGUUGUUAUACGUUAGCACAAGUUUAGGAGUAAUUUUAGUUUCUCAAAUCUGUAUUUAUACCUCUUCUUCUAAUAAGAAUUGUGUGAAUCAUUUUGUCUAAACCUCUAUAGGGGUGGACUUGUUUUCCAUGUUUUUUCUCCUCUAAAGGUUAGGGGUGAAAGCAACUUAUAGCUGAUGGUUGUUUUCAGAAAUAAGCUGAUCAUAUCAUAGCUGACCGAUUUCUUCUUUGGUCAUCUUGAAGCAAUUUUAAUAUUUAUUUUUCAGUCAGCUACCUUCUAUCUCUUCUUAGCUAUCUAAAAAUCCUCACUCAUCGGCCUCCCAAUAUCAAUGAAAUGGUGCCCAAAAUCUGAAGUGGCUUGAAUUCAGUUCAGGUCUAAAUAGUGGUUUCUGAAUGUUGUUAAGUGGUUUAUUUUUACAUGGCAAAACAUCUAAAAUUAGUAAUAAGAUUUAAUUAUUAUCUUUCUUCUUAUAAUUAACAAUAUUUUCAAAUAUCUCAAAAUGCCAAAAUAUAUUCCUUCUUAUUUUAUAAAAUUGGAAUUAGAUAUUUGAAAAGUAAUAAUUUGAAAAAAUAAUAAUAAUUUAAAAUAUUUCCAAAUAACAAAAAUACGAAAAUUGACUACAUUACAAUGAUGGUAAUUAAUAUGUAAUUAAUUAUGAUAGAAGUUAGUGUUUCUAAUUAUAUUUGGCUAUUAAGAAAAUGUUAGAAAUUCUCUAGGUUGAGUUUCCUUAAUUUUUCUCUCUUUUUUUCUAGUGGAUGUUUAGAUAAAUGUGAGUUAUGUUUUGGAGUUUUAAUUGGAGAAAUUCUGUGAUGAUGUUUUAUGUCAGUUUUGUUGCAUUCUGAGGUGUUGAACUUUGAAAAAUUGUAUUAAAUUCAGUUUUUGUGCAGAUUUUAUGAUUUUAAUGUUGUUGUUUUCCCUUUUGAAUAAGGAAUAUAAAAACAUUUACGGAGUUUAAUUUCUUCAAAAAUUAGAUGAGUUAUGAAACCAAAAUAGCAGUUGCAUGUGGUUGAAUCUCGGUUUUUAUUUUAGAACUUUUUGGAUUUAUUUUAUAAUUUGUCAUCCAAAUUAAGCAAUUCUUAUAAUUUUAGUUUUGAAAAUGAAUUUCAAAAGCAUAGGCUAAUUUAUACUUUAUGUAUAUGAGUUUCACUUUGUAUAUACUUUCUGUUUUUAAAAACAAAAAGUAGGAAGUUAUAAAGUAAGGGGGUGGAUUUAUUUUAUAAGUUGAUUUUGGUGUCAAAGAAAUUAUUCUUAACAUAAUUUUUAAAAAAUAAAAAAUAAAUUAUAUUUGAUUGGUAUUAUAAAUUAUGCUUUGUGGACCAAGCAUGACUCAUCUUAUUUGGGCCUCCCACUACUUUAAUCCUACACAGAUGACACAUUUUUAUUAAGAUCCAGAUCCUAUUAUCAUGGACUGGGCAAUGGAGGCUCAGAUCCGGCCGUAAUCAGACAAGUUGCUGGGACGCCAUGGCUGCAACUACGGUUGCCUGUAAAAUGAAACCCAUUUCACAGAUCACCCGGGUUGCCCCGCCAAGAAACGAGCCCUUCAUAAUCUCUGAUUUACUUGGAAAGUAUCAUCAUAGCCCCUCGAUUUAUUUACUUGGAAACAGAUCGAGGACCCUUUGAAGGACCCUAAAUACAUCCAACCAAACAAUAAUAAAUAAAUAAAUAAAGAUGGACAUCACGGGUCCAGGGAGGGCUCAGAUCCGCCCGUAAUCAGACAAGAUCCGUUUUCGCCAUGGCUGCAACUACAGUUGCAUGUGAAAAAAAAGGGCAUAGAAACCCAUUUCACAGACAAUCCGGGUCGCCCAGCCAAGAGAUGGGUCCUUUCAAAAUGUCUGAUUUACUUGGAAAGUGUCAUCACAGCCACUUAAUUUUCCUGCACAUUUUCUCAGCAACCAAACAGAUACAAGAUCCUUCUCAGAAAACACAUUUUAAAACACAAACAAAAAAACCAAAACAAAACAAAACAAAGACCAGCCUCACCUCAGCGCGGAAGUGAAUAGCGCGUAAAAGGAAGGCUCAGAUUCGCCUUUUAUCAGACAAGAAAAAGAUGACCGUCAUGGCUGCAACCACAGUUGCUUGUGAAACAAGGCACAAAAGGUCCCAUCGCUUAAGCCAUCCGGGUUGCCCCGCCAAGAAACGGACAUUCCCAGGGCCUGACUUACUCUGAAAACGUCAUCACAGCCUUUUAUGUUGCCCAUAUGAACAGAGAGAGAGUGAGCGCUGUUGAUAGCCUCUGAUGUAUAUGUAUAUAUAUAUAUAUAUGUAAAAGAGCGAAGGAAAAGGAGCGUAGUAGAAGGAAUCAUCGGCUCCGACGACCAUGAGAGUGGCAGAGGAAAAUAGGGCCUUUUUAGGGAUUCUCUCGUCUGGAGGGCAACUUCAGAAAAGGGCUUCUUGAUGCCUUAGUGAGAGAAGUGGAUGGCCCUUUCGAUUUUUAGAUUUAGUAGAGAGAGAAAACAAGGUUAACAAAUCAUGAGAACAAUUUUCCUCUCUUUAUAUAAAUAAUUAUUAAUUAUCCAUCUUUAUUUUGAUUAAAUCACUACCGAAAUUUCGAUUUUUAUUUUGAAGGACCCUAAAUACAUCCAACCAAACAAUAAUAAAUAAAUAAAGAUGGACAUCACGGGUCCAGGGAGGGCUCAGAUCCGCCCGUAAUCAGACAAGAUCCAUGUUCGCCAUGGCUGCAACUACAGUUGCAUGUGAAAAAAGGGCAUAGAAACCCAUUUCACAGACAAUCCGGGUCGCCCAGCCAAGGACAGGUCCUUUCAAAAUGUCUGAUUUACUUGGAAAGUGUCAUCACAGCCACUUAAUUUUCCUGCACAUUUUCUCAGCAACCGAACAGAUACAAGAUCCUUCUCAGAAAACACAUUUUAAAACACAAACAAAAAAACCAAAACAAAACAAAGACCAACCUCAGCGCGGAAGUGAAUAGCGCGUAAAAUGAAGGCUCAGAUUCGCCUUUUAUCAGACAAGAAAAAGAUGACCGUCAUGGCUGCAACCACAGUUGCUUGUGAAACAAGGCACAAAAGGUCCCAUCGCACAAACCAUCCGGGUUGCCCUGCCAAGAAACGGACAUUCCCAGUGCCUGACUUACUCUGAAAACGUCAUCACAGCCUUUUAUGUUGCCCAUAUGAACAGAGAGAGAGAGAGAGAGCUGUUGAUUUUCCAGAGAAUCAAGACAGCCUCUGAUAUAUAUGUACACACAUGUGUAUGAAAAGAAAGAAAAGAAAAGAAAGAGCGAAGGAAAAGGGCUGUUGAUGGGCGUCGUAGAAGUAAUCAUCGGCUCCGAAGACCAUGAGAUUCAGAGAGGGGCAACCACCCUUAGAAACUCCCCAUCCCUCCGACACGGUCCCUGGAGCCUCAGUCUUAAACUAAUGAGGUCUAGCCCUAACUUUUACUCAUCCUUUCCCUUUUAUACUACUCCCUGUCUUCUUCUUCUUUGCUUUUAUUUUACUUUUUUGACCUUUCUACCCUCACUAAACCCGGUAUCAAGGAUUGAAAUGUCGAAUUUCGGGAAAUUUCCCGAUAUUUCCUACCAGUCCAGCCCGCGCACAGGAUACAAAAUCUGUCCAUUUUUUAAAAAAAAAACACAAGAUGUUAUUUGGUAAUCUGAUCAUGAUUUGCAGGCAAAGGUUGUGUUUUUCAGCCUGGCUCAAAAAUCGUGGAUUUAGGGUUCGUGAAAUUUAAAUCCAAUGGCACAAAAGCAAAGAGACCCCUAGAACAGAUCCAGAAAACACAGGGAGCAAAAAAAAAAGCAAUUUUUUUGGUUUUCCUUGGGGGUUUUGCGUGGAUUUUCUCGGAAAUCAAACGAGGAUGAAUUUUCCCGGAAAUCGAAUGGGGGAUGGAUUUUCUUGGGAAUCAAACGGGGGUUGCAAAAAAAAAAAUAACAUGAUUAGAUUAGUACCUGCGAGGAUUGAGAGUGGCAGAGGAAAAUAGGGCCUUUUUAGGGAUUCCCUCGUCUGGAGGGCAACUUCAGAACAGGGCUUCUUGAUGCCCCAGUGAGAGGAGUGGAUGGCCCUUUCCAUUUUUAUAUUUAGUAGGGAGAGAAAACAAGGAAACAAAUCAUGAGAACAAUUUUCCUCUCCUAUAUAAAUAAUUAUUAAUUAUCCAUCUUUAUUUCGAUUAAACCACUACCAAAAUUUCGAUUUUUAUCAGUAAUAUUUUAUAAAUUAAAAUUAAUUUAAUAAGAUAAAUUAUUAAUAAUUUUAAUUAUUUAAAUAAAUUAAUGUUAAUAAAAAAUUUAUUACCACAUAUAUAUAAAAUAAAAUCUUAGAAAUUAAAUAUCAAAUAAAGUAUUUAUAUAAAUUAAUUUAAUUUUUCAUAUAAAAUGUAAUAAAAAUUUAUAAAUAAAUAUUGUCUUCAAUAAGAUGAUUCAUUAGAUGAAACCAUAUCAAUCUUCAUUUUGAUACUAAAGACUAUUACAAUAUCAUAUGUAUUAUAUUUAUGUAUAAAUUGUUUUUACUCAAUAAAAUCAAAUAUUUUUUAAUUCAAUUUUAAUUUUAUACAUUUUCAAAAUUCAUAUUUAUUAUUCUUAAAAUUCAAAUAAAUCUACUGAUGUUUUUCUUCUUGAUCAUAUCUAUAUCAAUUAUAUUUAUAAAAUAACUCUAAAAUAUGUAUUUUUACUUAUUUUAUCAUUUUUUUUAUAAUUUUCUAAAUAUUCCUAUAAAUUUUAAAUAAUUUUCGUUCCACCAAUAUUUUCAUUCUAAUCUUGUAUCUAUCGAAAAUAAAUGAAAGACAAUUUUUUACAACAAAAUUUUUUAUGAUUUUUAAAUCAAAAGUUAGUUUUAAAAUCUCAAAUAUUUUUAAUCCACUAUUAUGUUUUUAAAAUUAUAUAAUUAUUUUUUAAAAUAAUAAAAACAAAUAAAAAUAAUUAAGAUUAUGUUUAGUUUGUUAAAAAAAAAUAUUUUAUCAAAUUUGAUUUAAUAGUGAAAAUAAAAAUAAAAUAAUAAUUAAAAUUACUUAAAAACCAAUGUAACUUAAAUUUUUUUUUUUUUUGAUCUUUAGCUUAAAAAAAAAAAAUAAAUAAAAUGAAUUUGAAAAGAUAAUUAAUCUCUCUAAAAGGAAGAGACUCAAAAUUAUCGGAGGAAGAAAAAAAGGGAGUAAGAUUUGAAGGAUAAAAAUAAAGAAGGAACAAGUGGGUGGGUAUUGCAUUAUAUCCAUGAGUUGAUCAAUAACUAGCUCCAUUUCCUUUCCUUUAUUUUCUUGCCAGCCAAACAAAAUCUCAAGCCUGGAACCAUCAUCCCAGCAACCAUUUAUUAAAAGCCAUACACCAAGGAUUCGUAUAACACCAUGGAAUCAACCAUCAUCACCCUCUCAAACCUACAUGCCAAAGCUACACAGACUACUCCCAAGUUCCCAAAUAACCAAGCUUCAUAUCUACUAGCUCCAAAACGGUUAAACAAGAUGAAAGAAGGAAAGGAAGAGAUUACUUGAUGAGAGCCUGGUAAAGGCAGAUCUGCAAAAAUUACAAGCCUUGUCCACAUAGCUUUAUUUAUAGCCCCAUGAAAGCAGAAUUACUUCUUCAUUACCAAAUGUCAGUAUAGGCAAUGCCAGACCUCCAUCUUCCCAUGGCUGCCAAGCCCUUUUAUCAAUAUGUGAAGAUGCAAACCAAAAUGGUUAGCCCAUCAUCCAAAGCUAGCUCCUCCUCCUCCUCCUCCUUAUUUACACCUAACAGUUUCCCUGAUUCACAACAAGUUCAAUUUCCUUGCUUAACAUCUUUCAGAUAGAACAGAACAAUUACGAUUACAAUCACAAAAUGUAACACCACCCCACAUCUUCCUCUGUUUAGCUAAGCAUUACAAGACCUCAAAGUUGAUGUUCCAUCAUCAUAAUAGGCAUGGUGUAUUUCCAGUCUCAAACAAGUUAGGUUCCAUCCUAACACCAUAAUGGUGGGUUGUUUUACAUCAGACAACGAAUCUGAGUCAGUUAACAGGCAAAAAGAAACAUUCAAUAGUUCAAGAAGAUGGCUUAGAAUUUUCUGAAAACCUCAAAACUGUUUUCAUUUAUAAUUACAAACCAACCCAAAAGUUGAACAAUAUGAGGCACUGGGCUGAACAAUCACCUCAGAACUCUGGUAAAAAGAAUGAAGGUUUCUAUAGAUAAAAUGGCCUUUGCAAAUAAAGCAAUGAGAAAAACGGGAUAUAAAUUAAGGAAUAAUAGAAUGAAAAUGUUGAAAGGAAUUUCACAUGGCUUCGAAGAAUGAAUAGAUUCCGUACCCUUGCCGAGAAAUUACAUGGCUGCCUUGCCCCUCUGUUGAAGUACUAUAUCAUGCACAACUUCCCCUGCUGAGUUAACAAAGUAGGUUUCCUGCCAUGGAAAAAGAACAUUUGUUGGUGCUUCAACAAGAACAAAUUUAGUCAAAAAAGACAAAUACUCACAAUCUCUAAGGAGCUGACUCUAUGAAGAAGGAACCCAUUAACCAUUCCCCUGAGGAAACAAAGAAAAAAAUCACACAAACUUCAUAGUUUCAUAUGUAUGAACCAAUGUAGAACACCAUGAAGAACUAUGAACAGAAAUACUCACUUACUAAAACCUGAUAUUCCAUUUACAGAAGCAAGAGGAAGUUUUUCAUCUAUUGAACCUGGGUUCCUGAUGUAAGCUAUACUAUCUUUACGAGCAUAGUCACUACAUCCCUCCCCACUCAGGUACACAUCCUGGUGAGCAAAUGCAUGGAUAAAGCGUUACUUUCUUCAUAGGCACCAGAAAGAUUCCAAAUUUAACAUAUCAGAAAGUUGUUCAUUCAAUUCAUUAGGAACUGUCUUAGAUUUUCAUAUAUAUUGAAAAUUUGGACUUUGAUCAUCUCAAAAGCAAGUUCUCUAAAGAACCCAAAAUCAAAACCUUGGGCAUGGGAUGUCUUCACCCAUUGAUACUCAAUGGGAAGAGCCAUAAAUACUUACCACUCCAAACUUAUAAAAAAUAUGGUGUAGAUGCUCAUAAAGUUGUAUUUCUAUUCAUUCCCUGUUUCCUUCACAAACAGCCAAUGAGCAGAAACCAACAACUAUGCGCCUGGAUCAUAAGGAGGAAAAAAGGAGACAAUUAGUACUUGGGAUGGAUAGUUUCUUUAUUAAGUUAAACAUGGAGUUGAAAUGGUAGGGGUGCUUGGCAAUGGCAACAGGACAGCAAACAAUGAAGGUCCAACAUAGUAACCAGAGAAAACAAAAGGAAAACGAAUGUUUUAACUCCACAACAAUUUGGGUUAAGGCAAAAUUUAAAUGAAAACCAAAAUUUUAUUGUUGAAAGAAAGAAAAUUUGUGAAAUAAAAUUAAGUUGAGAAGUAGAUUAUCACGCAUCAGAACCACUCUGAACUGACAUGAUUUUCAAUUUUUUCAAAAUUUUCCAGACAUUACAACCUUGCUUAUUCCUAGGUUCAUGCAAUUAUAAACAGCCAAUAUGGUGCAAUGUCUAGUGUCUUUGUCAGCCCAUGUAAUUGAUCAUUUCCAGCACCAUUUAACGGAUUCAUAAGCAUAAAAUCCUUCAAGUUUCAAAGAGGAGCCCGAUUAAGAGGAAAGAAGAAUGAAAUGCAGCAUAAAGGAGCAGAAACCAAAAAAAAAAGAAACAAAUGGGGGAUAAAAUGUGUGAUAAAUACAUAUAUGGGAUAUUGAUAGUGUAACUAAAUGAAAUAGAUAUCAAAUCAAUCAUAUACACAUAUAAAUACAACAUAGAAAUAAGCAUGGCCAUGGUGAAAAAGGGCUGCAAUGUGGGUUGUAACCAGAGAAUGGAAUAUGGACAAGGAGCAUAAAAAAUGAUUUGGCAGGCCAAGAAAUGGCUAUUUUAAUAUGAUGAAAAAGAAAGAGAACAAAAGAAAUUCAUUAUGAACAUGACUUGAAGAGUACACCUACGCUCAAAUAAUGACCAAGUGAUCAACUUUAAAAUCACAUUCCUAACCUCAGCCCUACCCCUCAUGGAAAAAUGGAAAAAAAAAAAAUUCUUAAAAGGCCUUGAGAGGGGUAAACCUGCUGGGACUCAAACCUGGAACCACCCCACAUCCCCACCCCCAACCCAAGCUACUCGAGCCACACCUCAAGGGUGAUAAAGAUCUAACCUUCAGCAUUGAAUAAAAAAUAAUCUAAAUGUGCAAAAAAUAUCCAGCAUUUUCUCAUGCAUUUUAAUUGCUUACUAGACUAGAUAGAAUCUCCAGUCAUUGAUGAGAACAAAGAACUCAGUGUCUUUAUUAUUAUUAUUGAAUAAAAAAUAAUCUAAAUGUGCAAAAAUAUCCAUUAUUUUCUCAUGCAUUUUAAUUGCUUGCUAGACUAGAUAGAAUCUCCGGUCAUUGGUAAAAUUCAAUAAUUCCAAUUUCCACCAGUUGAUUUGUCAAGUCCCUAAUUAAAUAAUGAAAGAUACAAUACUUGAUGAGUUAUAUACUAAAAUACUUGUGCUUCCCAAUCUAAUUCUAACAAGAACCCUACAAAAUGCACACCUUAAUCCAACUCAACCAACACUCAAUCUUGCGAUUACCUCAUAGUCCACAAGGUACAUCGGAGAGACCUAACUUAUCUUGAUGUUACAAGAUUUCACAUGAACAUCUGAAUACUGGUUUCCAUAAUUCUUUGUUAUCAUACAUCUCCUGGGGCAUGGUAAAGAUGAAUAUAAAAACAAAAUGAAAUCAAUACAAGAAGUUGAUAGCCCCUCUAUGAUCAUAACUGGGGUCAGCACAAUCAGUAACAUAAGAUUCAUGGUGUAGUAUUGAAGUGUAUCAUAAACUCAACACAAGCAUAUGCAAUGUCAAUUAUCAUUAAGUCAACAAUGAUAUUAAACAUUGGUAUAAACAAAUGAAACAAUGACAACACAACAGGAAAAAACCUUAUACAACUAUUAAUCUAUCCUCUUUGGUAGUCUUUUAUCAUCUUCCACAAAUUUCCCAUUUUCCUCCAUAUGCUGCUCAGAAUCCGACCCCAUUUUUUUUGUAUCUUUGUCAACAUUAAAGGAAAUAAAUGCAUGCAACUUUUAAAGAUUUGAGGCCAUGUGAAAAACUUGUCAUUUGAUGUCAAGUUUUUUUUUAUAUGAAAAGGUUUUCCAAAAUGAGAAUUGCAGAACUAUCAAUCUAUCUUCAUCUAGGUUUGGAGCUUCUCAAGUCUUUUAUCAAUUAUCAUCCUCCAUAAAAUUCCAGUUUUCUUCUGUACAUUGCUCAACCUCCAACAUAAUUUUUAAUUUUUUUUCUAAUUAAGAUUAAAUACAUGCAUAUUUUGAAGAUUAAGCCAUGUGGAGAAUUGUCAAUCAAUCGUAAGUUUUUCCUAUAUCAAAUGCAUUUUUUAAAAUUUUCGGCCUUGUUGGAAAAAAGACCUAAUGAGAUGGGUUUGUAUCACAAAACACUAAGGAUUGACUCAAAAGUCCCAAUGAAAUUAUAGCUACUGUAAAAACCAUGUAACCGCUUCCAAACUUAAACCCAUAUUACAAGAGGAUAGUAGAAGAGGCCUCUCUUCCGACUGACAUAAUAACCAUGAGAAGUAUUAGCCAACAAAUCUUAAAUUGAGCAAAUUCAACAAACCAGUUGAUACCUUAAAUGCCCCAGUAUCCAAACCAAUAAUGUCUAAGGUUUUCCCAAAAGGUAUUUUGAUCUGCUUUAGGAAGUAACCUGUUCCCCGUCCUCUUGAAACUCUGGUACUGUACCUACAAGAAUUACAAUUCAGGAUUACCACACAAAGAGACUAAACCAAAAAGACUGUUACAUUAAAAACUACAUCGGAGUCCAAGUUUUGUAACAAUGAAAUUUCAAAAGAUGAGCUACAAAAAUGACACAACUGAUUGCAAAGCGGAUGGCAUACCAGGGAACUUUCAGUGUUGAAAAACGCCAAGUACCCUGUAAAAGAAGAUGUCAUCUUCUAAGAUUGUUCCUAACAGAUGAAACCAAUGAAAUCUAAUUAAACUCAGCACUAAUUUAUUUUCCAAUCACACACCUAUAAAACAAAACAAAAUAAAACUACAGAAAUAAAUAUGAACCACUAUUCCAUUACUUCAACCAAAGCAUGGUUUCUAUUAUUUCAGUUAAAUUCACAAAAAGUUAGGAGAGAAUCAUUUCUACAACUUACCCAGAGUGAAGCAACGCAUAACUUUGAUUAAAUCUGGCUAAACUACAACUAAAGUUUCCAUAUAAAUGGAGUGUAAGCCUAAAGGUGCCACAAGAGAGUUCAUAUAAAAAAUAGUAAAAGGGCUUCCCACAUUGAAUUUACUAGCCAUGGUCUUACAUUGUGUGAGUUGAUCGUCUUCCCCAAGUUCACUAAUGUUUAUCACAAACCUUGCCUUAUAAGUCUUUGCGGCCUUCUCCAUCUUCAUGGGAAAAAACAAUUCCAAUUAGAACAGGGAAGAUAAAAUAUAAACUCAAAAUGCAAUUAAUGUAGUAGACGAUAAUCAUUCAACUAAGAUCAGUAACAGAGGGGGGAAAUAACAAAGCCUAAAAACAGAGAAGGUGGAAGGCAGAAGUAAGUUGGAUGAAUUAGAACCAAGAAGACAAGACAAGAUCAAAACCAACAGAUGAGAAGGCUGACACAAACAAUUGAGAGAGAUCAAAAACUGAACCAUAUAAUAAAAAACUCACUCACAUGAUUAUUCUCUGGCCAAAAGAUAAAGGUUAUGUUAUUAUUUUUUUAUGUUUAGUUUCAAAGUAGAAAAUAAGCGAUAAAAUCAAAUAUAAUUAAAAUUAUUUAAAUUAUAUAUAUUUUUCAAUUAUUUAGUCUAUACAUAGAACAGAAAAAAUAAAUAAAAUGAAUUUGAAAUAAUAUAAAAAAUAAUUUAUUAAAUUUAAUUUAUUUUUAAAUUUUCUUUAUCGCUUUUUCUUUCUUCCUAUUUUUCUUUUCCAUUUUUUUCCCACAUUUUCUCUUAAAUUUUCCACUAAGCAAACAAAGCCAAAGAUCCUCAAGUUGCAUAUACAAUUAAAAACGGAAAAAGAAAGAUCUUCUACUGUUCAACAACUGUCAUAUUAAAAAAAAUAAUAAAAAUAAAAAUUCGAUCCCAGUAAAACCUAACACAAAAUUCUUUCCUCAAAGUUAAAUCAUUCACAUAGAAAUUAACUGAGAAAGAAAUAAUAAACUGUUUGGUUGCUGAGAAAAUGGAGGCAUAGAAAAGGAAAUCAAAAUUUUGAAACUCUAUUAUUUCCAUUAUUCGAAGGCCCGGAAGAAAGAGGGAAAAAACUUCCACUCUUACCUUAAUUUAGGUUGUUUUGUCAAUUUCGAGGGAGGAAAAAACAGGAAAUUAAUUUCAAGCGAUUUCACUUUCAGCAUUCUCAGUAACCAAACGGAGCGUCUGAUAAAACUAUCAUAUCCACCAACAGAGCCAAAACCAAAUAUACCCACCAUCAACAUCUUAAAACAAAAUCCAUAAAGAACGAGAAAAACCCAUGCUUUUCUUCAAUGAACAAAAGGAAUCAAUAGAGAGGAUGAGAAAUAGACCUGUUUGAGAAGAUGGGUCUGCUGAUUAAGAGGUCUAAAUCCUCCUCUAACACUGAUAAAGUAAAGGUCAAGAGGCCUGCUACUGCCACUGCUGCUCUGGGACAUGGGCUUCUCCCAAGGCCGACCCAAGUUGAAUGCACAAGCAGAGAGACAACUGUGUUAUAACAGUGCGAACCCAUGAAGGUUUCCCCAUUGUUAACACAGGUCUCACAGCCUCAGCUCUUCAACUGGUAAUUGAUUUCACUCAUAGAUCUGAAGAUAUAUGAGGAAUGUAACCGUCGACACCCGUAUCUCUAAUUUCCUCAGUGUUAUCAAUUGCUUGAUUAAGAUAUUCGCUAAUGAAGCUCCACUUGGCAGUUGGCAGGCAGGACCCAUUAUUGAAGGGAAAUGCCUCUACAGUUCGUUUAUAUUAUGGACUCUUUGACUAAAAUCGCUUUGUCAUAUUUGAAACUUUCCUCACAAACAAACGCACCAUCAGCCAUUAAACAUCAUAUUUCAGCAUUCUUUUUUUGCCCUUUUGAUAAUUGUGACACUGUCACACUCCUAUCUCCUAAUUUUCAAAAAUUAUUUUAAAUUUAUAAAUUGAGUUACCACUUCAAAAUAUAAAUUUUUAAAAUAAAAUUAAGUACAUUUAUACUAAAUAUGUGUAUUUGCGUUUAUUACCUUGUAAUAAUAUUUUAUUUAUUUUAUUCUUUAUUAUUAUUGUAAUUUAGAUGAGUUGGUUCGAUCUAAUCUAAUAUUUGAACGAAUUUGGAUAUUUAUUUUUAAUAUUCAGAUUAGACUUUGGUUCAUUUUUUAAAUCUCAUCUUAAUUUGGAUUUGGCUUGAGAGAUACCUCUAAUGAAAAUUAUUAUGGUUCUCUUUAUACAUUCUAUUCUAUUUUUCUUUUAAUAUCUUUGUUUAUUCUCUCGUCUUUUCUUCUUCUUAUUCUUUUAUUUCACAACAUGUUAUCAACACAGUUCUGAAUAUAUAGAAAAAGAGAAGAAUUCAUCUAGAAAAUUUCUUAUAGGUAUGUAGUCUUAUUCUCUUCGAAUGAAAUAUGAAUAGUAUGCAUUGUAUUAUUAUAAUUUUUAUUUACUUUAUCUCAUAGCCAGAAAUUAUGUGAAUCAUAUUUCAUAUAAUUACAUAUUUUAAUUAUUUAAUAACUAGAAGUUAUAUAGAAAAUUUUUCAUAACUAAAAGUUAUGAAAAAAAUAUGUCCAAUCUUUAUAACAAGAUGUUAUGGAGUAAAUUACAAAAAUACAAAUACGUAGUCGGAAACUAUGCAUAAGAUCCCUAAUUACUUUUUUAUUAUAUUAUAUAACUGAAAGUUAUAUAAAAUAACAUUAUAUGGCCAGAAGCUAUAUAAUGAAGAGUUCAUAAUAUGAAGCUAUGUACAAAUCCAAAAUUACAAAUAUACGACCAGAAGCUAUGUAUAUAACUCAUAAUUAUUUGUUUUUAAUUAUAUAGUAUAACUGAAAGUUAUACAAAAUAAUAUUAUAUAGCCAGAAGCUAUAAAAUGAAUAGUUUAUAGCUUGAAAUUAUGCACAAAUCUGCAUAAUGAAUAGCUCAUAGCUUGAAGUUAUGCACAAAUUUAUAUAAAAAAUAGUUCAUUGCCUAAAACUAUGUACAAAUUUAAAUAUUUUCUUGUUAUGACAAAAUAAUCAUAACUUGAAGUUAUGAAAGAUAUUAACUUUUAAUUUCUUUAUUUUCUUUUAAUUAUAUUGUGUAACCGGAAGUUAUACAUAAAUAGUUUAUAGUCUGAAGUUAUGCACAAAUUUACAUAAAAAAAAAAGUUCAUACCCUGAAUCUAUGUAUAAAUUUGCAUAUUUUUUUGUUUUGAUAAAAUAAUUAUAACUCAAAGUUAUGAAAAAAUAUUGGCUUUUAAUUUUUAUUUCAUAUUCACUUAUUUUUCACAAUAGAAAUCAUGGAAAACAAUUUUUAUUAACAAUGGUUUCAUAACCAGAAACUAUGCAAACAAUUUCUAAUUCUCUUGUAUAACCAGAAGUUAUACAAAACAAAAUUGUCAAUGAACAACUAUGUACCUAGAAGAUAUAUAAUUUUUUUUAAAUUUUGUUAUAUAAUCAGAAGUUAUAUCAUAAUAUAAUUGUCAAUUGUUUAAUGUUAUUAUAACAUUAUUUAAAUUUUAAUUAUUCAUAGCCUGAAGCUAUGAAGAUAAAGUUAGUAAAUUAUUAAUUAUUAGAGCUUGUAUAAGAAGUUAUAUGAAUAUAUAUAUAUAUAUAUAUAUAUAUAUAUAUAUAUAUAUAUAUAUAUAUAUAUAUUAUAACCAGAAGUUAUAUAAAUAUUAUUAUUCAUAAACCAAAGUUAUGAAAAUAAGAAAAUUAAUAUUCUUUGUGCUAAUCAAAUGUUAUGUCAAAGUUGCUAAUAUGUACUUUUUUUUAUAGUUAGAAGCUAUAGAGAACAAAAUUGUUAACUAACAAUUUUGUACAACUUUAUGAAAUUUAUAUGACCAAAAGUUAUAAUGAAAUAUAUUAUAGCUUGAAGCUAUGAUAACAAGCAUAUAGAUAAUAUUUACAUAUUAUCAAAAGAUUAAUAUUUUGUAUAUCAAGUUAUACAAAUAGACAAGUGUUUGAUAGUUUUUAUAAAUUUCUAUUAUUAGAAGUAUAUUGUCAUUAGUAGAAAAAUUUAUAUAUAGAUGUGGAAUUUUGAAUUGCAUGAAAGUAUGAUAUUUUUGUAUCAGAGGCGAUGGUUUGGAAUACUUUUUUUAUUCAAGUUAUUUAAUAUACAAUAAUAUUUUGAUUUAGAAAUUUGAGAUUUUUUGGGUACAUGUGAAAUAUAUGACUUGGUCAUAUGAUUAAUAAAUUGAUUUCGCAUGUCUUAUUUGUUUAUAACAUGUUUUUAUGAUUGAAAUUUUUUGAGUUGUAUAAAAUAAUAUAUAUUAUUGUAUGUUGUCACAUAUGAUAUUUUUAUUAAUGCAUUAAUUUCAUUAUUCAAGAAUAUCUUUUCAAAAACAAUAGAUUCAACUAUUAUUUUUAAUAUAUUAUGUUAUAUCUUUACAUACAUAUUUAUAUAGAUUUGUAAUGUUUCAAUUGAAGUUUUGAAAUAACAAGAUGCUUUAAAUCAUGAUAUGUUCUUUUGAAAUUUUGAUUUAUGAAUUAAUUUCUGCACAUUGAUUUAGAACGUAAUAAUAUUUUGAAUAAAAAUUAUUGAUUUAUCACUACAAUUAGUUUGAUUAUUGAAAGACUUCCUAGUUAUUUCAUAUAUAAAUUGCUCCACACUUAUAAAAUCAAAUGUGUGAGAUAUUUAAGAAACAUAUAACUUUAAAUUAUCUUUUUCAUAUUUGUUUUGUUGUGUUAUAUAUGCUUUCAUUGUUUUUACACAACUUAUUAAGGUAAGUCAUCAUCGAUGACUAGUAUUUUUCCAUUUGAUUUUAACUCAUUCUCUAUGAUAAUAUUUCUUCAACUUUGAGGUCUUUAUGACAUGUUUUAUGACUUGUUAUUUUGAUGAAACUCUUAUCUCAUUAAUUGCACAACAUUGAUAACAAACAAUGUUAAUACUAUAUCAGGUGAUAUAAACCUAAUUAAAGGCUCUAGAAUAACUUAUAAUAUGUCACUAGUAGUAUUUGAUUCCAUGUGAAUGACACUUUAUACGAUGAUAGAUCAAGAAGAAUCUUGUAAGACCAACUUGGUCCCCCAUGGUAAAAGGUCGUAUGGAUGUACAUUAUAAAACCAGAAGUUUUUAUUUAGUAACUAGUCUACCUAUACACUUGAAAGAUAGAAUGACACGUUGUGCAGAUUAUCAUUUUAAUUAGACAAUUUUCUUGCCGUUAGGGAUAGAAGAGUCAAUUCCAGAAGAACAGCGUGAAAUUAUUUGGAAUGCAUCGACUUUGACUUAUCUUGAUCCUCGUACUAAUCAAUGUGAAGUGGAAGUUCAAAAGAUUAUUUAUUUGCAAGAACUUGUAAAUCAUUAACUACAUGUUAUCAUUGAUGCAAAGAAAGUGACAAUCAUUUUCGCUUACCUAGAACAUUCCAGUACGAAUUAAUGUCCCUGAAUGACAAUUAAAUAAUGCGUUGAUGUCCCUAAAUGACAAUUAAAUAAUGAGUUGAUGUCCCUGAAAGACAAUUAAAUAAUGAGUCUAAUGCACACUUGAAGCGUGGUAAACCCUGAAAAGGCAAACAAAUUCCUUUAAAAGAAAAACACAAGGAAAGAUAUAUGAAAUGUGACACUCUUGAAGAAGUUGCAUAUAAAAUGAGUUAUUAAAAUGAUUGAUCAAUCUCAAGCAGCCCCUGAAGAGGCACAGUUUAAACAAGUAGCCCUAUGAUAGGUGUAUGUUUAAUAAUUAGUUCCUGAAAAUGUACAAGUACCUGAUAUUGAUGAGAUCUCAAUUAUUUACUUAUAUAUGGAAAAAAAAUGGGAUUGAAAUACUCUUGUCAUUAACAAUAUAUUUUCUUUCCAAAUAGCUGUUGACAUUAUAAGAAAUGAUGAGGAUCCCAAAGUAGAAACUAUGAAUGAAUGUCAACAUAGAAAAUAUUGGCCAAAAUGGAAAGAAUUCAUCCCGAAUAAAUUAUACUCAUUAGAAAAAUGAGAAGUAUUUGGACAUGUAGUCUAAACGCCUGAAGUUGUCAAACUUAUUGGAUAUAAAUGAGUAUUUAUAAGAAAGUGUAAUGAGAAAAAUGAAAUCACAAUAUAUAAAAUGUGACUCAUAGCUCAAGGUUUUCCGCAGAAACCUACUAUUAACUACGAGGAAACAUAUUCUCCUAUGAUGGACGCAACCAUAUUUAGAUAUCUAAUUUGUUUAACAAUCUUAGAAUGACUAGAUUUGCGUUUCAUGGAUGUCAUUAUUGCAUAUUUACGUGAAUCUUUAGAUAAUGACACACACACACACACAUAUAUAUGAAAAUCCCUGAAGGAUUUCAAAUGCCUGAAGCAACAAAUUCAAAACAUUGUAGCAUAUACUCAAUUAAGUUACAAAGAUCCUUGUAUCAAUUAAGCAAUCCAAAAACAUGUGAUACAAUCACUUCAAUGAAUAUUUGAAGCGAGAAAUAUGUAUGUAUUACCUUAUUUAUUUAUACAUAUUCAUUAUAUUGAAUUUUUUCAAUUAUUAUUGUAUAUGUGGAACAUUGAUUUUUUUUGGAACUCCUGAAGAGCUUACAAAAAUAGUUGACUAUUUAAAAAGUAAUUUUUGAAAUGAAAGAUCCUGGAAAACAAUUUUUUUUUCCUCGGCCUGCAGAUCGAGUAUUUUUCAAACGAAAUAUUAGUUUAUUAGUCAACAUAUACAAAGAAAUUCUUGAAGCACUUUUAUAUGGAUAAAUCACAUCCAUUAAGUUCUUUGAUGAUAGUUCAUUCACUUGAAGUGAAAAAUGACUCCUUCUGUCCUAAAGAAGAUAAUAAAGAACUACUUGGUCCAAAAAUACCAUAUUACAGUGUUAUUGGUGCACCGAUGAAUCUUGUAAAUUAUACAUGACCAAAUAUUGCAUUCUUUGUUAAUUUACUUAUGAGAUAUAGUUCUACACCAAUUCAAAGACAUUGGAAUAAAAACAAUCAUGUACUACAAUAACAUGGGUCUAUGUUAUUCCAAAUGAUCAGAAUCUUAAGUGCUUGAAUAUGUAGAUGUUGACUAUCUUUCACACCCCCACAAAGCUCGAUUUUAAAUGAGGUAUGUAUUUAUCUAUGGUGGUACGACAAUAUCGUGGAGAUUAAUCAUGCAAAUAAUGGAAACAUGUGGACUACCCUCCAUCAAAGGUAAUGCUACCAAGUUAAUAAUGUUGCAUGCAUUGCACAUAUUAAAGAAUGAUACAUUAAGGGUGAUAGAAUUAAGUAUAUAUCGUCCAAGUCUUUUACUUUCAUUAACUCAAAAAGAGUGAUGAAAUUGCUAUUCGACGACAAUUUAGUAGAUCUAUUCACAAAGGCAUUGCCAAUUGUAAUACUCAAGAAGCUCAUUGGAAUACAGCGACUCAAAGAUCUCCAUGUUGUGCUACUAGAGAAAAUAUAAUCAUGUCAACAUGAGGGGGAGCUAAUUGAUAAGAAUAUCACUACGCUACACUCUUUUUUCCUUCAUCCAAGUUUUGUCCCAUUGGAUUUUACUGGCAAGGUUUUUAAUGAGACAGUUGUGGUAAUCCAAAAAAAUAUUGUACUCUUUUUCUUUCACUAGGGUUUUUCCCAUAGGGUUUUUCCUAGUAAGGUUUUAAUGAGACAUUCUUAUGAUCAUCCAAGGAGGAGUAUUAUAAAAUAUGAGAUUUUGUAUCACUAUGGUAACUUGUGGAUGAUCAUUCAUAUUAAUGUACAUCUCUUUGUAACUCCCUAUAAAAAGGAGAUACCUCUAAUGAGAAUUAAUCCGGUUCUCUUCCUAUAUUUUGUUAUACUUUUCUUUGAAUAUCUUUGUUUAUUCUCUCGUUUUUUUUUUCUCAUUCUUUUAUUUCACAACAUAUAUAUAUUGUUAGGAAUUUGAGGCUAAUCCAACUUAUGGUAAUCACCCUAGAGGGGGGGGGGGGGUGAAUAGGGUGAUGGUCUCUUUUCGCAAAUUUAAACAAGUGAAUGUAAGAGACAAUUAUAUACAAAUAUCAAUAUAUAUAUAUAUAUAUAUAUAUAUAUAUAUAUUGUUAGGAAUUUGAGGCUAAUCUAACUUAUGGUAAUCACCCUAGAGGGGGGGGGGGGGUGAAUAGGGUGAUGAUCUCUUUUUGCAAAUUUAAACAAGUGAAUGCAAGAAACAAUUAUAUGCAAGUAUCAAUAUAUAGACAAUUGCAUAUAAAUUAAAGAGUAGGGAAGAGAGAAUGCAAAUACAAGAGUUUAUAGUGGUUCGGCGCAACCCGACCUACAUCCACUCUCCUCUAAUUUCAAUCCUGAGCUUGAGGUUCCAUUAAUCCAAGACUUCCAAACCAAGCCUUCAAGCAAUACAAUUGGAUUAUGGUUCCAAUUCACCCUCUUGGACUUUUGGCUCCAAGCACCCUUUACACUUCUCAAGAGAUAUCCCACUCUUGAACAACCCUUCAAGUGAUACCCCACACUUGAGAAACUUCCUCUCAAAGAUUUACAAAUGAAUGAUCUCUCAAAAAUCCUAGCACAAAAACUUUAAGCUCAAAUGAUACAAGAAAAACUAUGAUUGAAUGGUGCACUAAAGACAUGCAAGUUUUGAAAUAAUGGUGCACUAAAAAAUACUCUUCCAAGGCUCAAAUAUAAUCAAGAAAGAUUUGGGAAGAUUAAGCUCUCGAAACAAUGAAUAUUGGAGCCUUUUUAUAGAAGAAAAAAACCAAACUAGCCGUUGGGGGUUCGUCCGGUUGAGCUAGGGGUUGAUUGGUUGACUAGCCGUUAGCAUUUAAUGAUUGGUAGGUGACUGUUGGGCCUCAAUCGGACCUCGACCGGACCUCAACCGGUUGAUGUUCAACCUUGACCAGGAAGAGAAGGCCACUAGGAGAGAGAGAAACUUUUUAGCCUCCUUCAACCGGUCCUCGACUGAACGAGCACAACCGGUGAAUCGGUUGAACCGGUUGAAUCAUUUUUUGGCUCAAUACCCAACCUUUUUCAACUUAAAACCUUUUAACACAAGUUUGAAAAUCAUUUAACACAAGGUUUUAGUUAAAAAUAUGAAAUCAUCCAAUUCUUAAAAUUUUUAAAACAAUAUUACUUUUGGAUGAUUUUGAUGCAAAAAUAAAGAAUGAAAUGCAUGAAAGUCCUAGUGCACCAACAACCUUACAAAGAGAUCUUAUGAAGCUUUGGUCUUAAAAAAAUUUUCUCUUUGAGGUGAUCUUCUUCUUCAUGAUUUCUCCUUGGCUUGAUUUGUCUUUAUGAUUGCCACUUUGGAAAUCAUUUUGCCUAAUCACACUUGAAAUAUGACCAUUAGUUUUAAACCUUGUUUUGUUAUCAUCAAAAUCAAGAUUAACCAAACUUUGGUUUCACACACACACACACACACACACACACAUAUAUAUAUAUAUAUAUAUCAAACUAUAAUUAUAUAAUUUUUUUAAAUGUAUAAAUCCAUUUUAUUUUUUUAUUAUCUUAAAAUUUUUAUUUUUAAAUAUAGAAAUGUAUUUUUGUUAAAAAAUUAUAUUUCAUAUUUUUGUUCCAUUAUUACUUUUAUUCCUUCUUUUUUGUUUGAUUUUUGCAUGUUAUGUUGUCCAUUUUUCAUUUUUAUUUCUUUCAUUUUUUUUAUUUGGAAAAAAAUAAAUAAAAUAUAAUUAAUAGUGACAAAUGAAAAUAAAAAAAGAAAUGUUGAAAAAUAAAAAUAAAAUUGGUCAUUUUCGUGCAUUUUAUUUUAUUUGUGUGUUUUGAUUAUUCUCCUUUUUAAACAAUUGCAUAAAAGAAAAAAAAAUGAAAAUGAUUGUAGGUGAUUUUCUUGAGGAAAGUAUUCGAAAGUUGAUGUAUAAUGUCAAAGAAGAGUCUUCGUUGUAGGUGGGACGAGAGAGAAAGCUACUUUGAAUUUUGAAACUUUACCAUCUAAAAUCAAAACAAAAUCAAGUGCAAUUUAUGCAAUUUUGUAGGAAAUUAUUAUUAUUAUUAUAAUGGUAUAACAAGUUUAAUAUAAAAAAUAAAAAAAUUGUAGUAUAAAAAUAUUAUAAUAAAAUAAAUAAAUUUAUUUUUAAAAAUAUGAAAAUUAAUAUAAAAAUAUUAGGGAAAAAUUAUGUGUACACAUAAAAAAAUAAAAAAUAAAAAUUGAUGGAUUAAAUUACUAUUGAAAUUAUAAUCCGACUUAAAGUCAAAUUAGAAGAAUUUUAUGAAAUGUCAUAUCAAAACUAAAAUACUAAAAAAUGUGCAGAAUCAAAAGAAAAUUAUAAUUUUGUUCGUGAAAUUAUGACUAUAAACAAUAACUCAAUUCAUUUUCAACUCCAGUAAAAAAUUUGAUAAGUUGUGUAUAUGCAUGUCUUGUUUAAAUCUCAAUAUCUAUAAGAUCUAGUGAAUAAUAGUGUGGACUCCGCAUUUUGCACGAUGUGUUCUCACUCAAUAGCGUGACUUGCUUUUCGUUUAUUUGUGAAAAAUUAUGAUUUUUAGAAAAUACUUGGAGUCGCCACUUAUUUUUGUUUUAUUUUUUUAAGGGAAAACAAAGUAAGAAAAAAACUCUAAGUGUGACUCUUUAUUUAGAAAAAACGGUUUGUGAAAAACCAAACCUGGGUUUGGGGGGUUAGGUUACUUAUUGAGAAGGUAGGGUAAAGACCGUAGCACCCCUCUAAACCCCUAAAAAUGGGUCUCUACUAAAUAAGGUGAGUCAAACCUGACAAUUAACUAGGAGAUCAAUGGAUACUAAAAUGAUCAUAGGUCAAAAGCAAGUCAUGAUAAUGAAUAAAUAAAAAAAGUGAGAGUGAGAACGUACCUUGACAGUAGGUAAUAAAGCGUUAUCAUGGAAACAAGGUUAGCUUAAGUAUAAAUUUAUUACACGCAUAUCAAAGAUCAAGACAAAAAUCAAGCAAUAUUCGUUAAGCAUAACAUUUGACAAUCAGAAGAGAAAACUCAUAUGUGGGACCCCCACCAAAGCCCAAUUUAUCUUGCACGAAUUAGUCUCACAAAUUUCAUUAUUUUGGAAUUAUGAAAAAUUCAUUUUUGCUUAUUUAAAAUAAAGAUAAACAAAAAAUUAUUUGAUAAUUGAAGAAAAUUUGUACAUGUGCAUACCAAAAUGAGAAUGGUAGCAGACUCAUUAAAAUCAGGAUUUUUGGCAACCUAAAACCCUAAUAAAUGAUGAAAAGUUGUAGAAAUUAAAAAAUAUUUGAAAAUUGGAGUGGAAUUAAAAUUGUUCAAGAGAAAACUAGAGUUUUGAAAAUUGAAGUCUAAAAAAUUAUUUGAGAAUUGGAGUUUUGAAAAUUAAAUUUAAGAAUUUAAAUUUUUAGAAAUUAAAUUUGAAAGAAAUUUGAAAUUUGAAAAUUAUUUGAGAAUUGGAGUUUUCAAAAAUUAAAUUUAAGAAUUGGAAUUUUGGAAAUUAAAUUUUGAAAGAAAUUGGAAUUUUGAAAAUUAUUUGAGAAUUGGAGUUUUGAAAAUUAAAUUUAGGAAUUGGAGUUUUGGAAAUUAAAUUUGAAAGAAAUUGGAGUUUUAAAAAUUAAUUGAGAAUUGAAGUUUUGAAAAUUAGUUUUAAGAAUUGGAAUUUUGGAAAUUAAAUUUGAAAGAAAUUGGAAUUUUGAAAAUUAUUUGAAAAUUGAAGUUUUGAAAAUUAAAUUUAAGAAUUUGAAUUAAAUUUGAAAGAAAUUGGAAUUUUGAAAAUUAUUUGAGAAUUGAAGUUUUGAAAAUUAAAUUUAGGAAUUGGAGUUUUCGAAAUUAAAUUUGAAAGAAACUGGAGUUUUGAAAAUUAAUCGAGAAUUGGAGUUUUGAAAAUUAGUUUUAAGAAUUGGAAUUUUGAAAAAUUAUUUGAAAACAAAAGUUUUGAAAAUCAGAAUUUCGAAAAAUUAUUUGAGAAUGGAAUUUUUAAAAGAUCAAUUUUUUAACAUAAAAAGAUGGAUUAGGAGGGUGACACGUCAAACAUUGGAUAGCAGCCCUCUAGAGUGGAAUCCCAAGGUUCUCCUCAAAAAAUACCUCAAUGCCUAAAUGGCUAAGCAUCUGUCUAAAAAAAAAAAGUAGCAAUAGUAGGUUUUCCAUUUGUUCCAGUCACUACUAAUAUCUUAAUACUUCUUGGAAGAAUUUCUGCAGCAAAAUCCAACUCAGACAGUAUUCUCUUCCCUGAUUGCAACAAGAAGGAAAGUCCAUGACUUUCCAAGGGAACUCUUAGUGAAACAACUACCAUUUCGGCAUCCUUGAGAAGCUUUGUGUCAAAAUGUCCAAGAACGAUUUUCAAAUGACCAUGCUUUUCAAACAGGAGAUCGAGCUCUAGCGAGAGCAAGCUUUGUUGCAGCUCUACCAGAUUUUCCCAACAAGAAAACAGGAAGCUCUCAACCAAACCCAAAUUCACGAAAGAGAAUCAAACCAUAUGGGAAACAUCCGGAUCGGCGCGGUAGCUACAGUCUUGUAACAAAUCUCACUUGGGGUCUAGAGAUUCAUGCUACCUCAAGCUUUUUCUUAUCAGCCUCAUCAUCCCAUGGUUUCACAUCCUAGUGUACAAUCGCAUACCCAAGAAUGCACAAACACAAGGAGUAGGGAGAAAACAACAAAAACAUAGCACAAAUGAAGAAAAUAAUAUGAACCAUCAAAAGCCACACUUCAUGUCUUAGUCAGUGGACUUAAAGAUAGGUGGAUUAAAAGGAUUUCUAAAUGUCACAAAAGAGAUAAAAAUUAGUUGGACCAAUUUUUGAACACAAAUUGGAGGAACAAAGGAGCCAUUAACUAUGAAAAAAAAAAUAAAGAUUGGUCGUAUUGGAGAAAGACAACAUUUGGUAUUGCAGAAGAGAGACAACAUUGUGUCACAUGAUGCAUGCACAAAUGACCCUUCCCAUGGGCUUAUAUUGGAGGUGGGAAGCUUCUGAAAACUCCUUAAGCCAUCUAUACUAAGCUAUUGGUGGGAAGAGUGUGGAAGCUUCUUAAAAAGCCUAGGGAUGUCCACAUAUCUCUACAUUAUGGUGGAAGGCAUGAGAAAAGUCUAAGACUUUCUAGAGAGCUCUAGAGGUCUCUUGUAUAUUCUUGUAUGUAAGCUUGUACAUAGAAUUAUAUAGGGUGUUCUAGAAUAUCCAUGAGUUGUAAGGAACCCUCUAAGGUUCUAGAGAGUUCCAUUGGUGUUUAUAAAUAAGUGAGGGUCUCAUUUGGCCAAGGCACCAAGCAAGUGAGUUUCCAAGCAUUAUAUAGCUUUCUUUGAAAGCAGUAAAACUUCUAUUAUUUAAGUGUUGCCUACUACGCCCUCUAAAGUUUUUAAGUUGGGUGCGUCUUAGCGUAGCAAGCUAAGUAUUAGGAGUAAUGUUAACUUAUCAAGAUCAAGGGUCUUGACUUGUCUAAGUGUCGCACAAGCUUAGGAAAAGACUAAGUUUAUGACAGUUGGCAAUAGGUUGUGGAUAAGUGGUGGUGGUGAUGUGGAGAAAGUGAAGGAAACAUAGAAAAAUAAAGACGGGAAAGGAAAAGAGAGAGAAAAAAAGACUACUAGGUAGGGGAAGCUAUGAGCGGUGGCCAACGACGACACUAAUGGAUAAUGUCGUCAAUAGUGGCGGUAGAUUCGAUGGAAGCGGUAGAUUCGGUGGGAAGUGAGAGGUGACGGGGAAUUGAACUUUGGUUCUCCUCCCAUUGCAAUCACCAUCAUUCUCAUUUUCCGCUUAGGAUCAAUGUGCCCCCUCUAAACAACAUUGACAACCCCGUCAUCUUUUUCAUUUCUAGUGUUGUUUUCUAUAAUUGGAACUAGGUUUUCAAAAACAUCAACUAUCUUUGGAGGAGUAGUACUAGUAUUGUGAAUGAUUGAAACUGUGAUUUCAAAAUUAGGUUGGGUUCCAACAUAGAGGUAAUAGAGGUUGUUAAGCCUUUAGGAAGACAUGCACAAGUGAACAAUGUUCUUAGAGAUUAUAAUGGUGGAAGAAGGCCAUAAGAAGACAAGAAAAGAAAAGGGAAAAGAGAAAAGGACUCUCUUUCACGCCACCUACCCAUUUUCAGUGUUGACACCUUUCUCCCAUUGGCAUCAUCCUCUCCAAUCGUCACCUACCAAUCAUCACCACAUCUCUUACUUUCAUGACAAUUUUUUUUAAGAUAAUUUUGGAACAAAUUCAAAAACAUUGUUAGAGUGCAUGCAUUAUUAAAUUUUUUUCUCCACUUUAUACUUAAAAUGAAAAGAUAAAAGCAAAAUUCCAUAAACCUUAUAGCUCGUUUAACCAUAUAACUUAAAAACAAUUUUUUUAACACUUUCAAUUGUGGUUGUUCAUUAUUCUCAAAAAAAAAUAAAAAAUAAAAUAAAACUAGAUUGAAAAAAAAAUCAGGAAACAACCUCAUUGAUUUAAAUUAUUAUUUAAUUACUCCCAUAAUCGUAUGAUUAUUCUUAUGUUUUUGUUAUGUUAUAUUAACAAGUGAAUACUAUGUUGUUAAUUCUGGAUAUCCUUGUACUAUAGGUUUUCUUCCUCCAUAUUGAGGUAAAAGGUAUUAUUUGUAAGAUUAUCCUAGCAGAAGUUGUUAAUCGAAGACUAAUAAAGAAUUGUUCAAUUAUAGGCAUUCUCGUUUAUAAAUAUAAUUGAGUAUUGUUUUGUGUGUUAAAAGCACAUUUUUCAGUUUUAAAAAUGAUGUCAUCUUACAAACCAAGUAGACAACUAUAAAUAGUUGUAGCUUGUUGUACUCUUUAUAAUUUCAUUCAUAAAUAGACUUAAAAUGAUGUUAUGUUUAGACAAUGGGAAGAAGAACUUGAAUUUGAAGAUAAGGACGAUACUACAAUUGAAGUAAGUUAUGCAAUGACUUUAUCAGAUGAAACAACAACGACUAUGAUAGCUUAUCGAGAUCGUAUUUCAUAGUAGAAAUGGAAUGCUUAUGUUAAUAGUUUGUAAACAUUAGUCAUUAAAUAGUUAUAUUAAUAUACGAAGUAAGGAUGUGAAAUAUGAAAAUUGUUUAACUAUUAUAAUUGACUUGAAGUAUUUUGUGUGUACUUGGUUUGCAAUUGUUUUUGUUUCAAUUUAUUUUAUUUUAUUUGUUUUUCCUAUUAAAAAAAUCAAUCCAACUAUUUAUUUUACUCUCAUUAAAAAAUGACUAUUAAAAUUAUUUUUAAUCUUAUAGUAAUUUUUGUUUUAUUUGAAUAAAAAAAAUUGUUUAAUAAUUAAAACAAUUAUUUAUCUAUAAUUUAUAUAUAAUUUGAAUUUUAUUUAUUUAUUUUUAGUGAGAUUUAACUUGAAUGUGAUUUAUAUUAAUGUAAAUUAAAUUUUAAAAAUAAAAAUAGAAAAAUUGUUUUUAAAACCAAAGUCGAUUCUUUUAUACAAACAAGUUUUUGUUUUUUAUCUUUAAAAAUUAUUUUUGAAAACAAUUGGCCAAACAAUUUUUCUUUUUAAAAAAUACUAAAAAUGCCAUUUUUUAUUCUUUAUCUUAAAAAUAAUUUUUUAAAUUAAAAAACACAAUCAAACACCUUAUUUUGUUUUUAUUUUUGGUGUCUGGUUGCAUAAUUUUCCCAUUUUUUAAAACUGAAUUUCAAGCAAGCUCUUAAUUAUGUAAUUAAAAACUUGUUUGGUAGUAAUUUUAAGAAGCGAUUAUAAUAUUCCUAACACUUAAAAAAAAAAUUAUUUUUCAAGUAUACAACGUAGAAAUACUUGUGAGGAUCACUGCUACACAUGCUCUAUGUAGACAUAUCCCACUUCUAAGUUCUAACUCUUCAACGUCUGAACUCUUUUGAUGAAAUCCACACUCAAACCACCCAAAUCCAAGUCCCAAAUGCAGCCACUGCUUCAUCCAGGUCUGCUUCAUUCUCAUUUCAUCACUUCCUUUUUCUAUUAAUUAUUUUAUGAUUGUCCUUUUUGUUUCUUUUGUAUGAAUCCUAAGUGUCUUAUUGUUUUCCAUGGGCAGAAAAUACUUCCAUGAGAAAUUCUUCCCCAGAAAAUUUCCCCAACCUUGUCUGGUAAUAUACCCAUGUUUUUUUCCUAAUCUUUUGCGUCAAGCUUGGAAACUUCUGCUUCUGUCUUGUGCCCCUUAUGAUGGGUUUUGGAGUCAAAAUAAGAGACGUAAUGAUGAAUUCCAGAUAAUCCAUAUCUUAAAGUGAGAAAAUAUUCAAAAAAGAAUUUGUUGUGUUGAGAGGGAUUGCUUGAGAAGUUCAGGAUUAGGGAAUUAUUUUAUCUCAGUAUGGUUUAGAAUUCCAGUUUGGCAAAUUCAGGAUUCAGGACUGGCUUUGGGCUCAAAAUGAUUUGGGGUUUCUACUCAGAAACAUCCAAAAUUGAACUAUUUGACAAAUUUGGGGUGUGGGAGCUGUUCCUUUGUGGGAUAUUUGUGAAUGAUUAUGGAAUUGCUGAACUGUAUUACAUAAAUUCAAAUUUUAUUUGCUUGAUGGGGAAUUGGCCUGGGAAAAGAUAGCUGAUCACAUUAUCCCACCUUUGAUAUCAGCUGUUGCUUUGAUUCUCAAACUUUUAAAUGGAGAAAUGACUGUUGUAGAGAAGAAUAAAGGGAUAAGGUUUUGUUUGGUGGACUUGUUUUCCAUGUUUCUUCUCCUCUAAAGGUUAGGGGUGAAAGCAACUUAUAGUUGAUGGUUGUCUUCAGAAAUAAGCUGAUCAUAUCAUAGCUGACCGAUUUCUUCUUUGGCCAUCUUGAAGCAAUUUUAGUAUUUAUUUUAUAAGCUGAUUUUGGUGUCCAAGAAAUUAUUCUUAACAUAAUUAUUUUUUUUUUAAAAUAUCAAUUAUAUUUGAUUGGUAUUAUCAAUUAUGCUUUGCGGACCAAGCAUGACUCAUCUUAUUUGGGCCUCCCACUACUUUAAUCCUACACAGAUGACACAUUUUUAUUAAGAUCCAGAUCCUAUUAUCAUGGACUGGGCAAUGGAGGCUCAGAUCCGGCCGUAAUCAGACAAGCUGCUGGGCCGCCAUGGCUGCAACUACGGUUGCCUGUAAAAUGAAACCCAUUUCACAGAUCAUCCGGGUUGCCCCACCAAGAAACGAGCCCUUCAUAAUCUCUGAUUUACUUGAAAAGUAUCAUCAUAUCCCCUCGAUUUUCUCAUUGGGAACCAAACAGAUCGAGGACCCUUUGAAGGACCCUAAAUACAUCCAACCAAACAAUCAUAAAUAAAUAAAUAAAGAUGGACAUCACGGGUCCAGGGAGGGCUCAGAUCCGCCUGUAAUCAGACAAGAUCCAUGUUCGCCAUGGCUGCAACUACAGUUGCAUGUGAAAAAAAGGGCAUAGAAACCCAUUUCACACAGUCCGGGUCGCCCUUGGAAAGUGUCAUCACAGCCACUUAAUUUUCCUGCACAUUUUCUCAGCAACCAAAUAGAUACAGAUCCUUCUCAGAAAACACAUUUUAAAACACAAACAAAUAAACCAAAACAAAACAAAGACCAGACUCAGCGCGGAAGUGCAUAGCGCGUAAAAGGAAGGCUCAGAUUCGCCUUUUAUCAGACAAGAAAAAGAUGACCGUCCUGGCUGCAACCACAGUUGCUUGUGAAACAAGGCACAAAAGGUCGCCCAAACCAUCCGGGUUGCCCCGCCAAGAAACGGACAUUCCCAGUGCCUGACUUACUCUGAAAACGUCAUCACAGCCUUUUAUGUUGCCCAUAUGAACAGAGAGAGAGCGCUGUUGAUUUUCCAGAGAAUCAAGACAGCCUCUGAUGUACAUGUACACACGUGUAUGAGAAGCCCUUUUCUGAAGUUCCCAAUAUUUCCUACCAGUCCAGCCCGCGCACAGGAUACAAAUUUUUUUUAAAACAUAUGAUGUUAUUUGGUAAUCUGAUCAUGAUUUGCAGGCAAAGGUCGUGUUUUCCAGCCUGGCUCAAAAAUCGUGGAUUUAGGGUUCGUGAAAUUUAAAUCCAAUAGCACAAAAGCAAAGAGACCCCUAGAACAGAUCCAGAAAACACAGGGAGCAAAGAAAAAAACAAUUUUUUUGGUUUUCGUGGGGGGUUUUGCAUGGAUUUUCUCGGAAAUCAAACGAGGAUGAAUUUUCCCGGAAAUCGAAAGGGGGAUGGAUUUUCUUGAGAAUCAAACGGGGGUUGCAAAAAAAUAAUAAUAAUAACAUGAUUAGAUUAGUACCUGCGAGGAUUGAGAGUGGCAGAGGAAAAUAGGGCCUUUUUAGGGAUUCUCUCGUCCGGAGGGCAACUUCAGAAAAGGACUUCUUGAUGCCCGAGUGAGAGAAGUGGAUGGCCCUUUCGAUUUUUAUAUUUAGUAGAGAGAGAAAACAAGGGAAACAAAUCAUGAGAACAAUUUCGCCAUGGCUGCAACUACAGUUGCACGUGAAAAAAGGGCAUAGAAACCCAUUUCACAGACAAUCCGGGUCGCCCAGCCAAGACAUGGGUCCUUUCAAAUAUCUGAUUUACUUGGAAAGUGUCAUCACAGCCACUUAAAUUUCCUGCACAUUUUCUCAGCAACCAAACAGAUACAAUAUCCUUCUCAGAAAACACAUUUUAAAACACAAACAAAAAAACCAAAACAAAACAAAGACCAGACUCAGCACGGAAGUGAAUAGCGCGUAAAAGGAAGGCUCAGAUUCGCCUUUUAUCAGACAAGAAAAGGAUGACCGUCAUGGCUGCAACCACAGUUGCUUGUGAAACAAGGCACAAAAGGUCCCAUCGCACAAACCAUCCGGGUUGCCCCGCCAAGAAACGGACAUUCCCAGUGCCUGACUUACUCUGAAAACGUCAUCACAGCCUUUUAUGUUGCCCACAUGAAGAGAGAGAGAGCGCUGUUGAUUUUCCAGAGAAUCAAGACAGCCUCUGAUAUAUAUGUAUAUAUAUAUAUAUAUACACACAUGUGUAUGAAAAGAAAGAAAAGAAAGAGCGAAGGAAAAGGGCAGUUGAUGGGCGUAGUAGAAGGAAUCAUCGGCUCCGACGACCAUGAGAUUCAGAGAGGGGCAACCACCCUUAGAAACUCCCCAUCCCUCCGAGACAGUCACAGGAGCCUCAGUCUUAAACUAAUGAGGUUGAGCCCUAACUUUUACUCAUCCUUCCCCUUUUAUAGUACUCCCUGUCUUCUUCUUUGCUUUUAUUUUAUUUUUUUGACCUUUCUACCCUCACUAAUCCCUGUGUCGAAUUUGGGGGAAAUUUCCCGAUAUUUCCUACCAGUCCAGCCCGCGCACAGGAUACAAAAUCUGUGCAAUUUUUUUUAAAAAAAACAUAAGAUGUUAUUUGGUAAUCUGAUCAUGAUUUGCAGGCAAAGGUUGUGGUUUUCAGCCUGGCUCAAAAAUCGUGGAUUUAGGGUUCGUGAAAUUUAAAUCCAAUGGCACAAAAGCAAAGAGACCCCUAGAACAGAUCCAGAAAACACAGGGAGCAAAAAAAAUAAAGCAAUUUUUUUGGUUUUCCUUUGGUGGUUUUGCGUGGAUUUUCUCGGAAAUCAAACGAGGAUGAAUUUUCCCGGAAAUCGAAUGGGGGAUGGAUUUUCUUGGGAAUCAAACGGGGGUUGCAAAAAAAAAUAAUGUACCUGCGAGGAAAAUAGGGCCUUUUUAGGGAUUCUGGAGGACAACUUCAGAAAAGCGGAUGUUCGAUUUUUAUAUUUAGUAGAGAGAGAAAACAAGGGAAACAAAUCAUGAGAACAAUUUUCCUCUCUCCGUAUAAAUAAUUAUUAAUUAUCCAUCUUUAUUUUGAUUAAAUCACUACCAAAAUUUCGAUUUUUAUCGGUAAUAUUUUAUAAAUUAAAAUUAAUUUAAUAAGAUAAAUUAUUAAUAAUUUUAAUGAUUUAAAUAAAUUAAUAUUAAUAAAAAAAGUUAUUACCACAUAUUUUUAAUAAAAUCUUAGAAAUUAAAUAUCAAAUAAAAUAUUUUAUAUAAAUUAAUUUAAUUUUUCAUUUAAAAUGUAAUAAAACAUAUUUUAAUAAAAAUAUUUUAAAAAAAUAUUGUCAUGGACUCAAUUCUUCUAAUAAUAUGAUGAAACCACAUCGAUCUUUAUUUUGAUACUAAAGACUAUUGCAAUGUCAUAUGCAUUUGUAAACCUCAAAAUUUGUCUUAUUUUUAUUUUACAUUAAUUUUGAGCUCAAUUUUGUUCUUAGAUUUUAAAACCCGAUUACAUUUUAUUUUAUUGGCUCAUUUAUACAUUUUAAGUCUUAAUUCUUAUUAUUUCGUUUAUUUUAUCUUAUUUUUCCUUUCUUUUUAUUUUAUUUUAUUUUUUUCUCUUUCCUUAUUUUCCCUCAUUCUCCUCCCAAUUCCCACUUUCUCUCUUCUCUCUCCUAUCUCCUAUACUAAGGAUGAAAAUAUCGGUAAUCACGAAUAUAUCGGUACUUCGAUUUUACGGAUAUAUCGUAUCGGCGGAUAUUUUGGAAAAAAAUAUCGGUAACCUUAAAAUUGUUAAAAACUUAUGAAAAUAUAAGAAAAACCUCAUAAUAAUAUAAUUAAAAGUAUAAUAGACAUUUUAAAGUUAUUUUAUUGAAAAUUUUUAUAUAUGUAUAACAUAAUUUAUCAUAUUUGAUAAUAAUAUCGUAUGCAUCGAUAAAAAUAUGAAUUUUAUAAGUGUACAUUUAUUAUUAAAUUACAUAUAAUAUUAUGAUAUUUGAUUAUAAUAUGUCUAAUUUUAAAAUAUAUAUUAAUAUUAAAAUAUGAUCCAUUUAAUUCAAUUGUAUUAAACAAUAUAAAAUAAAUUAUGAUAUAUAUAUAUAAAUUUUUAAUAUUUAAUUAAUUAUUAAUGAUAUUAAAAACAUUAUGAAGAAAAUUAUAUAAUUUUUAUACUUUUUGAUAAUUAAUUAAAAGAAAAUUUUGUAUUUAAUUAUAAAAUAAUUAUAAUUAAUUUGCUAUUUAAAAUAUUCUUUUAACAUUUUCUUUAUAUAAUGACUUUAAGUAUAUAUAUGUUUGGUGCACUUUAUAUUACAAGGGCAAGUUAGCCGCAAAUGGAGUGAACCAAAAGGUUUGGGGUUCAGAUCCCCUCAGAAGCAAUUUCAAGCAAAUAUCGUUGGAUCGUGUCGAUACCCUUCGAUACACAUAUAUCGUCGAAAUAUCGCGACAUUUUCCUCCUUGCCUAUACCUACCUCCAUACCCUUUGCCAUACCCCCACGUUCAAGACCCAUACUCUGGCUCUUGAUUGAUAUUAAUUUUUUAUUUUUUUUUCCCAGGCCGGACUGCAUUUGUUGGGCCCUUUCUCCAUUUUUAUUUUUUCUUUUUUUUGGGGGAAAAAGGCAACUCCCCCCAACUCUCACAAGGUUCCCGACUGUUUCUUCUUUGGGCUCAUCAAUGGCGGGAGAAGAGCGAUUGAGCUUAAGUUUAGACUUGCUGAUGGCACCGACAUCGGUCCAAACAAGUAUAAUCCAACUACCUCUGUGGGAUCUCUCAAAGAAAAGAUACUUACACAAUGGCCUAAAGGUUGCAAAUCCUUUUUACCCUUUUAAUCCCCUGCUUCAUGGAUCUUGAUAUGUUGGCUUCUUUUAGAUUAUUGUCCUAUUUGUUUCCUUCUAUGCAUGUUUUCCAUGAUUUUCUUUUAUUGAUUUGGCUCAACAUUUACACCUCCGUAUUUAAAGAAUCAUGCCUUCUCUUUUUUAGAUUGUGUGUUAGAUGGGUUUUCUUGAGAAUUUUUUUUUUCUUCUUCUAUGAGAAUGUUUGUUUCAACAGAAAAAUACUUUGUGGAUAUAUUUUCUGGAAAAAAAAAAAACAGAGAAUAAGAUUCAUAAAUUAAGGCUUUAUUUUUUAUUAUACUGAGCAUCAUGGAGCUAGGGUGUAGACCCCCUCCCGGGGAGGAGGAGUUUUAGGCCAUUUUAUUUUUUGCUAUCAUAAUGACUUUUUUGACCACCCCGGGAUUUCAGCUGAAGGAGGUGGCCAGAUUAGAUGGGAAAAAACAGAAGAGGAGAGAAAGAGGAAAAGGAGGGCUUGCUGAGGAAGACAAAAACAGGGGAGAAGAGAGGGAAGAAAAGGGAGUUCUGGGUGAGAGUUUUAGCUGGGGUCUGGGAAGGGGAAAAAACACGCUGGGAAACACCUUGCAGGAGGGCGAUACAGGUAUUCUUCCUGUUGGCUGAGGAUCUUUUUGUGUUCAUCACAUUCUAUUAUGCUUUCUAGCUAGCAUGAGAUGCUAUCUCAGUUCUUAGAGGCGAGCAGCUAAUACUUUUUUUAGUAUCUAAUUUUGCUCACUCAUAUUCUGCAUCUGAUUUUCUGACUUAUCCUUUAGACUCUGUUCUGCGUUUUUUUCUUUUUUUGUGAGUUGUUAGUCAUGCCCAUCUGGUUUUCUCUUAGAAAUCUGUUUGAAAUACAUUUUGACACACCUCCUACAUGUGAGCCCAUGGAUCGUUAUACGAAAUGAUGCGUGUAAAGGGUCAUUUUGUGUCUAUUGCUUGUGCUCUGUUUUUGCUGUUCUCCCUUUGUCAUUGGUGCUCGGCCAUAGAGGGGAUCAGACUUUCCAUCUCAGCUUGAAGGAGUAAGAGGACCCAGGAGAUAUGCUCCCUAUCUGUGAGUACUAGAAAGGCCAUGGCUACGCUCCACUCAUUUCAUCUGUAAAUGAGACAUCUAGCUUGUUUUGUACUGGUGACUCAAAUCUAUCCAUUGAGGUGGCAUUCUUCCGUCAACUAAACUUGAAACCCUUUUAAGAGAGACAAACCAUGUCAUUAGCUGUGGAUAUGAAGACAAGACUGAUUAGGCAAGGAGAUUGGAGGAGUUCAUGGUUCAGUGAUAGAAGGUAUUUUGACCGUGUUCAAGAUGUAUGCACGAGGUUGGAUUUCAAUGUAUGGCUAUAAUGGGAGGUUCAUUACGCCAAUGCCAUUGCUCAUCCCCCUCAUACCCAUGUCAGCCACUUUCUACACCCUCUCACCAUCAUUUCUCUCACUAAACCAUACCUCAUACCCAUUAAAUCUUUCAUGCCUUUACCCAUAUUUCCAUUACGCCCAUGCUUACCACAUAUCCACCAUGGCCACGUCCUCACUCACUCCUCCUUACACCCAUAUCUCACCUCCCAUGUGUGUCAUCAUCCUUCUUAGUCCCAUACCCGUAUACCCACUACCCAAAUACCCCACUUAUCCAUCUCUUACCUGUUUCUCUCUCUAUAUUAUCACCAUACCCAUACCAUGCUCGUCCUUAUUAGCCAAGACCACCUUGCAUACCCACAAAGUUCAUCACCUAUUGCUCUCCACGCCAAACAUCUUCCAUUUCAUCAAUCACCGAAAACCCUUUUUCUCACUGUUUUAAUGUUCCUUUCUUACCAAUCCUCUUGCCAUCUCACCCACGUCUACGUUACCCAUGCACGCCUGGCUGCCCAGGUUGUUGUGAGUCUCCUCUAAGGUCCCGAAUCUACCUAGCCUUCAUAGUGGCAGCAGGAGCAUAAUAAAAAAAUAAAAAAAAGGAAAGAAGAAUGUAUUGCAUGGUAGGCAUGAAACCAUUUAAAUAAUUGGUGAAUUAAAAGUCAAAGAUAUGAGUUUUUUUUAUAUUAUUUUUUAUUCUUAAUCAGUGGCAUGGUUCCAGCAGGCUUCAAGAUGGUUUUUUUUAUUAUUUUUUUCUCUUUUCUCCCACGUGUCAUCUUCUUAAUUCCACUUUACAUGUUAAAUUUUUUUUUUUAAAGUCCUAUUAUCAAAUAAUUCUUUUAAAAUCCCAACGUUUCAAAUUCAUUCAUUUAUUUUAUCUAUUUUAUUCAUUUAUUUUUUAUUUGUCUAUUUAUUUAUUUAUUUAAAAAUCUCAAUCAUUAAAAUUCAAUUUUUCAAAAAUCCGACUUCCAAAUCUAAUUUUUAAUCUAAAAAAUUCUAGUAUUCACGUUCACUCGUUUAAAUAUUAUUUCGUUAUUAUUAUCAUUAUUUCAUUUAUUUAUUUGUUUAUUUCCUUUAAAAAUUCCAAUCAUUAAAGUUUAAUUUUUCAAAAUUCCAAUUUCUUUCAAAUUUAAUUUCUAAAAAUCCGAAUUCCAAACAAACUCUAAAACCCCAAAUUUCUAGUGAUUUUCGAGAUUCCAAUUUUUCAAUUAAAUUUCAAAAAUCUAAUUUUCUUCGGAAUAGUUUUAAUUCCGCUCUGGCUUUCAAAUAAUCUUCUGCUCCUCUUGACUUUAAUAAGCAGGAACAAAUUUUUUGUAAUUCCAAAUAAUGGAAUUUAUGGGAUUAAUUCAUGCAAUAUAAAUCGGGCUUUGGUGGGGGCCCAACAUACGUGAUUUUAUGAUUGAUUGAUUUGUUUGUUAUGCGCGAUUUAUUUAUCCUGCUUUCCGACAUGCAUGCUAUUAUUUCUUAAUUGUGCACUAACCUCUCUCUUGAUAGCACAUGGUGGCUCGUCGCCUAGGUACGCACCUACUUUCACUCUGGUAAUUGUCCAAGCAUAUUUUGAUUCUCACGUGUGCAUGAUUUAUUCUGGGUACUUAUUGAUCUACUCGUCCACUGCCAUGAUUGCUUCAUUUUAUUAGUAGAGACUUGUUUUUAGGGACUUAGAAGGGUGCUAUGGUUUUUAUCGUACCUUCCUGAUAAGUAACCUAACCCCCGAACCCGAUUCGGUUUAUCACAGACCACCUUUUCCAAAGUAAGGAGUCACACUUAGGGUUUUUCUUUCUUAUUUUGUUUACUCUUUUAAAAAUAAAACAAAAAUAAGUGGCGACUCCAAGUCAUUUUAUAAUCAAUAAAAUCAAAUUUUCAAAUAAAAAUCGAGUUCGCCAUCGAGUGGGAAACGCAUGAGUCGAAAAAAUACGGGGUCCACAUAGUGGCGACUCCACUGGGGAUAUUUAGAGGGUCAAGCUUGAACUUAGGAUGAAGCAAACGUGACAUUUGAUGAGUCGAUCAGUGGGUACCUAUUUCUUGAUUGCACAUUGAGAGUUGCCGAUAUCAUUGGAUGCAUGCUUGGUUAUUAUACUCAUUUGAGAUUUUUGACAUGCUGGAUUAUUGAUGAUUGAAUCUUAUUGCAUUGUUUAGCGUAUUAAUUCUAAUUUUGGCAUGAUUGUUCUGAUCACUUCACAUGCGUACACUCACCACUGUAUAUCACUCUGCUUGACAUGUUGAUUUUCUUACUUGUAUACUAAUUUUGAUCGUCUUUGAGCAUGAUUUUUGUAUUACUAUUCAUCUUGAUUGUUGUAUUCUCGCUUAUCUUGUGUGUACAUGAUGAUAUAUCUGAGCUUUGCCUGAUUGUGUGUCGCAUGACUGCCCUCCUUUUGCAUGACUGUGUGCCGCUUGUUUAUGUGGGUCGCACAUCUAUCUCCUUAUCUCCCAUCCUCUGGUCUCGGUCAUUCCUUUCAUCUCGGUUCUCACUAUUGCAAGUGUGAGACAUUCUAUGUGCUUGCUCUCUGACCGAGCCAGAGAUUAGGAGUAGGGUCUAGCGACGGGCUAUAUCGAUGCACGGGAGCAUUCUGAAGGAGAGCGACACUUUGAUGUCGAUUGGAGUCCGAUCAUUGAAGACCUGUAUAGCCCCGAGCUAGGUUUCAUGGAUAGUCGUGCGACCAGUGUGUUUCCUCUUCUGCUAUAGAUUCUUAGCGUUUUCAGAUGCACCCACACCAUUCACUGUGCACUUUAGUUGACCAUUGAGCGUUGAGAGUUUGAGAGGUUUCACCAUAGGAAACCCCCUGGGAUGUCGAGGUAGUGCAUGUGUGGAGGUGAUGACCACCUUGCAUGGAAGCACCCCGUCUCUUCGGAGACGUGCAGAGGGUUGCGUACCGCCGGAGGGUAUGAUCGCUUCUGCUAGGGAUCUUUAAAAUCCACCCUCAUCCAUUUAGAACCACCUUGACCUUGUAGGUUGAGCUGUAAAUCCUUUGAUUAGGACUCCCUCCCUACACGUGGGUGCAUCUAAGGGCCUUCAGAGCCUCUUUAGUCAUAGUUUAGAUUUGACACUCCCUCUUUUAGUAUCCAGUUGAGAGUGCUCGGAGAUCAGUAUGAGUCUGAGUAUCGGUUGGAUCACCUUUUGUCAUGUCAUCUUGGAUUAUGUUUUCCACUCGAUGAGUUUAGUAUAUUUUCUCCUAGGGCUUUCGUCUUUCUUUCUUAGUUCGACACAUCCAUUCACUUUGUCGUCACUUGAUGGAUGCUUUGGGAUAUGAUCAUGACCAUCUUUUUACACUGUACACCUAUCACGGGCCCAGUACUUCAUCUUUCGUUUGAUCCUGGAUUCGAUUUUUGACUCGAUGCUCAUAUUUUCAUUACAGAAAGGUGAAAGGCACAUUUUUACAUUCACACAUUUUUCGAGAGAGUCACCUUGACCACCUUAUCAUCUUUAUCUUAUGGAGCUCGAGUUGAAAGUGAAUCAGAGAUAUUGUUGUUGUUGUCGCUUGGCUUUCCUAACCUAAGAGCUAUCGGGUGCCUUCUCGAACUUCAUGCGCCCCAGAGACUGCUCAUCAUACGUGUCAUAGGUGGUGGGGGCCUCAAAAUUUGUCUCUCUACUCAAGUCGACCCCGACAUCCUUGAAAGCACGGGUAAAGAAGCGGUCGUAGGGGAGUACUAGCGUCGAGCUCUCAACACAGGAGAUCAUAUGCAUCAUCAUAAGGUAUCUAACAUGAAUCCGUCUCCCGAUGAGGAUCGAGUCCACAAUGAAAGCCUCGAGGUAGGAGACCUCGUCUCGAUGUCCUCCACGUGGCAAGAGAAUCGAACAGAUCAUAUGGUGAAGGACUCGGCUAGUCAUUGUCAAGCUGUGAACUGAUGUUUUGCCCAUCUCCUAGGGAUCAACAAGUCUUCACAACCUCUGAACAGCCUCUCUAGGCUCAAAUCCUGGCACAGUGGGCCACGCCUUGGCCUCAUAAACACGGAGUCCAAUCGAAGGGAUGUCGAGAAUGCGGCAGAUGCUCUCGGGACUCAAACGGAUCUCAACGCCUCUCAUAGUGGAUAAUACGGGUCCUCCAAGCCCGUAGGUUGCCCGAGAAUAGAAAGCCCGCACCAGAGUCGGGAAGACCGGCUCAGAGAUCGUCACUACGGGCAGCCAUCCCAUCCGUCCGAAUAGCCUCUCAAAGUCAAAGUGCUGAAGUUGAGAGAAGUUGACACUUCUCCCUGGAAUGACUUUUCUCUGGGCAAAUUUCUGCUUGUAGCGUUGAUAGUCUUCAUUCGAACUGAAGAGUGUCGUGUCAAACCUCGCCUUUCGACGAUCCUCCGUCUGCUCGGGCUGAGAUGGCUCAACAGGGUGCUUACCCUGAGCCNNNNNNNNNNNNNNNNNNNNNNNNNNNNNNNNNNNNNNNNNNNNNNNNNNNNNNNNNNNNNNNNNNNNNNNNNNNNNNNNNNNNNNNNNNNNNNNNNNNNAAGCGCGCGGGGGGCGUUUUAAAUUCUCAGCCCUGACGAACCGGUCAACCGAUUCCUCAACCGGUCGAUCGCCUGGUCAACGAUCAACGGUCAAUUUUUCCAAAUUUUCUUGCAUUUUCUUGUCUCAUGAUCCUCUCCCUGCCCUUUUUAGUUGAAAUCCCUAAUUUUUUAUGUCUAAUACCAUGGGAAUUUUGAUUUUUGGUCAAAAUUUGACCUCUUUCCUAUGAUUAUUUCUAUAUGAUGCAUAUGAUAUGAAUUUCACGCAAUCAUAUGAUAUAUUCAAAAGCAAUAUCAACAAGAAUUCAUCAAGCAAUCAUUUGAUCAUAAAGAAAUCACCCCUAGUUGUCUUCUAAUAUCAACAAAUUGCUCUUCACUUAGGGGUUUUAUAAAAAUAUAGGCAAGUUGAUCUUUUGUGUUUACAAAUUCAAGUGUAAUGUCACCCUUUUGUGCAUGGUCUCUAAGAAAAUGAUGUCUUAUCUCCAUAUGCUUAGUCCUAGAGUGUUGUACCGAAUUCUUUGAAAUAUUUAUGGCACUAGUGUUAUCACAUUUUAUAGGAACAUGCUCAAAAAUCAAAUUGAAAUCACCAAGUGUUUGUUUCAUCCAAAGGAUUUGUGCACAACAUAAACCGAUUGCUAUUUAUUCGGCUUCCGCCGUAGACAAGGCUACCGAAUUUUGCUUCUUACUAUGCCAUGAAACAAGUUAAUGUCCUAGGAAAUGACAAGUGUCACUAGUGUUUUUCCUCUCAACUUUACAACCGGCAAAAUCGGCAUCUGAGUAUCCAAUUAAUUCAAAGUUAUNNNNNNNNNNNNNNNNNNNNNNNNNNNNNNNNNNNNNNNNNNNNNNNNNNNNNNNNNNNNNNNNNNNNNNNNNNNNNNNNNNNNNNNNNNNNNNNNNNNNNNNNNNNNNNNNNNNNNNNNNNNNNNNNNNNNNNNNNNNNNNNNNNNNNNNNNNNNNNNNNNNNNNNNNNNNNNNNNNNNNNNNNNNNNNNNNNNNNNNNNNNNNNNNNNNNNNNNNNNNNNNNNNNNNNNNNNNNNNNNNNNNNNNNNNNNNNNNNNNNNNNNNNNNNNNNNNNNNNNNNNNNNNNNNNNNNNNNNNNNNNNNNNNNNNNNNNNNNNNNNNNNNNNNNNNNNNNNNNNNNNNNNNNNNNNNNNNNNNNNNNNNNNNNNUUACUAGCGGUCAAAUAUAGUAAAGAACCUAUCAUGCCUCUAUACAUAGUUGAGUUGACGGGCUUACCUUUCUCAUCCAUGUCAAGCUUGAUGGAUGAACUCAUUGGAGUCUUCAUUGUUUUGGCUUCCUCCAUAUUGAACCUUUUGAGGAGAUCCCUUAUAUACUUGGCUUGAUUGAUGAAGGUUCCUUCCUUUAGUUGCUUGAUUUGAAGUCCAAGGAAAAAGUUAAGUUCUCCCAUCAUGUUCAUUUCGAACUCACUAUGCAUACAUUUUGAGAAUUAUUCACAAAGAGAGACAUUAGUAGCUCCAAAAAUGACAUCAUCAACGUAUAUUUGAACUAAGAGCAUGUCAUUAUCUUUGGUUUUUAUGAAAAGAGUUCUGUCAAUUUUUCCCAUUUUAAAACCCUUUUUCAAAAGAAAUUUACUCAAUCUUUCAUAUCAUGCUCUAGGUGCUUGUUUCAAACCAUAAAGUGCAUUUUUAAGUCUAAAAACAUGAUUAGGAAAGUUAAAACUUUGAAAAUCGGGUGGUUGUUCAGCAUAUACCUCUCCAUUUAUAAAGCCAUUUAAGAAAGCAUUUUUCACAUCCAUUUGAUAUAAAACAAAGUCUUUAAAACAUGCAAAGACAAGUAGCAUCCUAAUGGCUUCCAAUCUAGUUACGGGAGCAAAGGUUUCUUCAUAAUCUAUCCCUUCUUCUUGAUUAAAACCUUGGGCUACCAAUCUUGCUUUAUUCCUUAUAAUUAUGCCAUUUUCAUCCAUUUUGUUUCUAAAGACCCAUCUAGUUCCAAUAACACUUUGAUUUUGAGGUCUUGGCACUAAUUCCCAUACUUCACUUCUUUCAAAUUGGUUUAACUCUUCUUGCAUGGAAAUCAUCCAAUUUUCAUCAACUAGAGCAUCUUUUAUAUUUUUAGGUUCAAUUUGAGAGAUAAAAGCAAGAUUAUUGCAAAUAUUUCUAAGGGAUGAUCUAGUCCUUACUCCACUAGAUGGAUUACCUAUAAUUUGAUCUUGUGGGUGGUUGAUGACAAAUUUCCAAUCUUUAGGUAGGUCUUGGCUUGAUUCACCUUGCACUUGUUGAGGAGGAGGUAGUGCCAAAGGUGAUUCCUCUUUCUUGGGAUCCUCUACAACUUUUUCUUGUUGCCUUCUAUUUUCAGUUUGUAAUUUUCCCAUGGAGGUCUCCNNNNNNNNNNNNNNNNNNNNNNNNNNNNNNNNNNNNNNNNNNNNNNNNNNNNNNNNNNNNNNNNNNNNNNNNNNNNNNNNNNNNNNNNNNNNNNNNNNNNAGUUCAUCACCUAUUGCUCUCCACGCCAAACAUCUUCCAUUUCAUCAAUCACCGAAAACCCUUUUUCUCACUGUUUUAAUGUUCCUUUCUUACCAAUCCUCUUGCCAUCUCACCCACGUCUACGUUACCCAUGCACGCCUGGCUGCCCAGGUUGUUGUGAGUCUCCUCUAAGGUCCCGAAUCUACCUAGCCUUCAUAGUGGCAGCAGGAGCAUAAUAAAAAAAUAAAAAAAAGGAAAGAAGAAUGUAUUGCAUGGUAGGCAUGAAACCAUUUAAAUAAUUGGUGAAUUAAAAGUCAAAGAUAUGAGUUUUUUUUAUAUUAUUUUUUAUUCUUAAUCAGUGGCAUGGUUCCAGCAGGCUUCAAGAUGGUUUUUUUUAUUAUUUUUUUCUCUUUUCUCCCACGUGUCAUCUUCUUAAUUCCACUUUACAUGUUAAAUUUUUUUUUUUAAAGUCCUAUUAUCAAAUAAUUCUUUUAAAAUCCCAACGUUUCAAAUUCAUUCAUUUAUUUUAUCUAUUUUAUUCAUUUAUUUUUUAUUUAUUUAUUUAAAAAUCUCAAUCAUUAAAAUUCAAUUUUUCAAAAAUCCGACUUCCAAAUCUAAUUUUUAAUCUAAAAAAUUCUAGUAUUCACGUUCACUCGUUUAAAUAUUAUUUCGUUAUUAUUAUCAUUAUUUCAUUUAUUUAUUUGUUUAUUUCCUUUAAAAAUUCAAAUCAUUAAAGUUUAAUUUUUCAAAAUUCCAAUUUCUUUCAAAUUUAAUUUCUAAAAAUCCGAAUUCCAAACAAACUCUAAAACCCCAAAUUUCUAGUGAUUUUCGAGAUUCCAAUUUUUCAAUUAAAUUUCAAAAAUCUAAUUUUCUUCGGAAUAGUUUUAAUUCCGCUCUGGCUUUCAAAUAAUCUUCUGCUCCUCUUGACUUUANNNNNNNNNNNNNNNNNNNNNNNNNNNNNNNNNNNNNNNNNNNNNNNNNNNNNNNNNNNNNNNNNNNNNNNNNNNNNNNNNNNNNNNNNNNNNNNNNNNNNNNNNNNNNNNNNNNNNNNNNNNNNNNNNNNNNNNNNNNNNNNNNNNNNNNNNNNNNNNNNNNNNNNNNNNNNNNNNNNNNNNNNNNNNNNNNNNNNNNNNNNNNNNNNNNNNNNNNNNNNNNNNNNNNNNNNNNNNNNNNNNNNNNNNNNNNNNNNNNNNNNNNNNNNNNNNNNNNNNNNNNNNNNNNNNNNNNNNNNNNNNNNNNNNNNNNNNNNNNNNNNNNNNNNNNNNNNNNNNNNNNNNNNNNNNNNNNNNNNNNNNNNNNNNNNNNNNNNNNNNNNNNNNNNNNNNNNNNNNNNNNNNNNNNNNNNNNNNNNNNNNNNNNNNNNNNNNNNNNNNNNNNNNNNNNNNNNNNNNNNNNNNNNNNNNNNNNNNNNNNNNNNNNNNNNNNNNNNNNNUUUUUUUUUAAAAUAUUUUUUUUUUUUAAAAAAAACCCAAAUUUAAAAAAAAAAAUUUUUUUAAUGGGAGUCUUUUUUUCUAGGGGGGGGUUUCCAUGUAAAAAAAAAUUUUUUUUAAAAAAAAAAAAUUUUCUAAAGGGGACUUGUUUUUUGAGGGGGGGGGUUUUAUGGGGAAAAAAUUUUUAUUUUUUUUUAAAAAUAUUUUUUGUUUAAAAAAAAUUUUUUUAAAGGGAACUUGUUUUUUCAAGACCCGGGUUUCCAUUGGAAAAACAAUUUUUUUUUUUUUAAAAAAAAAUCCCAAAUUAAAAAAAAAAAAAACAAUUUUUUUUUUAAAAAUAUAAUUUUUUUACAUGGGAACUCGUUUUUUGAAGGGAGGGGUUCCCAUGUAAAUUUUUUUUUUUUAAAUAUAUAUAUAUAUAUAAUAAUAAUAAUAAUUAAAAAAAAAAAAAAAAAAAAAAAAAAACAAUUCCUAAAGGGAACUCGUCUCUUCAAGAGACGAGUUCCCAUGUAAAAAAAAUUAUAUUUUAAAAAAAAUUUGUUUUUGUUUUUUUUUUUUUUUUUAAUUUGGGAUUUUUUUUUAAAAAAAAAAUAUUGUUUUUCCUGAAGAGACGAGUUCCCUUUAGGAAAUUUUUUUUUAAACAAAAAAUAUAUUUAAAAAAAAAUAAUAAUUUUUUUCCUCUCUUGAAGAGACGAGUUCCCUUUAGGAAUUUUUUUUUUUAAUAUAUAUAUUUUUAAAAAAAAUAUAUUUUUUUUUACAUGGGAACUCGUCUCUUCAAGAGACGAGUUCCCUUUAAGAAUUUUUUUUUUUUUUUUAAUUUGGGAUUUUUUUUAAAUAAAAAAUAUAUUUAAAAAAAAAAAAAAAUUCCCAAAGAGACGAGUUCCCUUUAGGAAAUUUUUUUUUAUUUAAUUUGGGAUUUUUUUUAAAUAAAAAAUAUAUUUAAAAAAAAAAAAAUUUUCCCUGGGAACUCGUCUUUCCCUUGUCUUUUUUCAUGGAACUCGUCUCUUAAAGAGACGAGUUCCCUUGAGUAAAUGGGAAUUUUUUUAAAAAAAUAUAUAUAUUUUUUUUCAUGGAACUCGUCUCUUCAAGAGACGAGUUCCCUUUUAUAAUAUCCUAUCACCCUAUCUCCUAUCCCCUCUCUCCUCUCUCCUCUCUNNNNNNNNNNNNNNNNNNNNNNNNNNNNNNNNNNNNNNNNNNNNNNNNNNNNNNNNNNNNNNNNNNNNNNNNNNNNNNNNNNNNNNNNNNNNNNNNNNNCUCUCCUCUCUCUCACCCUCUCUCCUCUCUCCUCUCUCACCCUCUCUCCUCUCUCCUCUCUCCUAUGUGGCAAAAACUACCAUAUAUUUGUAAUAACUUCUUCUACUACAAUAAUUUAAGCAUAACUUUUUUAAACUACUGUACUAUUGAGAAAAGUCCCAAAAACUUCGACAAGUAGAGGCAGUGGGGGGAAUGCCCUCUCACCAUUGAAUUGAACUCUUGUAUUUUUUUUCUCUGCGAGUCCACGUGGGUUUGUCCCCUCACUCGUCACAUUCACACCACAUAUAUAUGUAGCGGGCCGUAGAUUAGAAAAUUCAUAUUCCUUUUGCUAAUAGUCCAUGCAAAGUCAUCCUCAAUGAUCCAUGAGUGAACUAACGGAAUUUUUAGCAUUCAGAUAAAAAUAUCAAAGUGUAUUUUUUUGGUACUUAACGAAAAAUCAAGCAAAGAACGUCCAUCAUGCAACCUAAGUCUCAUUAUUUUAUGCAAUUCCUACUCGUUUGUAUCACAUAAAGAGUCUCACUACUUCGUAUUUUGAUUUCAUUUGUUUGUACAUUAAUCCCAUAUAUUUGCAUUUUUAUCUAAUAGUCGAGAUUUAAAGUUUGAUAAUUAUGAAUUAUGUACCUUAUCGUUUCUCAAAAUGUCUUCUCAACAUAAAUACAACAUUCCCACAACAUGAAAUAACUUGAUGUCUCCCGAAUUUGAAAUGUUGAAAGCUAUUGAAGUUCCUAUAACUAAAACCAAUCACACAUGAGAGACACCCCUUCAAAGUUGAAAAACUAUGAGCUAGCCUUUAAUCAAGCACCCAUUGUAGUUUUUCAUCUACCAUGCAACUUGUUGCAAGGGUGGCCUCAAACUUUUGAGAGACGAAGGGGUAUGAUUUUUCAUAACAUAAAAAUAAUGGGAAUUCUCUCUAGAAAAACCAUAGCAAAUAGUAGUAAAAAACUCAAUGAUCAACAAGUUGGUUGUGUAAUAUGAAAAUCAAGAACCCUAGUGGCUUGUACCAUAUACAAUCCAAUUAGGUAGAGUCUUAAGCAAUUUGAAAAGAAUAAAAGCCAGUAAAGAAGUCAUGAUUCUUAAUCAUUAAAUGUGUAAUCAGAAAAUAAUUAAAGUCAAUAAAUCAAUCAUGAAAAUAUUCUACUACACUUGAGAUUGGUGGGAGUAGUGUGGGACUUUGGAGUUGAAGCAGCCUAUGGCAUGGGUGCUUUUUGGCACUCCUUGCGGCUGAGUUGGCCGGUCGAUUGACCAAGGAAGGUCCAUGGGUUUGUCAAUGAAGCGGCACAUGCCUCCACACUCAGCCCUGCCCGCUCACGCAGGUUGAUUAAUUGCCUCAUGAAAUUUGUACUCGUAUUUUCCCUAUUUGUGAACUCCUUUAGUCACAUUUGUUUGGGAAAGUAGGAAGAAAAACAAGUGUUAAGAAAAAUUAUUUUUUCAUUUGAUUGUAGGCUUGCAUUAUAAAAAAAUAUAAGAGAAAAUGAAAUAUAAUUAAAAUUAAAUAGAAAUCUAUGUAUUUUACAUUUAUUUAAUUUUUUAUUAAAAAAUUAAAAUAAAUGAAAUAAGUUUGAAAUAAUAUAUAAAAAUAAUUUAUUAAUUUUAAAUAUAUAUUUUUAUUUUCUUUCAAUUUUUCUUCUUUUCUACUUUUCUAUUCUAUUUUUUUUUCUUAUAUUUUCCUCAAAUUUUUGGAGCAAAAUAUACCUUCAAUGUAAUCCAACAAUCCAUUUUUACAUGACUUUUAAUGUACAAAAACUAAAAGGGAAAAAAAAAACCUUAUCCAAAACUAACCUCACAAGGCGUAAGUUGAAGUUAAAGCAAUAGGUGAAACUACCCAACUAAAAUACAAUAGUGAAGGAGCUUGGCCCAAUUGGAGGUGGCCUGAUUAAGCCAAGUGUCAGACAUGUUCCAUCCAAAGAUGAAAAGUCGCCAUAUAUGAUGAUGAAAAAUUGCGAUAUAUUGAUGAUAUUUCUUCGAAAUAUUAGAUUUCAAUCGUCAUCAAAAUGAAAUUUCAUGGAGAAAUAUCAAUAUCAUGACUUUUUAGUUAUUUUUUAGAUUCUUUCACAUGGAACCUUCCAUGUGUGUAUAUAUAUAUAUAUUAUAAAUUUGUCCUAAAAACAAAAUAUUUAAAAAAUAUUUUAUUAAAUAAAUUAAUUCUAAUUAUUUUAUUUUAAAAUUUGAUUUAGUUUAUUACAAAAAAUAUAUAAGCAUAAUUUUCUUAAUAGGUUUUUUUUAUAUAUAUAUAAUUUAUAUAUUUAUUAAAUAUAAAAUAAAAAUAAAAAUAUUAAAAAAAUUAUAUAUACAUAUCAUCAUUUAUUUUAUAUUAUUGAAUACAUUUGAAUUAAAAUGGGUUAUAAUUUUCAUAGUAAAUAUAUCUUAAAAUUAGACAUAUUAUCACAAUAUCAUCGUAAAAAAAUAUAUAUAAUGCAACUUAAUAAUGAAUGUUCACUUAUAAAAUUUAUAUUUUUUUUACCAACAUAGAGGAUAUUAUUAAAAAAAAUCAAAAUGGUUAUUAUUACUUCUUAUAUAUAUAUUAGAAUUUUUCAUAAUAUUUUUAUAAGUUUUUAUUAAUUUUUACAAUACUGAUAUUUUGUUCCUAAUAUAUCCAUAAAAUUGAAUUACCGAUAUAUCCAUCAAAACCAAUAUUUUCAUAAUUGGUUCCAUUAGCGUCAGUCAUUUCUAUUAUGUAUCCAUUGAAUAUUGCAUAGAUAGUCUUGAUCAACCAAUACUAGUUAAAUCAUGGUUACCUCUUGUUAGUCUAUGGUCAACAAAACAAAGAAUUAAGAUUUAAUAUCUCACUCAUGUGUAUGUAGGUGUUAAGCAUGAAAAUAUAAAUCAAUUAAAAUUAAAGAUGAUUUUAAGCUGGUACGAAGGAAGAACUUGUUUUAGUUUAAGUAUUUUCUUAUAUACAUUCUCUAAUUGUUUUCAAAAUAAAUCAAGAAGUCGAUACAUGCAUUUGUGAAUUGUUUGGGAACCUCAAAAAGUCAUUUUGUGAAAGAUAGUAACUUGGUUAGUUGAUUGGUUGCCAAUAUUGGCAUCUUCAUGAUUUGUUCCUAUGACAAUGACUAGCAAAUGCAGGUUUAGAAGAUUAAUUUUUCAAUUGAGCAAUUAACUAAUCAACCUAUUUUACACUGUAAAAUUUUCAUGUAAGAAACAUUUAUUGUUAAUGGCUAGUUAGGAACUAGAUGAUUGAUCUGUCAAGCAAAUUGCUAUAUAACGGCUAGUUUAUGGUCAUUAUAUAUAUAUAUAUAUAUAUAAAAGGCUCUUAAAUUUCAUAUUUGACCUCUCAACUACCUAAAUAUUAGUGGUGAUCUAUUUUCAUGAGCUUUUAAUCCUCUUAAAUGCAAUUGUUGCCAAACUUGCAUACAAUAGUAGUUGCACCAUUGUGGACCCUCGCCCGAUCCACCGAUCGGUGUAACUCGCUAUUCUAAGGGUGAAAGAGAAAGCUGGUUUUCGAGUUUUGAAAAAUUCGUCCCAAUGAGGAACGGUUUUGUUUGGAGUCGCCACUUACUUUUUAUUUUUAUUUUUAAAUGGGGAAAAUUUAAGUAAGAACAAAAGCCCCAGCAUGACUUCAGUAAGGAAAAAGCGGUCUCCGAAAACUAGAUUCUGGGUCCGAGGAUCAGGUUACCUAUCGGGAAGGUACCUCAUACGAGGUAGCACCCCUUUAGGCCUGGAACUCAGUCUCUACUAAUGAACUGGGUAUAUGGGAGCAUAUGGGUCAAAGAUCAAACAAACCUUGGGCUAAACAAAUGACAUGAAUCACAUAGACCCGCCUAGUAUUUAGCAUGCACAUACACUUAAUAAGUUAAAAUCAGAGUGCAUACCUGAGGUCCCCAGCCAAGCGUUGCAUAAGAGGUCAAUCAAUAAGCUUAAAUGCAGAAUAAAUAUACAUAGCAAUCAUGCACCAAACAUUCAUGUGAAUUUCAUUAUCCAAAGCCAAAGUGCAUACCUAUGGUCCCCAGCCAUGCGCUACAAGGAAAAGGUGAGGCAAGUAAUACAGGCAAUAAAACAUUAAAUAUUCCGAAAUAACUAGAAGGAGGAAUUGAACUUAAGCAAGAAUUCUGAGAGUAAUUAGAAACGUACCCUAAAAGAACCAGCUUUUGAGAGCUGUUUUUCAGCUUCAAGUAAGAUUGAUUCUCCUUCUGCAAAAUCCACUCAAGACCGAUGAUCAUGAUCUCUUUUUCUUCUUUCCAAAGCAAACAAAAAUUCAUUUUUUUUUCUCAAGAUCCUUCAUUUUUCCUGUUCUCUCUGUUUUUCUUUAAAAACCUUUCCCUCUUCUCUCUCUUAGACCUUCGUUUUUCAUUUUCUCUAGGUGCCAAACCCUCAGAGACCCCUAGACUCUUCCCUCACGCUUUCAGUUUCCCUUUCUACAAAGUCUCUACCCCAGAUUUCUCAAAAAACCCCAUCUUUUCCUCUCCAAACGUCUCCUCUUUUCCUUCCCUCUCAAACUUCCCUCCUCAACAUUCGCACCACCCCAUUUUCUUUCCCCUUCAGCUCUGGAAAUCCCCACCUUCAGCCUCGAAACCCCAACUCAUUUAGCUCCCAUCUUCCCGAGGUGGGCAACUGCCCCUCAUUACUUCAUAAUUCCUUGCCCGCCAAGAAUCCACAUGAGUUCAAGGUGGGUUGCAAUCAGCCCGAAAAAUGACCCAAAUCGAACAUAAAACCAUCCUCCUAACCCAUCUGGAGCACCAGGGCUCGAACCAGCCUGAACAAGGGCACCAAAAAUGCCAAAAAUAGAGCCGUUAGCAAGCAGUCCCGAUAAACUGGUCGACCAGUUGCCAACCGGUUGACCGCCUAAAAAAAAACUUGACGAACUAGUUGAACCGGUUGACCAUCCGGUCGACCAGUUGAGAAAAAAUCUCAAAUUUUGUUACAAUAUUCCUUAAAGAAUAAGGAAUCCAAAAAAAAAAACGGUGUGCGAUUCCGAGUUCGAAAGAGGGAGAUAUGAUCGAAACAAGCCCAAGUGCUCCGUAUUCGAACCUGCUCCUAUGAACUCCAACUGAAUUGAAGUUUUGGGGAGACCUCACUUCCUUCCUUUAGCAUGAUGUGAGCAACUAGGGAAUUGACCAUGACGACACUCCAAAAUGAACUACACACUCGCACUACAUUGGACCGCAGAUGAACCUACACAAGGCUCGAAAACCGAUCAAGCCCAAGAGAAGGGUUAUAGCGGUGCCAAACGGAAAAAAUUGGGUGCAUGUGACACCCCUAAGAUAAAUGCAAGUGUCGAUGGACAAAAUUGAGGGUCUACAAAUACGCCCCUCUUAAGUAGAAUGAAUGAACGAGUGAAACGCAAGUGCAAAGUGCAAACAAUGAAUGAGUGAAAUGAACUCUAGUGAAGAAUUCAAAUGACCAACAAUUUUGUCCCCACAUAACAAUAAAGAAGGCUAAGGGAAAUGAGUCAUGCUGACCGAAUGGACUAGGGGAUCCAGGCACAAUGCCGGAGAAAGCUAAAGGAAUCUAGACACGAUGCCAGAGAAGACUAAAGGAAACCGGACGCAAUGCUGGAAAAGAUCAAGAGAUCUAGACAUAAUGCCGGAGUAGACUAAAGGAAAAGGGAUCAAGUCCGGGCGAGUACUAGAGAACCCAAGGAAAUCCGGGCACAAUGCCGGAGAAGAGAUCGUAUCUGGGCGAGUACCUAAAAAGGGGUAGAAUCCGGGUGAGUAUCGGAAAAGUGUCCAGGCGACUAUGAGGAAAGGGUCUGGGCGAGUACCGAAAAAUGGUCGAAUCCGGGUGAGUACCAGAAAAUGGGUAAAAUCAAGGUGAGUAUUGAAAAAAGGGUAGAAUCCGGGUGAGUACCGGAAAAGGGUCCGGGCGAGUACCGGAAAAGGGUCUGAGCGAGUACCGGAAAAGAGUCCGGGCGAGUACCGAAAAAGGGUCUGGGUGAGUACUAGGAAAAGAGUAGAAUCCAGAUGAGUACCGGAAAACCCAAAAAAACUAGCCAAGCACANNNNNNNNNNNNNNNNNNNNNNNNNNNNNNNNNNNNNNNNNNNNNNNNNNNNNNNNNNNNNNNNNNNNNNNNNNNNNNNNNNNNNNNNNNNNNNNNNNNNGUGUAUGCCCCAGUAUAAACAUGAGAACACCACUAAAAGAUUCAAAUAAGCAAGAAAUCAAACAUCUCAAUCACGAAAGAUGAAAGGGUAUGCCUCAGGGUGACGUCUAGAAAAUGCCAAGAAAUGACAAGCGAAAAAACAAGAACACCACUAACAAAAUGGAAAAAAAGGGGGUAUGCCCCUGUAGGAUAACUCAGAAAUGUGACUAGAGGUGAAAAGAAAGGGUUAUGCAUCAGUCUAAGAUAUCCAUACCAUGUCAGAAUCCCAUAACCGUACAUAUGGUCAAAAUCAGAGAGUUGAAAACAUCACAAACAUUCAUCCUAUAACAACAUCGACUUUAUUCCGCAACAUCCAAUAUCCACAAAAAAACUGAUAGGGGGUAUGCCCCAGUGUGCACAUAUGAUAUGCAAGUGCCUCGGUAAAAAAAAAAACUCUGACAUAUAUCACUGAAGACCUAAUCGUCUGGAUAAGCAAAUAUGACAAAGUAUGGGGUAUGCCCCAGUGUGCACACCCACUGGGUCGACGAAUACGCAUGAAUCUUAUCCCGGGCCAUUUCUCAAAAGCAAGCUGCUAUAUGAAGAAACCAAGCUGAAUGUGGGGGCCUACUCAAACAUUGAUGCCAAGUGUCGCUUGGUGAAAUAGGUUGCCUACGUCCUAGUGUAAGAACUGAUGCCAGCAUGUAAGGAUAGGGGUAUGCCCUAGUAUGAAUAUAACAAACCAGCAAACGGAGGAGGUCUUGGACAGUCUCAACUCUCUACAUUAUCUGUCUCUGAUCUUGGACCAAAAGCGAAGAAACGAAACGGAAAAGCAGUAUGCGAUCCUCGAUAUCCCUCAAGAAAUGGAGUCCUGUCGGCAUCUUGUACUUCAAUCAGUAGACGGAGCUUGUCCGAAUGAAAUGCGUCGAAGCAAACACGAGAUCUCAUGGUCUCAGGGUGAUCUUACUACUCAGACCGUAAUGAAGGCUAGAGGUAAAAGGUGAAUGAAACGAUGGGAAACAAAGACCCAAAUACCCAAUAGAUAAUGCUAAGGCUCUGUGUGCGCAAUGUCAAAUAUCGGAGGACCAUGUGAGUAAGGUGACUCAACCCUACAUUCAAAUGAACAAUGUCCAACGACAGGUAAUGUGCACCAAAGAACGCGUCGUUCAUGAAGCGAGACGACGAUCGGCGAUGGUAAAAGAAGACAAAAAGGGGUAAGACGAAUGAUGAAUGGGUGUAGAAGAAAAUGAAGAAACAAGUUGGGAUAGAAGUGUAGCAAUGUGUGAUAAUGACGAACAACUCAUCCUAUGAAUGCCAAAUCGAAGCAAGUCACUGUAUGACAAAAGUGGUGAUAUAGAUAAUUGAGAAAAUAAAGGCUAUGCUUAAUUAAGAAAAACACCCAAAAGAGGGGGUGAAUUGGGUUUUUUAAAUUCUUUUCAAUAACAACAAGUUCAAACACAAUAUAAACAAAAUAAAGAGAUAGAGUUAGAGAAUUCAAACUCGGGUUUUAUAGUGGUUUGGCACUUCCUUGCCUACGUCCACUCUCCUUGAUCUCCUAACCGAGUGAGAAUUCCACUAACUUGAAGCUUCAACCAAGUUUCUAAUCUUCUUACACUUGGAUUCCAGCUCCAAUAGGCUCUUACAUAAUCUCUUCAAGAUUCAAACCUCUUUAAGGCUUUAACACUCGGUUUUUACAAGAAUGAAUCCCUCAACCUAGCUUAAGGAUAGCUCAAAUACAAGACAAGGCUAGGAUGACACAUAAGAGUGCACUAAAGGAUAUGCAAGUGAUGAUUUAAUGCACUAAGAAAAAAAUGAGAGUUUUUUGGUCAAGAACAGGUAGGUAGACAAUUGAUUGCAAGUGUUCUCUUAUCAAUGAAUGAAGUGGAGCUCUCAAUUAAUAGGUUUCUAAGCUUGGGAGCCAAAAACAGCAAAAGGUAACCUCGACUGGUCGAGCUAGGGGUCGACCGGUUCACUAACCGUUGGAGCAUUUAAUGCUUGACAGGUUACCGUUGCCUCGACCGAGAAGAGAAGGCUAUUGGAAGAGAGAAAAUUUUGUGCACCCCUCGAUUGGUCCUCGACUGGAUAAGGGCAACCGGUCGACUAGUCGAUUGGUUCCCCAACCGGUUGAGCCGGUUGGCCAUAGCCUCAACCGGUUAAGCCUUUUGGCCUCGAAAACCUAUCUUUUUCAAUUCCUUUCUUUUCUAACACUUAGGCAAGGUUUUUAGAUGAAUUAUUAUGUCAAUUUUAAAACAUUUUGCCUAAGGUACAUUUGUUAAAACUCGGGUUUUAAUGAAAUCGAAGUUUUAAAGAAUAAACCGAGUUUUCUAAGUUGCAUGAAAUGGUAUGAAAAUCCUAACUGCACUCAUGCAUUUAUCUUACAUUAGUUUCCUAUGAUCACAAGUCUUCCAAACGUCUCAAUCUUGUAUCCAUUUGGUCCUUUGAUGAAUUUUCGAGUUUAUGCCUAAGAUUCUUAACCAUUAAACCAAUUAGUCAUUUAACCAUGGUUUGUUAUCAUCAAAAUCCGAUUAGGAGAACCCUUGGGCUAACAAUAAUGAUCCAAGGAACCUAGUGCAAAGGAAACCCAAACCUCACUUCCAAUAUGUCUCCCAGAUCCAUGGAGAAAAUGAUCGUACAAUGCUCUCACCGAUUCUCAGAAGAAGAAUAAGUUUCUCAAACCCAAAAUGACAUUUAAUGAUCAAAUCGUGAUACUGUCGGCAAACCAUGCAAAACCCAAAUAUUAAUGACAUGAACAUCGAACAAGCACAAGUUUUUAUUUUUUUUUUAUUUUUUUGCGGAACAACCAACAAAGUAAGCCAACAGUCAUACCAGCAUGAUCUAACAAAUGUACCUCAAAUCCCAAACCUAAGUGGUCCCCUCAAACUAUAACUCCUGGAUUAAAACCUAAGGGUGGAACGAAGGACGUGACAAGCCUAACCUGCAGCUUCAGAAUGAGAGCGCGUCAUCAUCACACAAGGGAAGAUAAAAGCGAAAAGAAUCGAAAUGAUAGAAACAAAACUCAAAGACAGACAAAGUGAAGAUGCACAAUGUAGGAAAGAAGAAAUCAUGAAUGACCCAAAAAUGAAACAGACGAACAAUGACACAAUGGACUCACAAUACUCACCGAUCCAAACAAUAAAUGCAAAACGCACAAAAGGAGGCCUCUAACCCAGGUGAGAAAAGGUAUGCAAGGCUAAGUGAACGAAUAGGUCAUAAUGAAUCAUGUGAGGCUUAACGGGCUAGCAAUGGGAUAUAUCAAUGUGUGGGUGUGCAAUAGGGAAUAUGGCUACUCAAAAUGAUGGCCACCCAUCCUCUGACCAUGAUCUCACGCGUAAAACUUCUUCAGUUGAUCCACAUUGACUAGCUCCGAAAACUGAUUUUCGUUCAUAUCUGUCAACCAAGCAACUCCCUCUCGGGUCAAAUCUCGGAUAACAUACUGCCCGUUCUAUCUCGGUUUGAACUUGCCUCUGGGGUCGCUGAUCAAUCCCCCGAGGACCUUCAAAACUAGGUCACAUUUCUGGAAUUUCCUAGGCUUAACCCUUUUCCUGAAUGCACGGGUCAUUUUCCUUUGAUAAGCCUGAACAUGAUUUACUGUCCUCAGUCUCCUCUCAUCUAGAAGACUAAGCUGAUCAUAACGAGACUGAGCUCACUGGGUCUCAGAUAUCUGCUGCUCUAAUGCUACUCUCAAAGAUCCCAUCUCAAUCUCAACAGGUAGCACUGCUUCCAUACCAUACACCAAGGAGUAAGGCGUAGCUCCGAUAGAGAUAAGAAAAGAAGUGCGAUAAUCCCAUAGCGCGAAAGAGAGCUUCUCUGACCAAUCCCGAGAAGUCUCAACCAUCUUCCUCAAAAUCUGCUUAAUAUUCUUAUUGGCGGCCUCAACUUUGCCACUAGUCUAUGGUCUAUACGCAAAUGAUCUAUGAUGUUGAAUGUCAUACUCCUGAACCAAUGUAUCCACCUCGCCUCUGAAAUGCAUUCCUCUAUCUGAGAUCAGCUCAUGAGGGACUCCAUAUCAGCAGAUGAUAUGUGAUCUGAUGAAUUUGACCACCUUGGUCGCUAUUAAUCUAGCGUAAGAAGCAACUUCCACCCACUUGGUGAAGUAAUCAAUGGCUACUAAGAUGUACUCAUGCCCGCUGGAAGACUUGGGCGAGAUCUUUCCAAUAAUAUCAAUAUCCCAUACUAAAAAUGGCCAAUGGGAAAUGAGUGCAUGCAACUCCGAAGGUGGCAUGUGAAUGAGAUCACUGUGCAUCUGGCACUCUGGGCACCUCUGAACGAACUGACAACAAUCUGCCUCCAUAGUCAACCAGAAAUAACCUGUCUUCAUAAUCUUUCGAGCUAACAUGUGUCCUCCCAUGUGUGGGCCACAAACUCCUGCAUGAACCUCUCUCAUCACUCGAUCUACAGAGGCACGGUCUAAUCAUAACAACAAUAGACCAUCAAGCAAUCGUCUGUACAAUGACUUUCCACAAAUCACAAAUCUAGUGGUUAAUUGCCUCAAAGCUCUCCUAUCCUUGACAGUGGAUGACUCAGGGUAAGCGCCACAUGACAGAAACUGAUAAAUAUCAUGGUACCAUGGUAGUCCAUCCCGAUCCUCGAUAUCUCCAAUUAGACAACAAUAAGCUGGUGUGGACUUGGUCUCAAUCAGCAAUGGUCGCACAAUCACUCCCGCAGGGAUCUCAAUCACAGAAACCAAGGUGGCUAGCGCAUCAGCAAACUGAUUUUCUACCCUAGGCAGAUGUAUAUAUCUCAACUCCUCAAACCUAUCAACCAACAAAUCCAAAUAAGCAUGAUAGGGUUUCAAAUUCUUAUCCUAAGUCCUCCAGAUACCCUGAGUCUGCUGAAUAACCAAGUUGGAAUCCUCAUGGAUUUCCAACUGUCUAACUCCAAGAUCAAGUGUAGUCUCUAGACCUGUAAUGCAUGUCUCGUACUCAACAACAUUAUUUGUCAACCGGUGAUGAUUAGAGAAUGCCAACCAGACUGAUCUGGGAAUAUGAUCACCCUGAGGUGAUAUCAAUAGGAUGCCAAUACCAAACCCCAACUGAUUGGCGGCACCAUCAAAGUACAACCGCUAUCCUGUAAUACUAGUCACUAAGACAAACUGCUCAUCAGGGAAAUCAUUGUCAACCGGUUUGUCAUCAGAUACUGGCAAAGAAGCCAAAUGAUAUGCAACAAUGCUCCCUUUUACUGAUUUCUGCGUGACAUACUGAAUAUCAAACUCUGUCAGUAGCACUAACCAUCUCAUGAGCCUACCAAUCAAAACAGGCAUGUCGAACAGAUAUCUCUAUGGAUCUAAUCGUGAGACCAAUAAUAUGGAAUACUCGGUCACAUAGUGUCUCAGCCUUUUGGUGGCCCAAACCAGUGCUAAACAGAGGUGCUCAAUCAUAAUGUAUCUACACUCAUACUUAAGCAUCCUCUUACUCAGAUAAUAAAUGACUCACUCUUUUCCUGAAUCAUCGAGCUGAGCUAACAUGCAUCCCAUGGCAAUGACUGAUACUGACAAGUACAGAAGCAGAGGGUGCCCUGGCGUAAGCGGUACUAAAACUGGAGAAGAAAUGAGACACUCCUUAAUCUUCUCGAAAACGCGUUGGCAAUCAUGAUCCCAAACUGUAGGUUGGCUCUUCCUCAGAAGACGUAAGAUAGGCUCGCAUAUGUCUGUCAAUCUGGCAAUGAAACGACUGAUGUACUGUAAUAUGCCAAGAAAGCCUCUGAUCUCUCUCUUAGUCCUCGGAGCAGGCAUGUCAAGUAUGACUUUGAUAUUUUCUGGAUCAACCUCUAUACCACGCUCACUAACAAGAUGCCCCAACAAUUUCCCAGAAGUUACCCCAAAUGUGCACUUCUUGGAAUUCAAUCUUAAUCUGAACUAUCUGAUUCUUUCAAAGAAUCUCUGUAAGGCUGCUAAGUGAUCUGCCCUGUCUCGAGACUUCACUAUCAUGUCAUCCACAUAUACCUCAACAACUUUAUGCAUCAUGUCAUGGAAUGGAGUAGUAGCAACUCUCUUAUAGGUGGCCCCUGCAUUCUUCAACCCAAAUGGCAUAACCCGAUAGCAGUAAGUACCUCACUCAGUGAUGAAAAAAAUCUUCUCCAUAUCCUCUGGAGCCAUCAAAAUUUGAUUAUACCCAGAAAACCCAUCCAUAAAUGAUAACAUCGAAUGCCCUGCAGUACUAUCAACCAACAUAUCGAUGUGUGGAAAAGGAAUAUCAUCCUUAGGACUGGCCUUGUUCAGAUCUCGAAAGUCAACACAGACUCUAACUUUGUCGUCCUUUUUAGGAAUAAGGACGACAUUAGCCAGCCACUCAGGAUAUUCGACCACUGACAGGAAACCAACACUAAGUUGUUUCUGAAUCUUUUCCUUAACUUGCAAACUCCAUCGAGGGUGUAAUCUCCUCAAUUUCUGCUUAAUUGGUCUAGCAUGUGGCAGGAUGGGCAAGCGAUGUUGGACUAUAGAGGGAUCAAGGCCUGACAUGUCCUCAUAUGACCAUGCAAAUACAUCCAGGUAUGACCUAAGCAGGUCAAUCAGUCUGCUUCUCUGAUUACUACUCAAAAAGUGCUAUUUGAUAGCUUGUAAUUAACUCUUUUAAACACUUUUGAGUAGUAGUUAUUGCCUUUUAACCCAAUUAACAUAUUAAGGACCUUUGCAAGCACUUCUAAUCAAUUUGUGUUAAGUUUUGGUGUUUUGAUAGCUUUUUGAUCACCAAAGCAAUAUGAGAUUGAGGAGAGUUAUUUGGAAUCUAUGGCAAAGCAAUGGAAAGCUCAGAAACAUGAAGAACCGAAGCUUUGAAGUCCUUUGUCAUAAGCAAAUCCGGAAUGCAAGGAGGGGAAGCAAAGAGAAAUCUGUCAUGAAGCAUUCUUGAUGUCAGUCAUGUCAGCCACUUUUGGAGCACUUCUUGGAGUUCAAUUUAUGCAUGCUAUAUUUCGUUUCCAAGCUCAGGAAGUCAACAAUCCAAUGCUUUAAACAGUGUGCGAUUCGGAGUUGAAAUGAAGGAGUUACAGCCAUUGGAAGCUAAUCACUCCGAGUUGAAAUAAGAAUUUUGCACGGCUGCGAAAUCACCCUUUUGCUGCGAAAUGAUUUCGCAGCCAUUUUGCACAGUGCUGUGGAAUUCCUCCUGAAGUUUCCCGAUAUUUGCGACACGUUGGAAGCCGAACACUGCAAGCUGAAAGCCAACUUCGCAGCGCUGCGAAAUCAGCCUUUUGCUGCGAAGUGAUUUCGCAGCCUUUUUUGUGUGUCUGCGAAAUCUCGCAGACCUCGUUUUCACCUGCGAAAUGGUCCUUAGUGCUUCCCGAUAUUUGUGCACCGACUCUUUUAGAUCUUUUCUUCAGAUAUUUUUGUAUAAAUUUCCAUUCUUCUCCUUGUAAUCCACCAACCAUAAGAUUUCUUAGUUAGAAAGGUUGGAAAAACGUCUCUAUAUAUAUUCCCUUGCAUCCACUGUAAAAAAUAGAUAAAUAUAUAGAUAUAUAAAUAUAUAAAAUAUACAGAGCCUUGCUCUGUUUUUCCUUCUUUUUCAUUUUCAUUUUCUUGCUAGCCAAACAUUCUCUGAGGAUUUUUUCUCAGAGGAUGAGAGGCUAGGCUCUUUGUCUCUUGGAGCUAAGGUAACCGGGUAAGUUUUCGAAUGCAUAAAUUGGAAGUUUUGUUGUUUUAGUUUUUAAUGAAGAGAAAGUGUGACCCGUUAAUGGUUUUUAUCUUUUUAGUUAACUUAAAACGCCUUUAAAUCACCUGGGCCAACACUUGGUAAGGCAAGUGAUCUCCGUCCAUGGAGAUGCACUAGUUUAUCUCUUGCGAGCUUUUGGGAGGUGACUUGAAGGUAGGAUUUUCUAGAAUAGCCAACACUUGGUAAGCUUUUGGACUCCAAGGAGACACCAUUAGUUAUUUCUUGCGAGCUUUUGACGGGUAAUCCAAGGUUAAAGAUCACCUUGAAUGGCAAGUGCUAGGUGAGAGGUAUGAGCCAUUGCAAUGUGUAUCAAUGAGAGGGAUUUAGUGUUUGAACCCAUUAAUGGGAAGCAUCUGUACACCACCGGUUAGAAAAUUAACUAUAUGUUAAUUUUCUAAUGCGAGGAAAAGAAACAAAUGACUGGAACUCCCUUUUUGUAUGAGGAAUCUGAGCCUAGUGAUAUGAAACUCCAAGAAAUACUUUUUUUUGUAAGUAAAAUCAGUUACUAUUUUUAUUAGUUUAAAACCAAACCUUUUUCAUUCAAACAUCUUUAUGUUUUCUUUUAAAGUUAACCUUGAAAUGAAAAUACACCAAUUUAGCUUUGAAUUAAUAUCAUUUGCAAAGUGAAAACCCAUCCCAGUGAAUGAUCCUAGAGCCAUUAUGCUAUAGUAGCUUUGUCUUUGCUACCCUAGUUCAUGGUGUAAUAGGUUAUAAAUUUUGUUGAUUACUCCCUCAAUCAAGGAGCACCAGCUGGACACGAAUCAACUGAGACACCAAUUGGGCACGAAUCACUCCUCUCGUCAGGAGAUAAAGAUGUGCCAAUCUUCAACUCCCUGGGCUGAUCAGGGGUCCCGAAAUCUACCAACUCAGUGCUACCAGAAACAGGUGUUACUUUCCUUUCCUCCGAAUCUGAAUCAAAAUCCGACUAAUCACUCAAUAGGUCAUUUGGGCCUCUCACAUCAUCAACAUCAUGUAUAUAUGUCAUGGGUGUCGGUGGUACAAUCAAAGGAAAAUGCAGUGACACAGGUGAAUACUCGAAAACACUCAUAUCAUUAUUAUUUCCACCAGCCACAUCAUCAAAGCGGGUGACAAACUCGAACAUAGUGUCAAAGAAAGAGGUGGGUCCACAGAAUCGGACGCUCCCUCAAUAGUAAUAACAUCAGGAGUAACAAUAGUAACAGAGUCAUCAUCAUCAUCUAUCUCAAGUAUAAAAGCCCCAAACAUAUCCANNNNNNNNNNNNNNNNNNNNNNNNNNNNNNNNNNNNNNNNNNNNNNNNNNNNNNNNNNNNNNNNNNNNNNNNNNNNNNNNNNNNNNNNNNNNNNNNNNNNNNNNNNNNNNNNNNNNNNNNNNNNNNNNNNNNNNNNNNNNNNNNNNNNNNNNNNNNNNNNNNNNNNNNNNNNNNNNNNNNNNNNNNNNNNNNNNNNNNNNNNNNNNNNNNNNNNNNNNNNNNNNNNNNNNNNNNNNNNNNNNNNNNNNNNNNNNNNNNNNNNNNNNNNNNNNNNNNNNNNNNNNNNNNNNNNNNNNNNNNNNNNNNNNNNNNNNNNNNNNNNNNNUAAUCAAAUGGGACCCAAGACAAGCGGGCCCUUACUCUAUCCUUGCGUAGUCGUGCCAUGUAACGUGCAUCCUCCUCCGUAGGAGUGUAACCUAACCCAUAAAGUAUGUCAUGAUCAACUAUGCAAGUAAACUCGCAUGGUCCAUGCUGGCGGUGACCCAAUCCCAAGCUGGGCAAAUAAAACAUGCCCCUCAUCAUGUUAAGCACCAAUGUGCUACUGUACUGGUUGAAUGACAUAGGCACCAUAUCUCUACUGUCAUCCUCUAAACUGACAACUUGUACCUCAUCAAAAGUAAACCCGGUCGAAUUCAAGUCAUCUUCACUGUGACUAAUCUGUAAUAUUGGCUCAGAAGAAGUGAUAACAUCUCGGUCAGACCGUAUUGUGAUAAUGCGAUCCUCGUGUAUGAACUUCACCUUCUGAUGAAGGAAAGAUAGUAUGGAACCAGCCUCAUGAAUCCAAGGACGACCAAUAAGCAGGUUAAAGGAUGAUUGAAUCCUCAGAACCUGGAAAAGCACUGAGUAUCUGAUUGGCCCAAUCAUAACGUGUGCAGUAAUUGUACCCGUAACUGUCCUCUGAGUUUCGUCAUAAGCUUUAACAGUCUGUGUAGAAGGUCCAAAAUUAGAUGGAGAAAAGCUAAGACCAAUGGCUGUAGCCAAAUGACAAACAUUUAGGACAAAGACGUUGUCCAGUAGGACCGUCGGCACUCGAUGGCCUGAACAUGCAACACUGAUAUACAAGGGGCGAAUGUGACCUGAUCCAUCCGGAGGCAAGUCGUCAUAAGAGAACACAAUACAUGUGGCUCUGUCAGCUGUCAAGAUGUGUAUGAGCUCCUCUAGGGCGGUAGCAAUAUCAACUCUAAUAUGAUUGAGAGUUCUGAUUAAUGCAUCUUUAUGUGUGCUGGAUAAGGCCAAUAAACUCCAAAUGGAAAUGCGAGCUUGCGUAGUGCGCAGUUGGUGCAAAAUCUCAUCAUCCACCCUCUAAAUCUCCUCCAUAGCAACUGUACCAGCAAAUAGCCUAUCGACAGGUGGAGGAUGUGCUACUUUCCCGCUUCGUGUGACUAUCUGAACAUCUUUAUGAGUAGACCCAUACCCCUUUAGGAAUAGAAUGAAAGGUGUUAAAGACGGCACAUGUUGUAAAUACACUAGUGAAACUGUAGACUGUCGGGGAAUCUCAUCAAGGGCCAACCUGAAUGGUCUGGGGACCUGCCGUCCAUGGGUAUAUCCACUAAAAUCUGAGUCCUCGUACAAACUGAUCGGCUGAGGAGCCUCUCCAUCCCAUCCCAUCCCAUCAUAAAUACAUCACCCUUUGUGUGCUCAAUCAAAUGGAUUCCCCUUAGGGAUGAAGGUACAACUCUAGUGUCAUGAGUAGAUAACAGGUCUGUGGUCACUGCAGGUUGUCCCAAAUCAACCAAACCCUAAUCAAUCAAGUCCUGUAUAGCAUGUUUCAUUGUUGAGAAACUGUUUGUAUCAUGGCCCGCUCUCUGGUGGUAAGCAUAGUGAAGGUCUGUCCUGAAUCCUGGUGGGGUAGGUUGUAGUGGUGGUCUGGGCGAUAACGGGGCAAUCAAUCUCUCCUCAACCAAUCUUUGAAAUGCUCUACUCAAUGGCAUCCCAAGUUGUGUGAACUGUCUAGUUGGUGGAGGCGGUGCUCUAUACUGAUGGGACUGCAUGGGUGGCCUCUGGGAUAUUUGUGUAGCAUAUACUGGUUGUGGNNNNNNNNNNNNNNNNNNNNNNNNNNNNNNNNNNNNNNNNNNNNNNNNNNNNNNNNNNNNNNNNNNNNNNNNNNNNNNNNNNNNNNNNNNNNNNNNNNNNNNNNNNNNNNNNNNNNNNNNNNNNNNNNNNNNNNNNNNNNNNNNNNNNNNNNNNNNNNNNNNNNNNNNNNNNNNNNNNNNNNNNNNNNNNNNNNNNNNNNNNNNNNNNNNNNNNNNNNNNNNNNNNNNNNNNNNNNNNNNNNNNNNNNNNNNNNNNNNNNNNNNNNNNNNNNNNNNNNNNNNNNNNNNNNNNNNNNNNNNNNNNNNNNNNNNNNNNNNNNNNNNNNNNNNNNNNNNNNNNNNNNNNNNNNNNNNNNNNNNNNNNNNNNNNNNNNNNNNNNNNNNNNNNNNNNNNNNNNNNNNNNNNNNNNNNNNNNNNNNNNNNNNNNNNNNNNNNNNNNNNNNNNNNNNNNNNNNNNNNNNNNNNNNNNNNNNNNNNNNNNNNNNNNNNNNNNNNNNNNNNNNNNNNNNNNNNNNNNNNNNNNNNNNNNNNNNNNNNNNNNNNNNNNNNNNNNNNNNNNNNNNNNNNNNNNNNNNNNNNNNNNNNNNNNNNNNNNNNNNNNNNNNNNNNNNNNNNNNNNNNNNNNNNNNNNNNNNNNNNNNNNNNNNNNNNNNNNNNNNNNNNNNNNNNNNNNNNNNNNNNNNNNNNNNNNNNNNNNNNNNNNNNNNNNNNNNNNNNNNNNNNNNNNNNNNNNNNNNNNNNNNNNNNNNNNNNNNNNNNNNNNNNNNNNNNNNNNNNNNNNNNNNNNNNNNNNNNNNNNNNNNNNNNNNNNNNNNNNNNNNNNNNNNNNNNNNNNNNNNNNNNNNNNNNNNNNNNNNNNNNNNNNNNNNNNNNNNNNNNNNNNNNCUGAGUCUGAGGCCGACACGAGGACCUAUACCCCAUCAUACCAAUGGUGUCAACAUCUAAUGGUCUGGGUCUUGACCCCGGUUUCUUCCCCUUUGAGUCUGAGGGGGAAGAAUCUGCCCAUAAUCCUUUAGAUAUACCCUCCUCGAUGCCAUAAAAGGCUGCACUAAGGAGCCAAAGUUUGUCUGCGGAAAGCCCAUGUCUAGCGUAGCGGGGCUGAAGACUGCACAUAAUCAUACUAAUCUGAUCACUCUUUGAGGGUCUGUCAAUAAUCUAUGCUAUCUUUUCCCUCAAACGGGAGAUGAAUGAGGUAAAUGUCUCAUCCGGUCUCAUCCGGCCUCUGUCUGAGGGCCUCUAACUCUCUCCAGGAUACAUCAACUACAGUAUUAAGGAAUACUAUCUAAGAAACUCCUGUACCAGAUCAAUCCAUGUCCGGCGUCGUGAGGGGUCUAAUAAAGCAAACCACCACUGGGCGGCACCACUCAGGGAUAGAGGGAACAACAUGAUCAUUUGUGUCUCGUCUAACCUAUGCUCAUGCAUAAAAACACUGUACAACUGCAAGUGAAUACGAGGGCACCCGAUCCCCGUGUAUUUCUCAAUAUCGGGCAUGCAGAACUCAACCGGCAAAGCUGCAAUAGGCAGGUCAUCAUACCCAUCCCAACUCAUGACUUCAUCGGUGACAUGCAGUGACCUCAUCCUCUGCUCAAUCCUCUCAAUAUGGGCCUGAGUAUCACCUGCAACCUGUGCAGGGGCUACAACAGAAUGUGGCGUAGUCUCAGUCUGACCAUGUAAGACAAAGGCCUCUGCUUGUGGGGCUGACUAAAUUGGGAGUGGUGGUGGAGGUGGGACUGUGUAGUUCGACUGUAUGGUAGGUCCAGGUGGUAGUGGUAGUGGGGGUGUGGAAGAAUCAUGUGAGGUGGUCCUCUGAAUCGGUACUAGUGGGGCCUGGUGCCUGUCAAUCCUCUGACACAGUCCUAAAAUAGCAUCUCUGAGUGACGCCAUGAUAUCUGUAAUCUCUGUUAACUGGUCAACAGUGGCAUACUAUGGGUCCAUAUCUCUUUGAACUGAUGUCUGUCCUGACUAGCUAUACUGGUUUGAUCCUCUAACAAGUCUGCCUCUAACCCUGAUCCAAGCUCGAGAACCUAGGUCGGUCUCAAUCAACAAUCCUACAAUAGAAAAGGGGUAUGUCAAUCCCCGUGACUACCAAUCCUGAAAUCAAUUACGUAAUGUAAUCCCACAACUAAAUCCUCUGAGGGAAUGAACUAUCAUGUGAUGUUAACAACUAAUCUAAUACAUGGCUCCACGGGUAGGAGCGGGAUUUUGACAUGGUGAUACCUUAGGGGUAAGGUGGCUCAAAAGCCAACAACGGGAAAAGACAAGUCCUAAAAGCUAGAUGACAAUACCCACAAAGAGGAUACGCAACCUAUGAUUCUAACCAACAAUCAAAGUGACACUCUGGCCACGAAGGUAUCCACGAAAUCCAGCUCAAGGCUAUACAGGCCUUCAUUGCUAGGAUAUCCGUCAUCUCCAUAGCGCUCCCAAACAUCGAUAUAGCCCUUAUGCUAGACCCUAUUCCAAACCCUAGCUUGGUCGAAGGCAAAUAGUUGGGAAUGACUCCCAAACAAUUCAAGAAGCCAAUAAGGAAUAGUCAAUCAAGACUAGUGAUUCAAAAAUAAGGGGAUACAAGCGCACCCCACAAACACAAACGAUAAGCAGUCAUGCAAGAGAAAGGGUAGUCAUGCGUAAAGAGAUACCCUACCAUACAAUCUACACACAAGCUAAUCAUCUAAGCCUAUCAUGAACCGCAAAACCAAGAACCAACAACAACAAAUAAGCAUGUCACAACCAAUCAGGUGAACACACAAGCAACAACUCAUCACAAGUGCAAGUCAAAUACCAACCAAGUAAGUGAUCACCAGUCACCUAUAAAGCCUAAGAGUAAAUUGGUCAAUGAACCAUCUGCUCCAAUAUACCCAACUCAAGUUCAAGUUUGAUCCUCUUAUGAAACCAGAGAUUUUGGGUUCGAUCCCCAAUGGAAUCGCCAAUUUGUGGACCCUCACCCGAUCCACCGACCGGCACGACUCGCUAUUCUAAAGGUGAAAAGGAAAACUGGUUUUCGAGUUUUGAAAAAUUCGUCCCAGUGAGGAACAGUUUUGUUUGGAGUCGCCACUUACAUUUUAUUUUUAUUUUUAAAUGGGAAAAAUUUAAGUAAGAACAAAAACCCGAGCAUGACUCUAGUCAGGAAAAAGUGGUUUGCGAAAACUAGAUUCUAGGUCCGGGAAUCAGGUUACCAUCGAGAAGGUACCUCAUGUGAGGUAACACCCCUCUAGGCCUGAAACUCGGUCUCUACUAAUGAACUGGGUAUAUGCGAGCAUAUGGGUCAAAGAUCAAACAAACCUUGGGCUAAACAAAUGACAUGAAUCACAUAGACCCGCCUAAUAUUUAACAUGCACAUACACUCAACAAGUCAAAAUCAGAGUGCAUACCUGAAGUCCCCAGCCAAGCGUUGCAUAAGAGAUCAAUCAAUAAGUUCAAAUGCACAACAAAUAUACAUAGCAAUCAUGCACCAAGCAUUCAUGUGAAUUUCAUUAUCCAAAGUCGAAGUACAUACCUGUGGUCCCCAGCCAUGCGUUGCAAGGAAAAGGUGAGGCAAGUAAUACAAGCAUACAACAUGCACUCUCAAUCAAACAUCAAAUCUCAUACCCAAAAGGGAGGGAAGCAGGUCGAAAUGAAAUAAAUGGUUUGCUUUCUUUUGCACACAUUCCUCUAAAUUUCAUCAAACCAAACCGAACUUUGACCCUAAAGGUGGCCGACAAGUGCCUUGGAGCCUAAGGGCUCAAGCCACAACAAAAAUGGGGGUCAAAACAUUAAACGAUCCUUGAUUUUAGUUUAGCACCUUAAGGCUUAGAUUGGAAUUUGAGGUCAUGGCAAUAAGCAGGUUAUGUUGAACCAUGUUAUAUCAUUGUUUAAUUUCUCUUCACCAUUUUUUUUAAACUUGUUUUCCCUAUAUUAAUUGCAUUACAUUUUAUUUAAGCUUUUAAAUUGUUCAUUAAUCUAGUAAUUUGAAUAAAAAUGAUCAACACCUAAUUCAGUCUUCUCCUAUUUCCCAUCUCUUUGGUAUAUACCUAGGUUGGUUAACUUUAUAAUUGAUAUCAAAACUAGAACUUUUGAAUAGGUUUAAUUGUCUAAGAGUGUAAUGACAAAAUCAUCAAGCUCAUCACUAUAAAGAAGAGUGUCAUCAAUAUUAGAAUUUUAUUUUUUGUUCUUUUUACUAGAAUUGAUUAUAGCUAUUGGAAAUUAAAAUGAUGUGGUUUUUAAAAUCCAUUGAAGAUGAUUUGUGGGAAUUCUUUCAAAAUGGUCUAUAAAUUCCUACAAAAAUAAAAAAUGAGAUUGCUAUACUUAAACCAAGACAUGGGUGACAUAAACAUGAUAAAAUAAAGUUCAAAUAAAUGCUAGUCAUUUUUUAUCUAUAUUGUCCCAUAGAUAGAAAUUUAUAAAUUGAGUUUGUCAAUGUAAAUCGACAAAAGAGAUGUGGUGAUUGCUUGAGAAAACCCAUGAAGAAACAAACCAAGUCUGAGAAUCAAAAUUUAAUAUUCUUGUUUGUAGUAGCCAUGAUUGAUUUCACAUAAAAAAUAGUGAGACUAUUGUGAAGAUAUUCAUUAUUUUCAUUGACAUCAACCAUAGUCUUCAACCAUUAGGAAACCAAGUUAAUUGGAAACUAAGAAAACUAGGAAAAAAAAAAAAACUAAUAAUAAGCUUAAAAUAAAAACUAAAGGAUAUUAAUGAACUUAAAAUAGAAACUAAUGAUGAUUGUGUGUUGUAUCAAUCCCAUUUACUUUAAGAAAACUCCUCCUCGAGUUUUAUGGAUGCAAAUAAAACUAAUCUGGGGGAUAUGCGUGUGACUCCUUAACUUUCUUAAAGAAAUCUAGGUUCAUUAUGUUGGUGAACAUCGACUUAUCUUUCUUAGUAAUUGAAUCGUUUUCUAAUGAUUGAAACUAUGGCAUUGAGGCGAUCUUCUUGUCAAACCACCAUGAAAGUAUUAUCUCGAUCCUUAUAAGUGACAUCAAUAUCAUAGUGCCACGAUAUCCCUAAUAAAAUAUGACAAGCAUCCAUAUCCACCAAGUCAUAUAUGAUCUCAUCUUUUUAAUACUUCUUGAUUGAUAAAGAAACCUCGCAAACUUCUAACACUUGAACUUUUGGGCCCUUCUUAAUCCAUGUAAUCUUGUAUGGAGAAGGAUACUUCUCAGUCUUCAAAUUUAAUAUUUUCACCAAAGCCUUGGAAACAACACUCUCACUGUUAUUACUGUCAAUGAUCACGUUGCAUACCUUAUUACGAAUAGUACAUUGAGUCCAAAAUAUUUUAUAUCAAUAAGAGUCGUCUGACUUCUUUGGGGUAAGCAAAAGUCAUUGGACAAUGCACGCCACUUCUUCUCUCAUAUCUCCAUUUGUAAACUCAACACCCUCGUAGAUAUCUUCUUCAAGAACUUGUUUCUCUUCACUGUCACAUUCUUCUGCAAAGUUAACAUAUCAUUUAUUCAGGAAAUUAUUUGAAAUAUGGCUUGGUUGGUUGCACCCAAAAGAUUUUUCAAGGUUUGGAUGUGCAUAAGGGUCAUUGUUGACUUGUUGUUGUUGGUUCGGCCUUGAGCAUUAGAUCGAACAGGAAUUGAAGUUCCACUUUGAUUUUGUGUCGAAUUUUGAGUUGAAGGGGCAUUUUAUUGCUAUUAUUAUUGCUACCUGAAGUUGUUGACCCAUUUGGAGUAGAAAAAACUUCUUGGGUUGGUCACUAAAAGUUAUUUUGAGUUUGCACCGUGGACUUAUUGAUCUGAUUUUCCACUUUCAUCAUCAAAUUAACUGCAUUUGUCAUGUUCCAAACCCCUUGAAGAGCCAGUUGAUUUUGAAUAAUUAGAUUUAGGCCUCCAAUAUAACAAGCAAUUAAUUGAUCCCCCAUCUCAAACAAAUUGACUCGGGCUUUUAAUCAAUAAAAUUCCUUCGUGUAUUCGUUCAUAGUACGAUUGGCUUGGCGACAAUUUGAAUAUUGUUAGCAUAAAAAUUGUUCACAACUUGGAGGAAGAAAUCGUCUUUGUAACAACUGUUUCAUCUUACGUCAAGUAUGAACACAUUGUUUUUCUUGCCAUUGAUGAUUAUAUAAAAGUUGUCCCACCAUGUAGAAGUUCUGUCUUUCAACUUAUACGUCAUGUGCUUUACUUGAUUUUCUUAUGAAAUAUUCAAAUAGUUGAAAAAGUUUUUAAUAGUAUAAACCCAAUCAAGAAAAUUUUCAAUGUGUAGUUAGCCGUCGAAACUUGGUAAAUCCAUUUUCACCUUAAACUCUUGGUUAUUUUGACCUCGAUUGUUAGCCCAAUAAUUGAAAUGGAAAUCAACAUCCCUAAAUGAACAAUCCAACCUCCGUCGUUGCCUUUGUUGAAUAUUCCUCCGUUGUGGAAGUCGAAAAUUAUUGCCAUCUUGAAAAUGUGAAAAAAAAACUCAUCUUGUUCAUAAAAAACCCCUUGUCGGAGGUCAUAGUUGUCAGGCCAUCUUGGAGCUCCCCGAUUCCAAUGCUCAUACACCGUAAUGGAAGGGGCUUGUGAAAAUUGUGAUUUGUGUGUGAAGUGCACAUCUGUCAUCAAUUUUUAGCCCGAUCUGUGGUCAACGUCGAUUGUCUUAGCCGUCUUCAUGCCAGUCAUCAUGUUGGUCUUGUUGUCACACCAUAGGUUCACAUUUCCCUUUAACCAACGUAACCACCAUUUUCAUGAGGUUGUGAAGAGUUUUAUCAAUCCCCUCGAGUCAUUGCUCGAUUUUUUUUAACUAUAAUUCAUCGUCAAUGGCUCGUUUUCCACUAAAACCCUCAUUAGCCAUCAGAUUGAGGUAAAAAUCCUUCGAUACUAAUUUUGGUGCAAUUGAAGGUUUGUUUCGAAACAAAAUAGAAAACCACUCAAAAACAAACACAAAGAUUACAAUAGAAUUUGAAAUUAGGAAUAAUUUUGAAAAAUUAUAUUGAACUCCUAACAAUUACAAUAAGCCUUUAAAUAAUGUUUGUAAUGCAAAAAUAAAAGAAAUAAUUGAAAUAGGAAACUAAGAUAAUUGGGAACUAGAAAAACUAUGAAAAAAAAAAAGGAAACUAAUAAUGAACUUAAAAUAGAAACUAAUGAUGAUUGUGUGUUACAUCAUUAUGACACAUCUCAACCAUGUCUCGCUAAUAAUUCACAUCCCUUUCGAACAAAUAAGAUGUAAACUCACUCUUAAGUUUACAAAGGUAUGUAGUACUUCAAGAUUUUUCUUCACAUUUUGAACUCACUUAUUAGCUUUCUUAAAGUUUAGUUCUCCUUGGAAUUGAUAAGGCUCCAUUUUAAAAAACUUUUUCAAAUAUCCUACUAUUUCAUUAUUAAAGAUAUUCCUUUAAAAUUGGUUGGAUUAUUGAUUAUUUUGGGACUACUGUCUCAUUAUAUCAACCAUAUCUACAAUAUCUCUACUCAUUCUAGAAAAUUCAAUCAUAUAAGAAUUUGUAGUUAUGGGGUCAGAGACUUUUUUUGUCACAUAGUAUUCAUUUCUCAUAUAUUUUUCCAUUGAAUGAGUUACAAGAUAUAUAGAUACAAGAAUGGGAUUUUAGGAAGCUAUUCUUAACCUAUACAAGGUCUACGACUAGAAUUGUGGUUGACCCUUGAAUAAAGGAAUUUCUUUAGCUAAUGUUUCUAUAAACUCGUUGAUCUAUGACUCACGCUAACACCCCCCCUCAAGUUGGUGCGUAGAUAUCUUUAACGCCCAACUUGUCAAGGGAGUCAUAGAAGUCUUUUUUGGAAACUACCUUUGUAAGUAUGUUCACUAACUAAUCUUUUGAUUUGGCGGAUGGAAACUGAAUAAUCUUGCCCUCAAGAUUCUGUUUGAUGAAAUGCCAGUCCAACUCUACAUGCUUGGUACGAUCGUGUUGAACUGAAUUGUGGGCUAUGUCAAUGGCAGCUUUGUUAUUGCAAAACAAAUUCAUUGUAGAACUAGGGGCAAAACCAACCUCUAUUAGUAAUCGUCGAAGCCAAAGGAGCUCACAGAGUCCUUUUGCCAUGCCUCGAAACUCAGCCUCCACGCUGGACAAUGCCACCACCUUUUGCUUCUUAAUUCUCCAUGUAACUAAAUUGCCAUCCACAAAUGUAAAAUAGCUCGAAGUAGAUUUCAUGUCCAAGAUAUUUCCUACCUAAUCCGCAUCUAUGUACCCUUCAAUAUUCAGAUGAUUAUUCUUGGAAAACAUCAACACUUUCCUUGGUGAGGACUUUAAAUAUCGAAAGAUUUGAGUUACUGAACUCAUAUGGUCUUCACUAGGACAAUGCAUGAAUUGGCUCACUAUACUUAUGGGUAAGCAAUGUCUGGGCAUGUGUAGGAUAAGUAGAUUAGCUUACCCACUAAUCUUUGGUACCUCCCUUUAUCAGUUGGCACUUGAUUUGAGUAUUCCUCAAGCCUAUGAUUCUAAGCAAUUGGAGUAUCCACUGGUUUACACUUCAAUAAUCCCACAUCUGCUAGUAGAUCCAAUAUAUAUUUCCUCUGAGAUAGGAAUAUGCCUUUUUGUGAUCUUGCUACCUCUAUUCCCAUAAAGUACUUUAGCCCCCCAAGUUCUUCAUUUCAAAUUCAGUAGCCAAGUGUUUUUGUAGCCUCGAGAUCUCUUCUACAUCAUCUCCCGUGAUAAUCAUGUCAUCUACAUAGACUAUUAAAGUUGUCACUUUGCCUUGUCGGUGUUUCAAGAAAAGAGUAUGGUCAAAAUUGCUUUGAUGAUAACCAUACUUUCGCAUAGCAGAACUAAAUUUGUCAAACAACGUCUGAGGUGACUGUUUCAACCCAUACAACGCUUGUUCCAAUUAGCAAACAAUCUUGGUCUCGGAAGAUGUUGUAUAUCCGGGAAUAAUGUCCAUGUAUACUUCCUCUUCAAGGUCACCAUGGAAAAAUACGUUCUUUACGUCGAGCUGGUGUAGUGGCCAGUCUAAAUUUGUUGCAAGAGACAAUAAAACUCUAAUAGUAUUUAGUUUGGCCACUGGUGAGAAAGUUUCUAAAUAAUCUAUACCAUAUGUUUGUGUAAAUCCUUUCGCCACCAGUGUAGCCUUGUAUCGGUCGACGGAUUCAUCAACUUUAUAGUUUAUAGAGAACAUCCAUUUGCACCCCACUACCUUUUUCCCUUCCGACAGUGGGGCUACUUUCCAAGUAUUGUUCUUCUAUAAAGCCUCCAGUUCUUCUUGAGAUGUUCUGAUAGGUUUUGAGCGGACACAUAAUUUGCAAUUGGGUACUUGGACCUUCUUUCUUCCUCGUUGGGAGAGUAUCUAUUUGGUGGUUUGCCACAAUUAUGUCUGAAAGGCAAAGCAUAACCUGCAGGUGUCUCCAAGACAUUAGUUUGUAAAGAUGUGAUAGGAGUGCUUACCUCUGAAAUAUUCCCAUGAGGAGAGUCUUCAGGUACUUAGGAGGAAGGGGGUUCUGUAUUUUUAGGUUCAUCAUUGACGGGUUCUUCAUUUUCAAUCUCUCCAUUUUCUGGUGCUUCAUUUCCUUCAUUUCUAAGUUUUGCACCUGCUGCAUGUUCAUCAUUGACAGGUUCUUCAUUUUCAACCUUUCCAUUUUCUGGUGUUUCAUUUCCUUCAUUUCUAAGUUUUGCACCUGCAUUAUGCAUUUGUGGUUCAAUUUCUCCAUUUUCAGUCUCAAGUCUUGAAGUCAUCUCACCUCCUAAAGCCAUCAUCCAAUUCAGCUCUUCAAUCUGAGUCUUCCCCUAAAUAGGAGAAUUGGGUAUCAAUGAUGGAUAAAAUGUUUCAAAUUCAAGGAAUGUAACAUCCAUGGUUAUAUAGGUACGGUUGGUAAGGAGAUUGUAGCACUGAUAGCCUUUUUUAUGUAACCCAUAGCCUAAGAACAAGCAUCAAACUGCACAUGGGUCCAGUUUAGUACGUUGAUUUUUGUGGAGAUGGACAAAGACAACACACCCAAAAAUGCGAGGAAACAUCAACAUAGUAGACAAAGAAAGAUGAGUAGAAAGAACCUGUAGGGGAGUCUUGAAAUCUAAGACCUUGGAAGACAUACGAUUCAACAAAUACACAAGAGUAGUCACUGCAUCCCCCCAAUGGUGACUAGGCACAUAAGCUCCAAGCAGUAAAGCACGAGCUGUUUCUAAGAUAUGUCAAUUUUUUCUCUCAGCAACGCCAUUUUGUUGAGGUGUCUAAGAACACGAUGUCUCGUGGACAAGGACAUGAUGUUGGAAAUAAGUCUGAAAUUGAUGAUUGAUAAAUUCCCUACCAUUAUCCGAACAAAGGAUUUGAAUCUUGGUUGAGAAUUAUGUUUGGACCAUGGCAUGAAAUGCUUGAAAAAUCGUGAAAGCUUCAACUUUGGUUUUCAUUUGGUAGAACCAUGUCAUGCGGGUGCAAUCAUUGACAAAAAUCACAAACCAAUGAUGACAAGAGGAAGUGGUUAUUGGGGAAGGCCCCCACACAUCAGAAUGUAUUAAGGCAAACAGAAUAUCACUUUUAUUCAAGCUAACUUGAAAAUACAGUCUAUGGCUCUUUGCCAAAAUACAUGUAUAGCAUGUAAAGUCUACAUUCUGAAAAUUUGUAAAUAAAUCUGGAAAUAGAUGUCAUAAGUAACCAAAUGAGGGAUGUCCCAAGCGUCAAUGCCAUAGCCAAAUCUGUCUUUCCUUACUACUUACUUGAUGGUGCAUGUGAUUCGCUACUCCCGGGCUGAAGUCAUCUAAGUAAUACAAUCCCCCCAUCUUAGUACCAUGCCCAAUGAUCUCCUUGCUCGGAAUAUCCUGAAGAAGACAAAAAGUAGGUUACAUUAGUACUGUACAAUGGAGCUCUUCGGUGACCUGACUCACAAACAUCAACUUGUUUGAUAGAGAUGGAACGAGAAGCGUGUGAGACAGGAAGAGAGAAUGAGAUAAUGACACAAUUCCAGCUCCUGUGACUGGGUAUGUAAUUCCAUUGGCAUUGGAAAUGCAGGUUUACCUUGGUUGAGUCAUAUGGGAGAAGUCAUUAGGAUCAAAAGUCAUAUGAUUCAUAGCCCCGAAGUCAAUGAUUCAAGCGCCAUCAGUCUAAGAAUUAGAGCUAAAAAGGACUUGGUCAUAGUUACCUCGAUUUGUGACUAAGGUUGAGAGUUCUACCCGGGGAAUGCGAGAAAGUUGAGUUUCAACAAUAACCACUGUUGCUCUACCCAUGCUUGCAUCAAUUGCAGGGGUGUCUCGUUUCUUCCGGGCUUAUAAUUCAUGCCACCAAUCUGGGUACCCAUGUAGCUUAAAGCAAGUAUCACAUGUAUGCUUUGUACUACCACAAUGAGUACACUUACUCCCAUCAAAUUGGCCAUUUGGUUUGGAUGAAUUUGGUUUUCCACCACUCAGAGAGAGUGAUCUAAACUGACCAAAUUUAAUCCCUUUGGUGGCCAUAACAACACCACCAGAGAUAGCUUCAGCUCUAGAUGCCAUCACAUGUUGUCGAACAUCUUCCCUACGAACGUGAGUGUAAGCCUGCUCAAUUGUAGGAAAAUGCUUUAAUUAUAGAACAUCACUUCGAAUGUUAUCUAGGUGAUCAUCAAGUUCAUCCAGAAAGGUGUAGACUCUAUCUUCUUGUAAGAUUGAGUUAUAUCUUUGUAUAUCAGUUGCACAUUCCAUGGGAUUAAGGCCACGAAAAUCAAUCUCACGCCACAAACCCUGUAAAUCAUUAUAGUAUUUCUCAAUGGAUCCAUCUACUUGUCUCAUCCUAGACACACGACACCAGAGAUCAUACACCUAUGAAGUGUCAGUUCCAUCAAAGUACGUUAUAGUCGUAGAAUCCCAUACCUAUUUCGCUGUCGAGAAGCGAAUAAAGUUCGCGACCAAGAUAGAGACCAUCGAGUUGAUCAACCACCCUUUCAUAAUGGCAUUCUCAACUCGCCAUUUUCGAAAGGAUGGAUCUAUGUCUAGAGGUUGGGGAGAGUCUCAAUUGAUAUAUUUGUCUUUGCCCAAGAUGUACAUCUCAACAACCUAGGACCAUAAAGCAUAGUUAGAGCCAUCUAACUUGAUGUUUAUAGAAACUGUUGGGGAAUCAGUGAUGGGUGAUUGUGAAGAGGUUUGAGCCCUAGUCAAAGCCUCAGUCAUUUUGGCUGUCAAACUAUCAAGAAUGGAUUUGGUGGAGAUGAUUGGUGGUUAUGUUAGGUCAGUGGAGUCUGCCAUGGACUUCGAGCGAUUUAGUUCCCUUCUUGGUCAAGAUGCAGGGAACCUAAGACCAUGCUUUGAUACCAUGUCACACAGUAUUCAUUUCUCAUAUAUUUUUCCUUUGAAUGGGUUACAAGAUAUAUAGAUAUAAGAAUAGAUUUUUAGGAAGCUAUUCUUAGCCUAUACAAGGUCUAUGGCUAGAAUUAUGGUUGAUCAUUGAAUAAGGGAAUUUCUACAACUAAUGUUUCUAUGAACUUGCUGAUCUAUGACUCACGCUAACACUUUUUUUGUUCUUUUAGCUAUAAUAUUUUCAAGAUAAGACAAAAGUUAUGCACAUUUUAAACAAUCUUACCUAUUUAAAUUUUAUAGUAACUUAAAAUAUGUCAGUUUUAUCAAUAUAACAACUUUCUUAUUAUCAUAUUUAACAAAAUUAAAAUUUUCAUCAAACAAGUAAACACAUGUAUAUGCUCAAAUUAAAUAUUAUAGUCUGUAAGACAUAUUAAACAGUCAUACUUUUUCGUUAGGACCUAAUACCAUGAGCUCUAAUACCAAUUUGUCACAUCCAAAUUCUAAAACCAUGGUUGAUUAUUAUAUCAAAGGAUCAACUCAAAAUUCUAGAAUUUGAAAUGUGAAUUUAUGAAUAAAAUAUAAUGUUUGUAAUAUAAUAUGCUAACCAUUUAUUUUCAUAUUCAUGAAUUUUAGUUUGAUGUACAAAUAAUAACAACUAGAAUUUUGUUUUUAUUAGCUAUUAUUAAGUAUAUAUUUCUAAAUGAUAACAAUAACACAACACUUUAUUUUAAAAAUUUUAAAUUUUAAAUUAUAUUUCUUUUCAAAGUUUAGAUAACAUUGUCUAAUGGAUUGAAAGUUUUUAAAUACGCCCAGUAUAUUGUUUUAACUUUGCAAAAAUUUCACUAUGUAUGGAAAAUGGGUAAUUUUUAAAAGUUUCAAAACUUAAGAUAAAAAUUAGUAGAUUUUGUUACUUUCACAUCGUGAUUCUCAAGAUAACUUUUUUAUAUUUUUGUCUUGAAUAAUUUGACUUAAGGCAAAAAAGAAUUUUGAAAAAAUUCAAUGAAAGUUCUCAAUUUAUAACUAAAAUUCAAAAUUUUGAUUUUGAUUUACUAGGAAUUCAGCUUCAAAAUUAUUUUUAUUGGAUUCAAAUGAGGGUAUUCCGUUAUUUAUAUUGUAAACUUAAAGUAAAUGGAGAUAUAAAAUUUAUUUAAAGUUUUACAAUAUAAAUAUAGUGUUGAAAGUAAAAUUGUGUUGAGAUGAAUAAAACUAUGCUGAAAUAAAUAACACUAUACUGAGGUAAAUAAAGUUAUGUCAAAGAGUUAAGGAGUGGUACACUACAGACUAAAUUGUGUACCAUAACUUAAAAUUUGCACACCUUAACUCAAAUUAUGCACAUCGCGUUUUUAAACCAUCCUACGUACUUACAAUUCAAAUUAUGCACCAUCUUUCCUCUUCACUUCUAAACACACGCUAUGCAAGUUACAUUAUGCACUUAUUUUUCCUUUAAUUUAACCAACACACCAUAGUUGCACACUCUUCAACUCAAAACAUUGCACACUUUCUUUUCUUUUCAUCUUAGGUUUGCACGCCAACUCCUAAACCACAUGCACAAUCUUCUUUCCCCAUUUUUAACCUAGUAGUUUUUACAUUUAUGUAAGUUUUGCAAAUGGUUAUUUUUCUCCCUUUUGAGGAACCUUUAACACCUUAAAGCUUCUUAUUUUAAAGAUUAUGAAAUAUCUCAAAAUUUAAUUAAUAAUUUAACCCAAACCACAUAAAAACAACUUAAGUUAGAAUAUAAAAAAUUUACAUUUUAUUCUCUUUAAGCACUAUACAUAUUAUUCAGGUUACAAAAGCUAGUAUAGUUAUUACCUAUAGUUGUAAUUCUCUAUGUUUAUUAAUAUUUGAAAAUUUCUCUAACAACACAACAUCCUAAAUCUCUUUGUAACACCAUAACUAUACUCUUUCUUCUUUCUUGAUUCUUUCUAGCGUAGUUUAUAUAAAAUAACAUACAUAAAAGGGUUGAGCUACUAGUUGGUAAAGAAAAGUUUGAUUGUCACAAUAAUUUUAUAAAGCACUUGUGUAAAACAUUUUGCACAACUCAAAGCAAUAAUUCUUAUAAAUAAGAAAUUUUCAUUUCACAUUAUAGUUAUAUCACAUCCAACAAUAGAUAACACAUUAUGUACCUUUCUUGAACAAUUUCUUUCCAUACUUAUAAUAGUUAUAGCAAUAUAUAAAGUAUUCUAGGGUUUUCACCCAAGGACACAUGCCCAUGGUCCCUUGGUAAUUCAUGCGUGGAUCUUCUUGGGGUGAUUUUAAGUCUUUCACCUUAUGGUACUUUAACCUUCUUUUAAGGACUCUCACUUAAGGACUAUUCCUUCGUAUUAUUUUUCACAUUUCUAUCAAGCUACCUAUCAUGUUGCCCUCACCAAAGUAUACCAAUACCAUUGGCAAUCUCCAUAUUGCUUAUGUUGCAUCAACAUAUUAGUUCCAAUAAGUAAAGGAUAUCUUAAACAAGAAUAAGCAAUUAUACUCAAAAUUUCCCAUAUACAUGCACAACCUCACAUCUCAAUUUAUUACAAAUGCCACGUAUAUCAAUUUUUUUUUUUCCCAGGCUUUAUAUAAAAACUAAAAUAAGGUUUUCAAACAAAACCUUCCUACCUAUUAGAGCAAUUUGACUUGGUUUUUACUUUCAAUUUCUCCCUUAGUUUUUCUUCAAUUGAGUCUCGUGUUUUUUUAUAGAGAAAACUUGUUAUUUUCUUCAUUCUCAUGUUACAAUUUUUUUUUCCUAAACAAAAUAGAGAUUUAAGCUAGCAACUAAUUAUCUUCAAGAAGUAGUUGCUAUGUGUUCAAUUUAAAACACUCUAAGUGUUCCACUAUUAACUAAUUUCUCACAUCCAUUUUAGCCAUUUAAAUUAAAUUUUAAGGUGGAAAAUGACUUAUUUACUACCAAAUGAAUUAACACCCCUUUAUUGAAUUCUUAACUACUCAUUUAAGAAAGUCAUUGAUUAGCUAUCGACUUGCAAACCAUGAGAAGAUUACCAAGACCACUUAAAUCCUAACCAUAUUUUAAUUACCUUAAUAUGUUAGCAUCAUUAAUCUUCAUUAAGAGAUUAAAUAAACUUAGUUUAACUCUUAAUUAAAUUUAGGUCAUUAUAGGUACUCUCCAAUUGAAUGUUAGGUGGCUCUGAGAUUAUCAUACAAAGUAGUCCAAGUGUGAAAGAAUGUCCAUAAGGUUUGUUACAAUCAAAAGGAUAUUGGCCAUACAUUGGCCAAUGUUGAUGUUAAAUAAUAGGCAAGCAUGAUAAAAAGAAGAUUCCUUUACUUAUACCUUAAAUCAAGUGUUUCUAUCAUUCUCUACGAAAAGACAAAAUCAAGUUAAAAAGUUAUAGAUAAAAAGACUAGCCAUGGAAAACAAAGAAAAGGAAAAGAGGAAAGUUAUGUAAAAAUGGUAAGUCCGGUGCUUUGUCCUGAAUGAUAAGAAACAUAGCCACAAUUACCAGGGAAAUUAAGGGAUUGAUUGAUAAGGAACCCCUUAUCCCGCUUAUCUUCAUGGAACUUCAAGAAGCCAAAUAUAAGAAUAUUCUCUUUAUCUCAACCUUUAAUUGUGUUUGGAAGCUUGCUUAUGAACUCUAAAGACUAGCAUUGGGUGGACAAGGUAAACAUCUCAAAACUAUUCAACUUUAAAGUGUACAUGAAAAAGACCUCAAGAACAUUGAUGCCCAACUUUUAUAAACGAUUCAUUAUAAAUCAUCCUAUUAGUAUUUGAAUGGCGUUCAAAUGAACAUACAUAAGAUAGGUGCCCAUGUAAUAAAAAAAUUACCUCACUAAAUAUUAUAAUGGUAAAUGUAGUUUGACCCUAAACGUCUCUCUAAUGAAGUAUACUCCCUAAGAAAAGGAACUCCCUAUUGACUCCAACUUGUUAGGGUCAUUAGAGAAGUGAAUAUCGAUGUUCUCUAAGAUGGAAUAUUUAGCCUAAAACUUGAAACUCCUUUUGCUUACUAAUAACUUCCUAGGUGGUUUGCGUGGAUAUUGGGGUAAGAAGGGCCCCUUACAACUUGUGAACAACAACUAAUGAUCAAGAAGUUGUGCCAAUGCACUUUCUCUCUCAAUCAACACUUCUCAAGUAAAGAUGUUUGAGUGACUCUUUUAUUACCUAAAUGCAAAGUGAAGUGGGUGAUGGAUGACCUAAUAAAAAACUUUAAUGCUUAGAGCCACCCACGAUGAAGCCAUUAACUAGUUGACUAAGGUAGGCAAAUAACUACACUUGGAAGCCUAUUGUGCAAGAUAAACAAAUUUUACCUAAAUAUAACCCCUCAUCUAUUCCAAAAAUAAAACAUUUUCUAGUAUAAAGAAAAACCCUAAGAAUCGCUUAGGUUUAGAAAUAAAUUGACUGUCAGCCUUGGCUUUAGAUCAACAUGGUGCCUAAGAAAACAUUUCCAAUGGAAAACCUAAUCCCUCAAGGUUUCUAUGACUAUGAAACCAAUGAUUGAAAAUGAUGCUCUUUGAUAGUGAAAAACAACCAAAAAGGAAAUAAGGGAAAAUGAAACAAAAGAAAAAGAUACAGAAUGAGAAAAUUACCUAAAAACUAAUGGAGACCAACUAUGGAAAGAAGACCAAUGGGCCUACAAAAGAAUUGUGUAGAAUAAAAACUGAGAGGAAGAUGGAAAUAAGAGAACAUGAAGAAAAGGGAAAAAGUAGACAUAUAUGGGAGCAUGUGAAAGUGUGUGGCCUAUUGUGACAUCAUUAAGACAAAUGAAUAUUUACAGGCAUAUUACUCAACACCCUAAUAGUUGUACAACACCCCUAGACACCACAUGUCCCUCUAGGCAUAUACACAACCUAAAAGUCAUUCCAAAUUCCUAAAUUAGUGCACUAAUCGUCCCAAUUAGGAGAGUUGACUAGUCAUUCUAUCCAACUCCUAAUGACUAACUAUGCUCACAUCUCUCAAUGGAAAAAAGGGCAUUGAAGGAGCCUAACCCAAUUAGGAGAAAUGUUAUCCCAAGGCCAAGCCAAAUAAGCCAAACACCACCAUAAACUAGCUACAUGUGGGCGGCCCACUAAGACGGCAACUAGUGUCCACAAAACACCCAAUUCCUAGACAUGAAUACCGAAGAAAAAGAAAACUACCUAGUAGCUAGGUUAGCGGCAUGUGCACAACCAUGAUGGGUACUUGUCCAUAAUUUGACAUAUCCCAUCAAUAUGAGACAUUCUCGAUUAUCCAUUGAGUCUUGCAUGGAUAGUUCUACUUCUACUCAAGCAUGGUUACUACAAAGCCAUCAUGAGAGUAGGUUUGACCAACCAAAAAUGGCCUAGCACCAUUCCCAUUGUUCUAUAGGACCCCUACCUACUCAAACCGCAUUUGGAAGCACAUUUACUCCACAAUUUAGACAAAAAUGUAAUUGCAUUACUGGAUCUCGGGUAGAGAUGGGCAAUAUUUUAGUAGGUAAAUUCAUGCCUCAGAAGGUGAAAGAAUCAUUGUGGCCCAAAAGAUAGAUUAUUACAAUCCAUACUUGGCAUUCAUGUAUACACUUUAAAGGAAAUGUGCCUAAAACUACCUAUAAGAGGUCAAGGUUGAGUUAUUGAUGUGUGAUGGAUCUAGAAAAAGAUGGUUCUAGUUAUAAUUCAAAAAUGAUUCAUGUAUAUAUUUCACAUAAAUAUGAAAUCAAAGUAGGUGAUAAAAUAGAUAGAAAACAUGAAUAUAAGGGUAUCAUUUCCAAAAUUUUGCCUAGGCAAGAUAUACCUUAUUUUCAAGAUAGAAAACCUCAUGAUAUGGUCUUUAACCCAUUUGAAGUACCAUCAUGAAUGAAAUAUAGGACAUAUUUAAAUGCUCGUUGGGGUUAGCGAGGGGUUUGCCAAACAUACAUUAUCAAAUAGCACCUUUUGUUGAGAACGAAAUGUGAACCCCAAUAGGAGCACAUGCAUAACUACCUUACUACUAGAGCUCUAAAAGAAGCAUUUAAGUUGAUAAACCCCAAGCAGUGAGCCAAUCCUUUGUGCCCAUACCCUACUCAUGACUUAACCAUCAACAUGGUAUAGUCAAAGGGUCACCCGACGCCCAAUCACCCAAAACAAAGAUGUGGCUGUUAUUGGACUUGCAUGCUCGCUCAUCAACCUAAAUUUAACAUCAUUGGAAGCUAGCAUGGCUUAGUUUGGCGUAUAAACAGCCUUUUUAGAAUAAUGAGAAUUUAUCCAACUAGACCACUAGGCUUUUAGUUCAAUUGAAAGUAUGUACCACACACUUUGGACUCCCUUUUUCCAGUUGAAAAUGCUUUAUAGGCAUUAGAUAAAUUGGAUGGAUACCAUCCACAGUUGAAUUUCAUAUGGGCUGUCUUGAAACAGGGGAGUGCAUUCCCUUUUUUCAGUUGAAAAUGCUUUAUCGGCAUUAGAUAAAUUGGAUAGAUACCAUCCACAGUUGAAUUUCAUAUGGGCUAUCUUGAAACAGGGGAGUGCAUACUCUGGGUUUUGACCCUUCCCCUUUGUAGCAAAUCAAACUUCAUGGGCGACGAAUUAGACAAGUGCUCUGAAGCCCCAAUUUAUUCAAGAAUUGCGUCAAACAUGAAUUGUAUAAUAAUCAUUUAACAUAAGAUAUUAGAUAUGACUACAUCAACUCUUUACUUAAUCUGCUCCUAUCACGUGUACAAAGUUUUGAGGCCUUAAUGACACCAAUGCAUCCCACAUUAGCAUAUAUAUGCACACAUAUAUACAUUUAUACACAUGAAAACUGAUUGAUGUCCAAUUGUUGUUUUGGGGGACAAUGGAAAGUACAUAUUUCAAUAUUCUGCCAAAUUAUCAGCAUCCUCAAGGAUACUACUGUUUCCACUUAACAGCAAAACUACUCAUGAAAUGAACUCAACAAGUAUCCUCCUCAAGGAUGCCACUGUUUCCAUUUAACACCUAAACUACUCCUGUAAUGAAUUCAACUAACAAUAUCACCGGAAACUGAUCUAUGAAAUAAUAAGAGAAUGCAAAAUCAGUGCCGAAACCAUGUUCUUUUCAGCCAAUUUGUACACCGAAAAGUCUAAGACCUUUUUUCUGCCCCUCAAGUGCUGGUUCAGUUCCCACAGACUCUUCCUCUUCUUGGGAUUUCCUCUCAUGCUUGUUAUACCCGAUAUUUUGCUUCAGAUCUUGUUGCAACUCGAUUUGCAGCCCAACAUAUCGAUUAGGCCCUUCAACAAAGCUACCAUUGUUUGCAUCCCGGCCAUCAGUGCUCCUGUCAUAAGCUACAUCAAUCAUGCAGAAUGUUCGGCCCUCUUUUGUCCCUUGUCCAUACUCACACAGGUAGAAAGUAACAAUGUCAUUUUCAUUUAGUUCUUUGUCCUUUACAAACCGAUUCCAACCCCUUGUGAAGACAUAACUCUGGCUACUUCUCCAAUAGCAGUACCGGAAUUUCCAUAGCCUCAUUAACCUGUCAUAAAAAACCAGCUGCAUGUCGGCUGCUGCACCACCAACCUCAUUUUCUUCCGCGCUUUCAGAAAUAGGAGGAAAGUGCUUAGUAGCAUAUUUCUUUGGGAUCACAAGCCUGUUGAGCUUACCCACAUCACUUGGGGUAAGCUCCUUCUGGAAAAGAAGCCUACACAUAAACCUUCCAUUCCGGUGCACACCCACUUGGUCAAGACUGAGUACUUCUGUUUCUCCUCUCUGUGAUUCAGUCUUCAGAAAUUCAGCAAACUUGGAUGGGUAGGAGCCAUCCUUAAUCAUGUUUACUACCGUUUCAGUACUGAAAAAACUUUGGAAGUUGGGCUCUUGAAUGGUGAGGUUAGUCCAUGGAAAAUUCCUGUGAUUGUCCCCACUUCGGAGCUUGAUGGCUGCACUAUCAUAAGCCAUUGCUGCUUCAGUUUCUGAUUUAUAUGUACCAAGCCAAAUUCGCUGGUGGUUGGCAUAUAUUUGUGCACCCCAGUGCCCAUUUUGCUGAGGUACAACCCCUUUGAACCUUCCAGAAGAGACACUAAUACCCUGUUUUGUGCGCUUGCUUCCAUGAAAUGGGAGACUGCUGCUGUUCGAAUCUGAAGCUUCUACAAUCACAUUUGUUCCUCCAUUUGAUAUUACACUUAAUAUUUCCUCUUCCAUUCUAAUUCUGAGGAAAAAUAAUGGGAAGAAAGAUGAGUUUAACCAGUAGAACAGAUGAAAUAAAAGACACAAUAAUACUUUCAUUGAAAUAAUAUAUCAAUUUGAAAAUGCAUACGAAAUUUAAUGCCUAUAAAAGUUCAAAGGAGAAAUCAGGGAAGGAGUAGACCAGGGGUAAUGCCCAGCAUUUCAGAAAAGAACUAGGUGAGCAAUCUUCCCUAACUGAUGUUAUUAGGUGGUCAAGUUAACACAAUUAGGUUUGUUGUUUCUUGCAUUUUAUCAGCAGGUCGGUAUCCUAUAGUGGAUGAUUAGCCCAUCAUGCUUAAGCAUCCCAUUAAUAAAUUUGAAUGCUCUACUGAGUAUCAAGCCAAAAUAGCAGUAUGCUCUUCUUCAGGCUCUCAGACUCUAGGCCAGCAACCAACUCAAACUGAACCCUUUUUCACAUGCCAGGCACACAAGUUGGCUUUGGAGAGGAAAACUUCCUUGGGACCAUAAAGAAAUACAAUACACAUUGUUCACUUCUAAUGUGAUGCCUGACAAAUAACCCCCAAGACUAAUAGAUAUUUGAAGAUGGCCUAAACCGCUUUGGUCCAGCAAACAACAGCCCAGCCUGACCUGACUCUCCAACCACUAGCCUGACUCAUUCUAAGGCUGGAUUGGCAUGAGUUAGGCUCACCCCUGACCUGGCUACACCAUCUAAAUGCCAAAUGGACCGCCUAGUAUGGACCACUCCCAUUCAAUCACUGCACAUAAGAUGGUUAUAGUUUGGAGUGCAAAGGCCAAACUUGGUAUGGCUGGAGGAGCCUGCUAACCAUUUGACCAGAGUAUACAACUUUACAACUUUGAACAGCUAUCUGCCAUGUGCAAACUCGAAAGACUUGCUGAUGGCUACAGGCCAGCAAGGACUAGCCAAUAUUAGGAGUUUUGGUCUAAACUGGCUAUUUUUCGACCAUUAAAAUAUAUGUUUUGCCCCCCUUCCAAAACAAUUGUUUAAAAUGGCUCCUUUGGUCACCUGUUUUAUUAUUUUAUAUAUAUAUAUAUAUUAAAAAAAAAACAGUUGUUUGAAACCACAUCUUGAAACUGCAGCUUUAGUGCAAACUUAGAAAACACAUCUUGAAGCAUGAUGGGUAUAUUCCAACUCAUUAAGCAAGGAUCAAGAUCAAGCUCACAACCCUAUAGAUUUAAUGACUGCCAAAAACUCUCCAGAAUGUCCUCACAUUCUUUGACACAUUAAAUCCAUAGACAAGGAAUUAGUAAAAUGACUAAAUAACAACUAGCACCUCCAAAAUCAACUCUGACAAAUUAGAAACAAUAAAAAAUAUGUCAGCUUGAUGAAAAAAAUAGAAGUUUAUAGGGUUCCAUCAAACCUUAUACUCAUUGAGAUAAAUCAAUGCCCAAAAGCCUUCAAACUUGAAUGUCACGUCAGAUAUUAUCUUAAUUGACUUCAAAAGUAUCGAAAAAAAAAUGGGACAUCUAAAAUUUUGAUGUUGUUCUAUAUUACAUUCAAACAGGAAGAGAAAUGCCACUUCAUGUGCUGUUUCUGUAUCAGUUUUAUACACCAAAAUUAAGAAAACAAAAGACAGAGAUAAAACAAAGAUGGUAACCAAAUUACAGCUUUAUGCAAAAUUUGGUCUAGAUGUGUUCUCUUACUCACUGGGACAUUCCAGGACACAAACAGAGGCCACUGACAGAUAAGUAUCAUCCUAGGAGGGUGCUCGGGUCACCAGAAUCAAGGGCAAAUGAAAGUAAAAUCCCCUACUUCUUCCAGGCCUUGGAUAUCCCUUACUAACAAUUUUAAGGCACAAAUCACUUCAGUUGCAGUUAAAGGGGGAGGACAUGCCACUCUGAUGACAACAAAAUGUUUCCUCAUCUCAAGAAUGUCCUAUUAAGCAGUUUACUGGCUCAAACAUGUCAAUACCAACAGGCAGGUCUACCAUCAAUUCAAAAGUCUCCUACCAUUUUGUUCCAUCCCAACUCCUUGUAAGUUCAAAAGGCAAAAUAUUAUGAUAUUUGGACAACUUUUCUGUUCUUAGACUAGAAUACCAAUACAUCUGGAAAGAGAACACUAAUGAAUCAAGAAUUGACAUGAUAUACAGGAAAUUUAUUACACUGAGUUAGUACACUUGAAUAAACUAGAAAGUGAUGGUUCACAUCUCCAUCAUUCUUCUACAUAAUACCCCAGCAGGGGGCUGCAAUGGCAGUCCCUUCCUGGAGAAGAUGUUUUUAACCAUCAAUCUUUCAGCAUGAUAACUGGUACUUUAACCACUGGGUAAUACUUUGAAACACCAGCUCCACUUAGAGUCAAUUUUAUUUGAACAUUUAUGACACAUGACAUGACAUGAUAUAUCAAGAAUCAACCAACAGACAGACAUUUUCAACAAUUCAUGGGAUCCUUCACUACAAUCUCCAUUAGGUGAAACAAUGCCAGAAAGCACAAAGAAAAUGGCCAGAAAUACUCAAUACAGCAGGGAAACAGCUUCCCAGACUCCCUCCCCACAUAUGGAUCUCCCAACCAUGCAGCAACCUAGACAAUGGUGAAAGGUUUAUCAAAUCAUAACAAUCAAAAAAUAAUUCUAAUGUAGAUGAACCACUGAUGCUAAUUCUGUGGAAAAGAAAUUCAUUCUCAUAUUAAAAUCCCAAUCCUGAAUCUGUUAGAUGUGUUUUCAGUCACGCCUAUGGAAUAUAGUGCAUCAGCUGUUGUUAGGUACUUCAACCACAUGAAAACCACAACCAACAACCACCGUUGUUUGACUCUCUCAAUUCAUAUUAGACAUCAAGAUAAAAAAUACUCUUAACAUUCUUGCUAUAUUACAUAGCCCUUCUUUAUCCGUAGACUAAUUCAAUUGCUCUCAAACCAAGAAACUUACUAAGGCAAUUUUUUUUCUUUUUUUUAUAAAAACACAUGGAGGAAACAUUUAAUAAUAAAAACAAGAACAGAUGCAUAACUUCAACUAAUAUUAUGAGAUUCAACAUCACUGUGACAUCACCAUACAGGUGAUAUGCAUAAACUAGAGAUAGAUGGUUCAGGUGGCAAAUGGUUGGAGUGGGACUGUGUAAAUGUCCAGGUCUAAUCCUAGAAGGGAGGGAAGAAAAAAUGUUAUCUAUCAAAAAAUUAAAGUAGAGAUGGACAUAACCCAUUGGAAACAAAUAGAGUUCCUCAAUUGCUGAAUGGCAUGUGAAGCGCCAAUGACUUAUUCAAUGAAACACAAACUUCCCAGGCAUUUCAAAUAUAAUUAAUCCAAUAGGAGAAAACAGGGAUGCAGUGUGCCAUGCACCAAAAAGAAUCAUGAUAUUAGAUUUCUGGACAAUAGUCAAAUGGUUAAAAUACUUUGCUAUGCAAAAACAGAUACGCAGAAAGUUGGAUAGGAUCAUGUUAAUGCAUGACACUACCUCCAACUCAGAACACCAUCAUGAAGAAUGAGAUAUGUGUAAAUGACAAACACCCAGGUCAAAGGGAAAACUAAGACUCAUAUGCAAUAGAUUACAACCAAUAACCUGUCAGCAAAAGCUGAGGGAUAAUGAAAUGAAGGUAUGAUGAUGACAUGUGCUUGUGGCAACUCCCUAUCAAUGUAACCUCUGGCCCUCACCAUUAAAUAAAGGAAGCCUCAUAAAACAGCAUCCCUUUUUUUAAUAAUACUAGCCUGACAAAAGAUAAACUGAGAGAUUAGCCUCACCACAAGUAGAUAGCCACCACAACUUGCCCCCUGGUUCAUGUUUGUUUGUAUUUUGCAGGUGAUUUUUCUUUUUUGCCAUGUAAGAGGAUAAUAUUGAAGUUACAAAGUGAAGCAACCUACGUACAUAUACAAACAGGAGACUGCAGGGAGUAGAAAAACCAAGAGAAAGAGAUAAUAGAGAACUAGAAAAACACUCCUUGCAACACUAGAACAACUCAAUCCUCACCAUCCAUGAAGUCCAUAAACAAUCUUCAUGGAUUCAAACUUGAACUUGGGAUUGAUCACAUAGAAAUGGUCAGAUACCAUCACCUUAAGCUUCCUCCUUGACGCUUCAACUCCUUGAAAUCUGUUCUGUUCUUGCAAAAAACUCUGUGCAAUCCAGAAAGGAGCUGCAUUUCAGGUAUUCUGCUUUCCCCUCCCCACAAACAUUAUAUGCUAACUAGCUAAUAGAUGCUUAACGGUUUGAAGACCCACACUGAAUUCACAUGUAGAGAAAUGUUAAGCACACAGCCCAUGGCAGAAAGCAAUAUAUCAAUAAAAUGAUCUACAAUCUUUCCGUCCCUUUAACACAUAGAACACCAAUUUGGGAUGAUUUUAAAUCUUCUUCCUAAAUAUUUGAUAGAUAUGUUCCCACACUUUUGUUCACAUAAAAAGUGCUAACUCCAAAGGAACCUUUAGAAACCCUAUGCCUUUGGCUAGGAGUCCGAUCAACUACUGACCAACUCUAUAAAUGAGUAUUGACUAACUUAUCCAAAGUCAGCAACCAAAGAAAUAGUAUCUUCCAUUCCAAAAAACAGCUCUUGCAUCUGGAUAUGAUCCAAGAAAGAAACCGCUUCCUCAAUCUCCAACCAUGGAACACCACCAUAAAUGAAACCCAACAAUCUGCCCACCAUGCCUCAUUCAUGACUCUUAUGAUCCCAAAAUCUUACAGCACUUACAAUUUGGUUCGUUCCAUUGUCUCUACAACUUCUGGCAUACUAGUCAAGACUCUUUAACAUUUGGUAUCCAAUCUAUGCUUCCAGGUCCCAAAUCUAGUCACAAAAGGGCUGCUUGGACAGUAAAGGGAGAGCCAUCCAAAGGAUAAAGAAAAUGGCUGCCUACCACUAGAGAGGGAGCUGAUGCAAAAAGCGGUUAAUUAGGCUGGCCGCCUGGAGCAAGAGUUUCCAAGGAUGUCAGAUUUAGAAGUGCAGUGGCAUAUUACAAACACAGAAGGUUAUAAGACUUCAAUUAACAUGUUUCAGCAAUUCUAGGAUCUUUCACAUAUUGGUAAGGUUCUUAAUGUUUCAGUUAUAAUCUUAAAUGGCCAUAAGGUCAUAGGGCUUUGUUUCACAAGUUCCAUUGGUCCAUAGGUUUUUGGCAUAUUGGUCAAGUUCUUAACAUUUAGGGCUAACUUUGUAUAACUUCUUGAAUGCUUUACACCUGUUCCCCAUUUGAUGCAACUUUUUGAAUGCUUAAAUGCUCUUUCUAACUAUUAAAAGAGACUCAGAUUGUGUUUGGUUUACCACUAAAUCACCUUAAACUAGAAAACGUUUGAAACUUGAAAGCCCCUUUCAAUAAAGUUGGAUGUGAGAUGCUUUUGUUGAAGGGCUUCCAGAUAGAGAUUUCAAAAUUUCCUUGGUUUCAUUUGAAGAGAUCACACUUAUUAUUUGUUCCAUUUAUAAGAAAGAAACCACACCUUCAGUUCCAGCCUUUGCACAUUGGCCUUUCAACUUUUGACAUGAAAUAAAAUGAGAUCUACCAAUCAUAUAUGAGUCUCUUUGAUCAAUCAAUUCUAGACAAACCAGAACUUAAGGAAUCCUUUUUACAUGCUCUUACUAUUCAGAUUUAAGGAAAGCAGGUAGUCAAAUAUGGAAUUAGAGCUAGAGGUCUCAAAUUUGAGUCUCCCCUACUGUUACUAUCCCCGUAUAUUUAUAUAUUGUUGCACCUAAUUUGUCUCUCCAAGCUGCUGCAAACGAGGGAAGAGCUUAGGCUUAUAGGAAAAAAUUAGUAACUUAACACUAACCAUCUCUCUCAACAAAUUAAAGGAAGACCUCAAGUUUUAUGUCUAGAUAAUCACAGGCUCUAGAGGGUCCAAACUCCCUUCACUAAGAACAUGGAAGAAAACAAUCAAAUAAUUACAUUCUCAUAAUUCAAACUAGCUAACACCACCAAAGACUUGAAUGAUGGUACCUUAAUAUAGGUAGAAACAGAAGGAAAAUCCCAACUUCUAAAAGAAUCAUAGUUAGGGAACCACCCACAGUAUACAACACUGGCAGAGAGGAGUUAGUAUGAAUCCUCUGUAAAAGGUGGAAUGCCAAGAAUAGUAUAGACUGGACAUAAAACACAGCAGUUGCAAGUGUCCUGGCACUGAAUCAACCAAUAUGCCAAAGAGACACAGCUUUUAAUAAAAUAAAUGCUUCUUACGAACAAAAUCUUUCAAGAUCCUUCCAAGUUCGUCUAAAUUACAUUUUAUUUUUAGGAACAACAGCAACAUUUAUUGCCAUUUGAAUAAAAAAAUACAAGAAAUUCUCAAAGAUUCUAGCAUUUUUCUCUAACCAAAUCACCAAAAGCAAAGAAAAAAUGAGCACACAUGUUAGAGCACCCUGCUCACGACACUACCUUUAAAACUGUGAAAAGUAAUCACUAUCAUAGCCAGCAUCUCUCUAAAAGAACUAGAGCCAACUAGCGAGUCUAAAGAUAUAAGGCUAAUGCAACUAGGCAAGGUAAGGAAAGAUGAUCCAUUGACCCUUCCCUAGUGUUUUAAAGGGUUAUUGAAACAUACACCUUGAUCCUUGCUUCAAGGCUAUGUGAAUUAGCAUUGAGACUAUAGUGUUAGGGUAAUUGAAGCUUCAGUUUCACCAUAUUGAGGCUUAUGACCUUGAGUCUAUAACCCCGAGGUCAUUGAGGCUUAAUCCUCAAAUACUCUGUAGGUUUUUAAUCGUUUGGGGACUUUGUGGGAUUUUCAUGUAUAUUUUACAAGAGGGUUAAGUUUUAAUAUUCAAUGGGUUUUUUUUUUAUUUUUUUAUUUUUUUUCAGUGUGUGUGUGUGUAGACUUUUGGUAUAGGUUUUUUUUUAAGUUUAAUCUUGUGUCUAUGGCUUGGAUUAAACCUUUAACAAAAUGGUUAAGUUAGCCUCUAUUUUAGGAGGAUUGUGAAGAAGAGAGUUGUUGGCUAUCACAAGGACUAGACUCAUAUAUAAACAUUAUCUUAUUGAUAGAUAAAAGAAAAAGAUCACUACAAUUGAUAGUUGAAGAAAAAGGGCACUCAUACUGAUGCUAUCGUUAACCACUAACCAACUCAAAAGCUUCAACUUCAUGAAGAGCUUUGAAACUCUGAAACUUCAGAUGAAAUUGGCUAGGGAAGGAAUACGACACCUUAGAUUUGGCCAAGAUAGAAAGAAAGAAUGGAGAAUAAACGAGAAAGGGAUAAUCUUAUACUCUAAUAUCAACGCAGAAGGCAAAAGAUAAACAAGGACCAACGACAAUGAUAAUAUCAAUUUCCUCACCAAGAACACAUUUCAUUAAACCCCUUUCUAUCUGUCAUUAGAACUUCAUGUUGGCUUAAUUGUUAAUGGCUAAUUUCAUGUUGACAUACAAAAGUGUGCCACAAGUUGGUUGUCACAGACUGAGCAUGCAUAUAUGCACUUCAGAGGCCAUAUCAUUAGUAGGGUCACUUCUUACAAUGUCAUCGAUAGGGCAUCAUGUUUCAUCUCAUCUGCAUGUCUCUUUAUAGCCUUAAGGUGUUGUUUGAACAUCUUUUUAUUGCUUCAAAGGUACCUCCUAACUGAAUUGACAGCAGGGUCCAAGCACCCAGUAGUACUUGGCCCACCUUAUCAUCAACUUGGGACGUUCAAGGAUCUUAAUUUGAUGGAUAAGAGUUCAACUUCUGUUGAGAUGUAGAUGACAAAAAAGUGGUGAGCCCAUUCCAGCUGAAUUGAGAGAAAUGAGGGACCAUUUAAUGGAACAUGUGUUGCUGUCACCACAUUUUCGGGAAAAAGUAACCUUAUAUGCACCAUCAUCUAACCAGUCCAUGAUUUUUCAGUUGAUAUAUCCUAUCUUGAUAACCCAAAAGACUUAAUAUUUGAAAUGAUUGGAUUUCUUCUACAAUUCAACUUUCACUCUAAAAGUAUCCUUUACAAAUUCUCCACUUGAGCAAUUGCUAGUCUCUCUAAUCCCUUCCAGCCUCUCUACUUUGCUUACCUCAUAAAUAGGGACAGCUUACAAUCCACAUGCCUAACUCCUCCAAAUUUCAGUAAAACCUUUUAUCAUCAAACUUCAAGGUUGCUGACUCGCAAUGAUUCCAUAAGUAAAUUAAAUAUUAAUACAUCUAUAUCACAAAAUCAAAACAGCACAAUGAUAAAAAAAUUCCAAAACAUCCUUGUUUCUCUUCUGGUCAUAUGACCAGCCUUUUCUCACACCUUACUGGAUAAAACUAGACUAAUUAGACAUCAUAGCAAUCCAGUUGGAGUUCCAGAAUGUCGAUGGAUUGGAACUUUCCUGGAGUCAGCAUUCAACAUCAUGGACAUAGGUUUUCCUAAGCACCCACAUGGAACUUUGAGCAUGGCACUUAGCAGAAUAGAAAUAAAGUGAGAAGACAAUACACAGAAUUUUCACAAGUGCAUGACCUUUCAUACCUAGAAACAAAUGUCUCUGUAAACUCGCCUCGUACAUUUCUUUGAAAUACAACUGACCAAUGAAGCCUAUCAUAAAAAUUUCAGAAGCUCAACAUGUCAGAAGAGCUUUCUUUGUCUUAGAUAUGUCAGUCUGCUUAAUCCCGGCUUAAUAACCAAUAUAAGAAGACAAGUCUAAUAAAACCAUAUAAAUCACAAUGAUCCCAGUGAGCCCUGAAAUACUGAAGAAAGCCAACAUAACUGGCUAACCAUAAACAAACAACCACAACUCAGAAGCAAAAAUUACAGCAACUAACCUCAUCUUAUCUUCUCGUUAUAUCAAAGGAUAGAUCAAACAUGGCAAAUGUUUGCAAUAUGAAAGAAAUGACAUAGAGAACUAUCCAGUGGGGCAGAAACCUCCAAUAUUAAAUUAUGGUCUAACAUGGGUGCACUCUUAUGAUUUAUGUUAAGGAUACUUCUCAAUACCAAUGAUUGCCAUGUUAGAUAGCUGGCAACUCAAACUAUGUAUGCUUGUAUUCUACCUGUCAGGAAAACAAAUCAACCCACCUUUAUUUACUUGGUAAAAUGUAGAAGAUGAAGUUAAUUUAUCCCUUUGGUUGUAGAACCUAUUUUAAAGCAAUUAUAUUCUUCACUAUUUUAUUUCCUAGGCUCCUCACAUGCACACACAGAUGAACUUAAACAUUAACAAAGCAACUUUAUAGAAGCACACAGCCAGUGUCAGACUCAUAAAUUUUCUCUUUCUUUUUUUAAUGAUUGGCAGACCUAUAAAAUUUUCCCAUUAAGGUGAUCAAAAUAAUUAUGCAAUUUUACAGGGGUUAUUUUGAAACACAAACCAAAAAAAGGUUGCAAGAACUUGGAGGGACCAUGGCCCCUGCCUAUGCUCUGUUUAUACACCAUGAACAAUAGAUUUUCACAAGCUGUACAAAAAAUUUGAGGAUGUCAAGGAGCUUACUCCCCAAAUGAAGAGACAGGGCAGAUAUCUUGUCCCUUAAUAGUGUUUUGGAAUUUUUGUUCAUUAAUCAUUUCAGCAUUACAGAGAACAGCAAACACAUUUGUAUGAGAAGUUGAGGUCAAAGAAAUUUUUUUUUUUUUCCAAAAAGGUACCAUUCUAAAAUUUGCUUGUGGUUGCAUUGCUAGAGCUCACAUGCCCAAGUAAUUACUGUCACAAAUGGCUUCUGGUGUUCAUGCAGUUCAUUAGUUUAAAACCAGCACAGGAAUCUUGAGGAACACAGUGAGGCUCUAAGGUAAAGGUGGAGGUUACAGAUCCUUCAUGUGCAACAAACCAUCUUAAUCAAGAAAAGCAUUGUCCAAGAAAGGGGUUUUUCUUGGUGAAACUAAGGGCAUGAAAGAUCCCUGAAACAAACAUUAGAAAUUGUUGAAUUGGAUGAGCAACCACUGGCAAGAGAAUUCUCAAACUACACAAUAUACUCGAUCCUUUUGUAGAGAUCUCAAAUUACAAAAUAUACUGCUUCCUUUUGCAGAAUCCCAGAUGGAACUAAUUUGUAUUCAAUUAUCAUUUUUUCCCAUUAGCCAUAUAAUUACUUAAUAAUUGCUUUCCAAAGUCUAACUAUCAAAUGAUUGAUAUCGAACUAAUUUGCAACACAGGAGAACUUCAUUUGUACUUAAAUUACUCAUUUACUCUGGGGUUCAAUUAAUCAUAAAUGCAAUUGAAGCACAUGGGAUUUGGGAAUAGUGCUAUAUAGGAAUCAACAUUUACCAAUGGGCAUAAGCGACUUUGGUUAUCCUCUAGGAGAAAAUUUUGAAAUAGAUAGUGUUGGAAUUUUUAUUAAGCUAGGCUAUCAUACAUAUCAGACUUGACUGACCAGGCUAAUGAUGAUAGAAAUGGUGUGGCCAAAAGUCUUUGUAGCAGAACCAAAGCAUCUAAACCAGUUUCUCUGAUCUCCCAAAUGGAGCACUGUUUUUGUUCUGUAGUUCGUUAAUUAUUUAAAGAUUCAACCAUCUCAACACUUUCUUUUCAGCUGAGCUCAUUCCAUGGAUAUUAUUCUUCACCAAUAGCAUAGCAGACCAUAAGGCCUCUGUCAUCUUAUAAAAUAUUCCUUCUAUUUGAUGGUCAACUAAAUCAGUUCAAGUUUCAUUCAGUAACCAUUGAUGUCUGGCACUUGAAAAGAUAUCUCAAGGAGAAAAAAAACGAGAAGAAAAAUGGGAUCUUUCUGAAAUCUAAGGCAUAUCCUCUCUUCCAUGAUUGGCAAUAAUGCAUUUUCCCAGACCAUGCCAUAUAUUCUUUUUGGCACCUUCAACAGAACACGAAAAGUUUGUAAAGGAAUAAUCUCUUUCAGUAUAUCAGAAAGCCAAGUAAACAAUCUAGAAAUCAACCACAAUCUUUCAGUUCACAGCCAUCAAACAUCAUAAGGUGAGACCUCUUUUUAAAUGUCUUCUUUGACACUUGGUUAUGAAAUAAUACAGUCAACAUUCAUCUUCACAAAUUUCUCUGUUGCUAAAAGAGACGUGAUUUUUAAUGAAUUCCAUGUUAGCAUAUAUGCUUCUUCUCAUAAUUCCUAUAUAGGUAUCUGCAUAAGCCCCAAACAUGAGUUCAUAGGGAACACAGCUUCAGUAUUUCAUCUUCCGAUGUUGUUGCAUCUAUAAAAUCUACAACCUCGGAAUGAAAAAUCAACCUCAUCAUACUAUAAAUUUCAUAUCCAUAUCAUUGAAAUUCUGAGGAGCAUAAUGUUAAUAUGCCCUCAUCACUGUGAACCGAAAAAGGUUGUCCAACUUCUAAGCCAUUGAAUUGUGGGUCAAUGUCAUGCACCAAAAAAAAAACUGUGAACAGUCAAGGAUUCAACCUGAAUCCAGAUUUGAUCAAGGACACCUAUGCUUAAUGAAUAUGGGGUGGCAUACUUUUUUUUUCGUAGCAACCUAGUGAGAAACUUCAAAGCACACUAGGAAAAGAUAGAAUAGAGGAUAAUAUGUACUUGAUCUGCAUUCUGCAGUAGUGCUAAUGGAUUGGGUACAUCCACUUUAGGAUUGGGUGGCAACAGAAAGUCCAACUAUCUUAAUGGAAGGUUCUUGCCUUUCUGGUUAGAGAUACAACUUGGAAAGUACUAAAACAAGGAUGAAAUGAUCAUGGAAGUACCAAAAAAAAGAUGAAAUAAAGCACAAAUCAAUUAUCUCCACAAUAAGAUCUUUGGCAAUGAUGGGGUGAUAUUGUGAUGAAAAAACAAGCUCAAUUGAACCAAUUAGGCCAAAUUUGAUGUUUAAUACCAUUUUGGGAAAAAUUAAAAGGUGACUCCCAUAAUCCUUUCAGUAGUCCCGAGGAGCGAUUUAAAAGAUUUAGCAAUGUAAUGCAAUCAAAAGGGCAACUGAAUUCAUAACCCAUGAUUCAAAAGAUUGUGUCCAGAUUUAUUCUAAUGAAACGGCUUUUAAGGAAAAUUGUGGUUAUCAACUUCACAUAGAUUUGAUUUCUGCCAAAACCUUGGAUAUAUGAGCCUUAUGGUACACAAAUUGAUAAAGAAUGGAAAUUGCAUUAAUGAGAAUUUAGUGUUUUCUUGAAUCCACAACACAUCAUGAUGAGAUUCUUAGACAAGCUGGGGAGACAAGAUUGUUAGGGUAGGGUCUUGAAAGUUUAAGCACAAUCAUAAAUUCAUUAAAAGGCUUCAUAAGAGCAAAAGAUUUUGUCGGGCAGUGAUACAUGUUGAAAAGUCUCCUUCAACACUGCAAAUAUUCAAGAAUUGCAGUAGGGACCUUGAAGGCUAGCUCAAGUGGAAAGGGGUGGAGGAGAUUAAAAAAAAAACCCACACCACAGACACACACACACACAAAGAUACAUGUUGUUGGAUGGUGAUGUUAAAAGCUCUCCCUCAGCAUGGCGAAUAUGCCAUUAAAUACUGCUUCAACAUUGUAGAUAUUCAAUAAAUGUGGUCCUAGAGAGAGAGAGAGAGAGAGAGAACUUAGAUUCCAAUUAAAGAAUGUCCAAAAAAUGAAUUGAGAAGAAAGAAUUAUCUAUGGGUAGUUUUUAUACUUGGAUGUGCUUGAACAACGAGAUGCAACUUACAUUAUGUCAGAUAAUUGCCAAAAAGUAUUUCAACAUUUAGAAGAGCAAAAUACAAGUUUUAGUUUUGAAGUUAAAAAAGGGCCGGUGGGUGAAAGGAAUUUAUUAACAGUGAAAAAUAUGUAGAGGUCAUUAGUAUUUUCACAUUGUCAUAGAUUUAGUGUUACUAAAAGCAAAAGGUGAUGUCAAGGCAAUAGGUAGGACUCCUUUUAGCUUAAGGUGAAAGGCGAAAAAUAAGGUGAUAAAAAAUAUACAUAUAUUACCUAUUCAAUACUUAACCAAUAUAUGUGUUAUCUUCAACAAUCAACACUAGUAAUUUUUCAUCCCUUGUGGUGUCUUAAAAAAUUAACAAAAUAAUAAUAAUUAUUCAAAGUAUUAAAUAUUAUACCCCAAACAUCAUAUUGUUUAGAGAAAUUCAUCAUAUCCAAAUGUAUAUUCUAAUUUUCUAAACAUCUAAAAUUCAAAAUAAAAAACAAAAUAAGAGAAUAGACAUCAUCAUAUUAUUUAGAAAAGUUUUGGGCAUCAUUAUCAUAGUCAUCAUUGAAAUUAAAAUUGUCAUCACUUCCAUCAAGACUACAUUGAUGACCCUCCGUUUCAUUAUUACUCUAAUUGAUGAUAUAAUAUUUCACCUUAUACUUUGUUUAAUUUAAUGUUAGAUUGAAUUAAAUUACAAUCUAAGUAUAUUUAAUCUUAACCCAUAGUAAAAGGCAAACUGCCUCUAUGCCUUGUACCUUGUCCCAAGGCAAUCGCCUAGGCAUUGCCUUCAUGAGGCGACUUUUAUCUACCUCGCCUAGCCUAAUGGCCUAAGCAACCCAAACAUUACAUAAAUUGUUUAUAGAGUCCAAUAUAUCUUCUAACAAGUUUCACUAAAUGAAUAUGAUUGAGCCCUCUCCAUAAAUGGUCACAUGACUUCUACUAUUAAAGUUGAUAUAUCUCAAAUUUCCAAAGAUGUUAACAUGAAUAAUGUAGGAGAAGAAAAUACUAUCCUUGAUGUGCUUUCAUCUACAAAUCAAUAAAAUUUUGUACUGAAUUUGUAAUCAAGAAGGUAUAUAAUUGGUCUGAUGAGAUUUAAUCUCCAAAAACUUAAAUGCAAGGAAAUUCUUCCCAUAAUGGUUGAGUGGAUUGAAAUAAUUUCACUCUCACAAAAAUGGUCCCAUUGGUUCUUUUCCAAUAAGUUUUCACAAGAUCCUAUGGAUUUCCUUUUGGGAACAUGAAUAAGACUCGAAUAGAUUAUAGACCUAAACAUCACAAACUAAAUGCUCCUAAGAUAUUGUUAUACCCUAAACAAAUCAACUCGAGUAUUAAAGAUGAUGUGCAGUAUCCUCUCAGCAUAUCCAGUCAAGUUGGAACCUAAUGUAUAACUUGUAUGACUACUUCUCUUAUCUUCACCAAACAUAAGAUAGACAAGCUCAUUUAUCUUCACCAACUGAAUCCUCUCAUGUAACAGUGUUGUGAGGGCUGCUUUUUGGAAUAUAUUAUGUUGUCAAAUCCCAGGAAGCAAGCUGAGAAAUAUUAGAACUCAAGACAAACUGUACAUGAAUAUUCUUUAUUAUUUCAAACCUAUAAUUUCUACCAAAUAAAAGAUCAUGAAAAAAUGAAAAGCAUUGUAAAAUCAGCUGAUAGUUCUGACCAAAUGGAGUUUGGAUCUUAGUUCUACUUAAAUUCUUUAUAUAUAUCACACACAAACAUGCCUCACAUGCAUACUUCUUCCAAGGGUUUAAGAAUUGAGAAGUGGCCAAGGGGAACCAGAGAUUUUGAGAGGAGCUCCUUCUUACUUACCAUCUACCCUCAAAGGGGGAUUUGUUUAAGGAUAAAACAAUUAAAAUUCUUCAAUAAGACCCCAAAGUUGUAUACGAGAAUAUUGAUGGAUGAUAAUGGAAUAUUCAACCCACUGGCUGCUAUUUGAUUGAAUUUACAUUUCAUUAUGAUCUGAAUUUCGAAAGAGAUAACAGUGACACAAGGUUAUGCGAUCAAAUUAAAAUAUAUUUGGACACACAAGUGACUGAAACAUCCUUGAUAAAUGAAAGGAAAGCUUCAUGAGUAGCAAAGACCAAUAUGGAAGGGAUCAAAUGAAAGAGACAAGAAGACACAGAAGCACCAAGUAUUUUCAGUAUUCUAUAAUACCUUUUGCUGCCUUUCCUUUUGCAGUUCUGAUCAUGAUCUAUGAUUGAGUAUUAUUUGAGUGGAUACAUCCCUUUGGUCUUAGAGAUAUGGGCACAGUGCCAUGCAUGCACAAGUGGAUGACAAAGGAGUUUAAGAACAUCUCAGCAAAAGUGAUGAGUGUGAGUAUGACCUUAUGUUGAAACUCAAUUUUUUGAAUGCAGCAACUAAAUAUGGAAUUGAUAAAAUAUAAGAGAGAAGGGAAGCAAAAGCACCAAGUAUUUUAAAUAUUCUAUAACACUUUUUGCUACCUUUAAUUUUGCAGUCCCGAUCAUGAUCCAUGGUUGAGUAUUACUUGAGUGGACCCAUCCCUUUGGUCUUAGAGAUAUGGAACUGGAGCAUCCUUUAAGAUAAAUAAGACGAGAAAAAACAAAAGCACCAACUAAGGUUUAUGCUUUUGGCUUCUCAUAUAUGGUAUGGUAUGCAGCACAUGCUUCACAAAGGAAAGAGUGGAGAUACAAAUUUUGGUCUUUGGCACCAAGUGGGGGUAAGAUAUUAAGAUCCAAUAAAGAGUGCAAUACUGAGGAAGAGACCAGAAGUCUUCCAGAUAACAUUUCUUGCUCUGAAAUGAAGCAAAAUUUUCAAAUAGAAAGCAGCUCUCAAGCUUGCCAUAGACGAAGAAGACAUAAACUUUAUAUACUUGGAAAUCUAUUGUUUGAUAAACUGUAAUAUGUGAGAGGAGAUUCUGAAGCAGCCAGCAUGCGAAGGAAAGGUAAACACAAAUAAAGAGAAAUGCAUGUUCCCAGGAUAGGCAGUAAAGAAUAAAACAAAAGGGAGGUAGUUUGAGUUAAUAUGGAAGAAACUAAAAACUGGCCACAUGAUGAAGUGAGUAAAAAUCUUGACAAUGUAGUCUCUCAAAACAAUGUUUUUCAUUCUUUCUUUAAUUUCUUCUUCUUCUUUUUUUCUUUUUUUGAAAUUCUAUAUAUAUGGCCAUUUGAACUUGUUUUAUUUUGUCUAAUUAGUUUAUCUUCAUGGUUUUACUUGCAAUUAAACAGAAAACCGACUAUAUUUGACAAAGAAGAAUAAAAGAUCUAAGCAUUAACGCUUUUAAAUUUUACGUAUGUGUGCCAUUUGAAUUCUAAAAUUUUGUUAGUUGAUCUUUGAUUUUGCUUAAGAAUUUAGACAAGUAAAAUUUUGAACUUUGCCACUAACAGUCCUUUGAACUCCAUAAUCUAAGGAAUCUAUCAAGCUAAUGGCAAGGCCAAUUUUGCACACGAAAUAUUGUUUCAAGAUGAUAAAUUGAUGUAGUUCUGGUUCUAUCCCAAUUAAUUGCAACUUGACCUUAAUAUCACUUUCCAAUUUUAUAACACUUCUUCACUUAAAUAACUUUAUGUGACAGCAAAAAGCAAAAACAAAACAUAAGAAAGAACAUUACCAUUAAAAAGAAAACACACAGUAAACUUAAUAGAUUUCCAUGCCACCAUCAUUCAGAAGCAAUAAGACUAAAAGUUCGAAAAAAAAAAAUGGAUAAGAGGAAGGAUGAAUUUGUCAAACAUUUCCCAUUAUCCAAUUGCAUUCAAUUUACUAAAGCAUCCAUGACCAAUACCUAUCCAUCCUUAAUGAUGUCAAAUAAUCAUCUUUAAUGUAAAAACUACUAAAGCAUCCACUCCAAUUGUAUUUAAGUCUUCUCAGUAUGAUUCCUAUAGCACCCACCCAUCAAAAGAGGAAAAGAAAUGAUUCCUAUAACACCUAAAUAAUUUUCACCAAACUCCAUUACCCAAUCUUCAUCCCCACAAAAACAGAAAAGUAGCCAAGACAUAUGUCCUUUGGCCCUACGAGUAAUGGCAAGAAAACCUAAUGUCUGUUUGGAUGUCAUUAUCCAUGGGGUCCAUUUAAAAUACAGGAGAAAAAUAUAAAUAAUUCAGACUUAAAGACCCACUACAAAGAUUUUUUUUUUUUUUUUUUUUUUCUUUUUGUGGGGUACAGGAAGAACGAUGGGAAUCACUUCAUGCCCUUAUCCUAGAUCCUUCAAUAUUUUGAAAAAGCCAUGGUUCCAGACAAAGUUGAGCUAAUGCCAUGCCUCGUGACCGGAAGACAAGAUCAAUCUAUGCAGUGCAAUUUACGGACUUUUAGCCCUAGUUCAACUUUAAGUGUUAUAGACAAGCCACAUCACCUCCUACUCACAACAGUACUAUGGACCCUGAAGCAAUCUCAAUCACAUUGCCUGAAGAAUUAUCCUUCCAGCUAGCAAGACUUAAAUAUUGAAUACGACCUCUGACAAAACACAAAUAAUACUUUCUUCCAAUGCUGCAGCCAACACCUUCACAUGGUGCAAUAUGCUUGCUCAGAAUCAUCCAGGACCUAGUUCCUGGGAUCAAAAGCUAUAACGGACAAUGAAAAAUGAGGUCAAACGAUCCAAAAUACUCUAAAUUAAUGCUGGGAAUAUUGGUUUUCUAAUGGAAAUUUAAUGGCCAUGAUUUUGGUAUUAUUGCCAACAUCAACUCCUAGAGUUUCCUCCUUGACCAUGUGACUUAUGUCCAAACAAAACAGCAUCCUCACCAUAACGGAUCAUCUUAAAAAUCAUGGACAUACUCAGUCCGCAUAUUUGAAGAUCCCAAAAAAGAGAAAAUACAACACUGUUCCAAAAACAUCAUGCAUUAAAGGGCAUAUAUAGUGCUGCGUAGUAUAAAUCAACAAACGGAAGAGUAGGAAGGGAAACUAAUUACAAAUACCUGGGUGAUUUUAUGGUGAAGCUGACUAUUGCUCCCAGCACCAAGCAAUAAGUGCUGUAAGAUAAAACAAGAGGCAUUUAAAAGUUGGAUAAUUGAAGAAGCACCUCGAUAAAGAAGAAAUAACUUCCAAAAAGGGAACAAAUCUAAAUCUAGCAAAAUCUCCUAAUUGAAGAAAAAUAACCUGUAUAAGGAAAUCUCUUCUGCAAUAGUUUUCGGACAAGGCAAUAAAAUAGUCCGUAUCUCCCCAGAUAUGGAAACAAGGGAAUCUUCCCAUAUUGGGAACCAUGCACAAUGACUCAUUCCCAAAAGGACCACUCUUUCUUCAUACAACGACUCCGUGAUACGAAACCCACAUCAAGGAGCCAAAGAAUUAUAUGAAAGCUGCAUUACACAUCCCACAAAGAGAAAUUAUAAAUUUCGUUGGAGACCCACUUGUAGGUUUGGUAACAGUAACUGAAAAACCCAAAUCAAAGCCAGAUUUAGAACAAGCAAAGCGUGAAAUUACCUCCGGAAAAUGGUCCAGUAGACAUCGCAGGCUCCACUAGACAAAGGAGGGGAGGAGAGAAAGAGAGGGCUUUUGAAACAAGCUAAUAACGUGAACAUGUAGAAUUUAUAUUCCAAAAAAAAAUACAGUUUUCCGUUAAAUCUGUACAGGAACCAGGCGUACCUUCAACUUCGUCCUCUCCAACAAGAGGACCAUCAAAAGUCACGCUUUCAAGCACCAUUAUAAAUAUUAUAUUCCGAAAAAAUAUCAAAGAAAAAGAAAUAAAAUGCAAACAACUAAACUGCUGCCCUCAGUCGCCUCCGGUGGCAACUAGAUCAGAAGCUCCCAUCUAAGUUCAGUAUGAAUCUUUGAGUACCUAUCAUGAGAUUUAUGGACACUAUCUAAUGGUAAGAAAUGUAAAAGAAGAAAUUUUCUUUCUAUAUACAUUCGAACCACUGAUGGUCGUAUUCUCUUCAUCCAGAAAUCGAAAAAGCCAUACAAGGCUUUUGCCGGGCCUGCUCAUAAUUCCAAAUAUAUAUCAAAGAAAAGGAAACAAAAUGCAAACGACUGGUGGUGGAUGUGGCUUUGCAACCUUACCUCUCCGAUGAACUUCUCAUCAAAGUUCUUGCCUUGUUCAACUCCAAUCAUUAAGAGGGUACAGAGAGGGAGAUUUUAAUUUUAGUUCUUGAAAGAAAACAAAAAUAAAGUGUAAGGAGAGAGAAACGCCGUAGAUUCCGGAGAGGGAGGGGAACUGAACUGCAAAAGUUGGUCGGUCAAGCCUGCAAGAUAUGUCAUUUCGGAGGGUGUCUUCCUUUUUUCUAGAGGGAGAACAGCAAAGACAGUAUAUAUAGACUAAAUAGAUAUAGAAAAGAAAGAACGAAGGAAGAAGUAAGUGCAGAAGCAGAAGGGAUGAGAUAGUAGAGGUGAGAGAGGCAGCACCUGAAGCUGACAGAAAGAGAGGUGAGCACGCACCGGCAUAGGUAUACCCUUAUACAAAUUGCCUGCAUGUGCUCACUCUCUUCUGUCAGUCUCUCUCUCGUCUCCCUCUUAUCUUCGCAAAAUUUUUCAAUCAGAUCUGAUCCCAGCACUUCUCCUUGUGCACCUCCUCCCAUUUAUACAAAACCCUUCCCUCAACAAUCCCCAGACCAUCCACUCCCUUUUCUUUUCUAACACACUUUAUACACCAACACCCACUUAGGGUUUCCCACAAUCCAUAAUCCCCCCAAAGCCUCACACUCAAAAAUCUCCCUCGCCUUUUUCUUCCUUUUGUUUCACUUUCGUCUCUCUUCCACCUUCCAUUUCACACCAACCCAUCUCCCACCACCCACAUCGCCGGUGAAAGUUAGUGAGAGAAAGAGAUUCGUGCCAGAGAGAGAGGCGGUGAGGCCAGGUGUGCUUUUGCAAUUUGCAUUCCCUUGUCGUUUGGUCCAAGUGGAAGGGUGUCCUCUCAAGUAGUCCUCUUUCAGUAGCUCAUCAGCAACCAUUAGCCAAUCACAUCAGGCCAGGUGACCUAUUAAUUGUUCCACGAUGCUGAGGUGGGUAAAUUUGGGGAAGCGGCGGAGGCCCUCCGGAAACAGUUGCGGGAGGAUCUGUCAAGGUACGAUUGGCUGAGAAGGAAAUAGUGGGGCACGUGGCAGUGGUGUGGACUGGAUUGACUUUGUUUUUUUUUUAAUUUUCAUCAUCAUGAUGGAUUUAAGGCUUCUGAUUUGACUGAUAGGGAGCGGCAUGGGCCGUCAGAUCACGGUAUUGGCGGGCCCGGUGUCGGUGAAAUGGGGCAGAUGAGACUGCGUCAUACCGGGGAGACAAGAUAAAGACGGCCAUUAUUUGUAGGAGAAAUAACUUUUAUUAGUCUAUGGGUUCAGCCACGUGUCUAUCUGUAAUUGCAUGGGGGUGGACCUAUGCUCUCCGGUAGGGUAAGUGCUGACAUGUACAGCCGAGAUCAAAGUGGACUGCAGUAACUCGGAAGGAGCCUGGUGGCUGGUGGCUGGUGCUCAUGUUGUCUGACCACUACUCGCCAUGGUGAAGUUGCAGACACAUUCAUUGGGUUGAAGACUCUCUCUAUUCCUUGGAGAAAAAGUGCCCAAACAUCGUUUGGAUUACUGGGGUUGAACAAAUUAAUUGGGUUCACGCCUUCUCUACAAUUCUCUCAAAAAAGGAUACGUGGAUAUCAACCCAAGAGUGGAACCUACCAUCAUUUCACUGUCUUAGACUCUGUGAACAGAAAAAGAAACUUGAAUUUUGAUGAAGAUCACUUGUGUGCCAAACAGAAGGGAUGCACAAAAGACCACGUAGUAUAUGACAGUGACACCCAUUUAUUCAUUCUCUUACACACAGGAAGGGAUACACGCUUUCAGCUUUGGACUUUUAACCUAAGGUCAAAAAGAAAGAAUUAAAAUUCUAUCCACUAAUCAAAUGCCAAAUCUUGGUUCCGUCAACCAAAUCUAUGUGGGCAAUUUUUAUCAAUGGAUUCAGGCUAAAUCUCUAAUCUUCCGGCUGUUAGUGGGCAAUUCAUCUUUGAUCAUCAGCGACUUUGGGUUGGGUGGAAGCCGAUCUUUCAUCUUCCUUCAUCCUUUGGACUCCAUGUUGUUGUGCCUGGCAUUUAGUUUUCAGGUUAAUGAAUAUAUAAUUAAUGCGGUCUGGUGGGAGCACCUCUUAUAUCCUUCUCCUCCCUCACCAUUCAUUACUUCUUCUCCUUCAAAUUUGAAGUGAAAGUCAUGUCAAGAAAUAGAAACCAUAGGUGUUUAGAACAGUACUCAUGGGAUAUAUUAAUGAAAUCAUCACAAUGAUUUUAUUUUAAGUUAACUUGAUAAUAUAUAAAAGUGAAAAAAAGAAAGGGGGAGAAAUGGGAAGAAGAGGGAGAGAGACAGAGACAGAGAGAGGAGAGAGAAGAUUGUGAAGGAUGGAUGAUAAAGAUGAUGAUGAGGUGGAGAGAUUAUUUAUUAGGUUAUGUGGUGAUGAGUUGUAAGUGACUGAUGACACAAUGUGUGGGUGUGGCUCAAUAGCAGCCUGUCAUUCCUUCAAUGGCCGUAUCAUUGUCAUCCUAUCCUCGAGUGAAAGCUCAAGGCGCAAGCCCUUUCCCAGAAACAUUUAUUCCCAUCUGCCCUUUUC
rnacentral:lncRNA from 1 species